UACACCAAGUCCACACAGAUCGACACCACAAGCCCUCAUCCUCCGCUGCCCAUCUGCCAAAGCAAACAAGAACACACAAGACAGUUCAGGCAGGCAUGGAUGCAGAGUUCACCUGAGUUGGGAGGGACUGACUAGCCAACCAUGCAAAUGCAAGCAGGGCGGAGAAUUAGUAGCCGAUGUCGGCGCCGUCGUCGACCAAGGUCGCCGUUGAUGCCGGGGAUAGGUAUCGAUCACACGGUGUUAUGGGCCCUGGUCAAGAUCGCAGGAGGAGACGCUUCAAUCUGGCGAGAUCCCGGCUCUCGUUGCUGCUCUCUCGGAGGUGGAUCUCAUCUGGGAUAAUAUAUAUGGCAGAAUUUCCAAGGAAAUGCACGGUUGCCUUGUCGGCUGAGUGUAACUUCCAGGUCGCAACCUUUGUACGAGCAGCCGAAUGAGCAGGAACGAGUACACAUCACAUUUUAUUGACUCAUGCGUGGGUGGUGUAAACAACGGAAAUGAUUUGCGUACGACGAUGCAUGUCCGAAGCACGUACGACGAUGCAUCCGCAUCGUGAGCUAGCUAACCCGUUGAAAGACAUACGGCUUGAUUUGAUGGUCGUACGUGGUUCGGAUGAGAAUCGUCGUACGUGUAGCACUGCUCAGUCUUGGGUGGUGUAAACAAAGUCUUCUUAGGGUAUGUACAAUGGUUGAUAAGAUAGUUUUAUUUCAAGUUUUACAUGUAAUUUAUAGAUGAUAAAAAAAGUCUUACAAUGAAUCACCUCUUAAUUGUUCUCUCUUAAAUAAGAAAAGACAAAUUUUUUUUAUGAGUUAUCUUUCCUCCACCUCAUCAUUUAUCUUACAUGACACUACUAAGAUAGCAUCAUUGUACAUGUCCUUAUGUGACAGGAAAAAAAAACCAACAGCCCUACCAGGAAAUAAAACAAACGUGUGAAGCACGUGUUGUGCAUGAGAGUGAUUUUGUUUUCUUAACUCAUGCCUUUUGGUUUAUUGCACUAUCUUUCUUUUAACACGCAAGCGUUUAUAUACACGUACAUAGACUGAGCCGGCAUAUCAUGAAAUUUAUGAAUAAAUUCAGAAAUAAAUGCGAACAUCAGGAUUUAAACCCUGAUGAGCUAUGAAUAUCACAAUCUCUCUAACCAUCCAACCACAGACUGGUUCGCAUUGUACUCUUCGUCGUACUAUCUUUUCAAUGUGUUACUUGUUGUCCUUAAUAAUUAUCAUAUCUAAGAUGCCCUUUGGGUGUGUUUCGUACUAUGAAAAAGGGUCCUGCAUGGAUAGAGAGAGCGUGUGCUGACGAGACAGCAUAAAAUGUUUCACCAGUUAGUUAAUAGAGUGUCACAUAAAUAAAAUACAUAGUCCGGGUAGGAAAAAUACUCCACGAUGCUUGAGUGCCCUUGACCAAAGCCUAGCGCCCUCGAUCGCCCCAUCCUUUCCUCCCUGGCUACUACCUCAGAUCACCGCCAAUCCGCAUGACUUCCAAGGACGACAGCGGCGAAGCUCCCUCCUUGAGCAACACCUUGGUACUUGUACGCCUCUUCCUACUGAGCGACGUCGUUGUGCUCUCCGUUGGUUCCUUGGUGGUUGCGUUUUUCUGUUGCCAUUUUUGUUGGCGAUGCUCCGCCCCUCCUUUGGACGGAGCAUUGCCAGUAUAUGGACUUUUUUUUAGAAUAACUGCAUAUUUUUUAACCAGCAAAUGUUACAAACAUAGCACAUACAUAACAUCGCUGAGAGAGCACGAGAGACCAAAGGUGUCCCAACACAAAUGCAAAAAGGUCUCAAAAAGGAGAAAAUACAAUCUGAACCCCCGGGGGCCUUAAUGCAUGAAGAACCAACACCAGUCGCUGACCGCCGCCAUCGACGACGAGACGAACGGCGAAGGAGGACGCCAGAAACCAUCAAACCCUGAGCCGAGGGCACACCAUCACUGAAAAGGGCUUUCUGAGUCGAAGAUGAGCCCGGUCGCAAACGGUGAGGCAUAGCCGUUGUGGCACGUCGACCGGGGAAAGUCCCCGUGCAAAUCCUCGGCUCCAGUUUCGGCACCUCCGUUGGACGAAGUCGAAGGAGAAUUACCAGAUCUACCGCCACAAACCACCACGAGAGUGUUGAGUCACCAAGUCUCUCGCCAACAGCCGCGGUCACCGCACGGGCCGGUGACCAACGCUGGCCCGAGCACUCCUAUACAAGACUCUGUCGGCUUCCCAUCGACACUGAAGAACGUGUCGAUGUGGCAGAGACGAAGCCGAGGGAACAAAACUCCCGAUGUCCCCUGCUUGACCAAAUCCGAGCACGCCAAGCCUGUCGCCGCACACGUCGGCCAGGCCAAACCUAACCUCACCGCCCAAGACGAGCGGCAGGAAUCUACGCCGAGCAGCGCCCGAGGAAACACCACCGAGACGGAGGCGGAACCGGAGGACAAAAGGCACGAGCUGGGCAGCCGUCGCCGCCUCGUCGACCCAGCCCCACCACCCAGAUAUCGCCAGCCACGCGAAACCUGCGAGCAGACCGAAGCUCCCAGCCUUCUCGCCCACCGCAACGCAUACCACCGCGUUGGGGAGAGAGCAGGGGCACCCUUAUUAGCCGCACUCGCCAUUCCCACCGGAGAUGCGAAAACGACCAGCCACCACCAAGCUACAAAGCCUACCUAGACUACACCUGUACAAGCCAUGCCCCCGGAUCCGACGACCCCAACCUGCACCGAAGAGCAUGAAGUCCCGGGGGAGAUGGCGUCGCCGGAUCCAAAGCCGGCAAAGGAGUCGCCUCUCACUAGUGGAAAACGGGCCUUUGGCCAGGACCCUUUAGUCCCGGCCUGCCUCUGGGCCGGGACUAAAGGCCCGGCCACGUCGCCCCAAUUCUCAAUGCCUCCCUCGAGGCUUUAGUCCCGGCCCGUAAGGAGCCUUUAGUCCCGGUUCAUGUUCCAAACCGGGACUAAAGGGCUACGCGGCGGGUAGUGGUGGUGGCAACCGUUCGUAUCCCCCUUUAGUCCCGGUUGGUGGCUCAACCCGGGACUAAAUCCCUAACCCGUGCCCUGCCGUAGUGGUGGUAACCGUUGGUAUACCUCUUUAGUCCCGGUUGGUGGCUCAACCCGGGACUAAAUCCCUAACACGUGGCCUGCCGUAGUGGUGGUAACCGUUGGUAUACCUCUUUAGUCCCGGUUGGUGGCUCACCCCGGGACUAAAUCCCUAACCCGUGCCCUGCCGUAGUGGUGGUAACCGUUGGUAUACCUCUUUAGUCCCGGUUGGUGGCUCAACCCGGGACUAAAGGCCCAAACGGUUUGCAUCCCGCGUCGUUUCGGGCGAUGAAAAGCACGAACCAAAGCAGAGUCGCCAUUUCUCUGUUUCUUCUUCUCUCUCGCUCUCGCUCUGUUCUUCUCCUCUCUUCUUCCAUCAUGCCAACUCGCUUUGGAGAGGUGCUCGCACAUGGCAAGACCAAGCUCGAUGUCGUGUACACGAACGAGAGCAGGGAGAUGCCGUAUUUUCUUGAACAGUUGAAGGAACGAUGGCUUGACGCCGCAAUGGAUCAUGAGAAGUUCUUGGGGCUUGAUCUGGAGUACACGGCCGAUCAACGCGGUGUUGCCGUCAUCCAACUAUGCUUCGCACACCAUGUCUUGAUCUUCCAAUGGGCGAGGUAAGUUUUGAGGCUUUCUUUGAUCCAAGGUAAUGACAUUGUAAGUUUAUUUGUUUCAAUCAUAGUUGGUUCCCUUCAAAUAGUUGUAGUGAAACAAUUUUGAUUAGUUGAAGGGGAACACAAUCUGAUUGGAAUAGUGUUCCAUAAUCUGAAAAAUCGUAUUAGAAUCAACUAGUGUUUAAUAUGUUCCAUUGGAAUCAUAGUUGGUUCGCUUCAAAUAGUUGUAGUGAAACAAUUUUGAUUAGUUGAAGGGAACACAAUCUGAUUGGAAUAGUGUUUCACAAUCUGAAAAAUCUGAUUGGUUCAAUAUGUUCCAUUGAAAUCAUAGUUGUAGUGAUACAAUUUUAUGCGGUGUUAUUUGAUCCAAGGUUAUGAAAAUUGCAUAUAGCUAGUGAUCUCUCUAGGUUCCAUUUGAUAGCAAUAUGAUAUGUCAUAGUCAUGAAAAUUGCAUAUAGCUAGUGAUCUCUCUAGGUUCCAUUGGAUAGCUAUAGUGAUCUCUCUAGGUUCCAUUGCAUAUGUUCUAUUUGAAUCCUAAAGAUAAUUUUCUCUUUAGUUGUAGUGAAACAUGUUUCCUUAUUGCAGCAGUAUGUAACAUUUUCCAUUUUAAUUUGUUUCUGUUGCAGUAGUGACAAGCAUUGUCCAGAACUCAUGGACUUCCUGCGCAGCGGCAUCACUUUUGCUACCGUUGACAUAACGAACGACAAGCUGAAGAUGAGGUACAGCUUCGGUAUUGAGAUACCAACUGGUUGCCUCAUUGAUCUCCAAACGGUAUUCAGGCUUCGACAUGUCAGGACUUCGAUGGCUCAUAUGGCAGUUGCCUUGAUCGACGAGGAAUAUGGUGAUAUGAAGACCAAUUUUCCCAAAGUCUCAGCACAAACUUUGGGAGAAGGCCCCACUUGAUCGUAUCAACAUUGAGUAUGCAACAAAAGAUGCAUACGUUUCAUACGAGUUGUACCGCAAGAUUCGAGUCGUCAACUAUGGCCAGCGUCACCUCGAAUAAGGUGGACAUUCUGAUUCGAGUCGUCAACUAUGAAAACUAAUUCCCGAACACCAAACGAGGCAUCACGUUAAUCUUCCGAACACCUAAACCCUAAAAUCCUAAAACCCAAAAAUAAUUUCAUUCAAAAAAAACCCAAAAAUAAGCAAAAUCUAAAACUCUUUAGUCCCGGUCCGUGUAACGAGCCGGGACUAAAGGGCCUGCCCCUGAGGCGCUACGAGGCGCCCACGUGGAGCAUCUUUAGUCCCGGCUUGUAACAGGGCCGGGACUAAAGGUUAGGCGUCCCGGUUGGUGAACCGGGACUAAAGUCCCUUACGGGCCGGGGCUAAAGGCCCCGUCUCCACUAGUGUCUGGCAGUAUAUGGACUUGUGGUAACCUUUGUUAGGACUUAGGUGCUCCAUCCCUGUUCCUCACCUCUCACCUGAUUUGGACGCCCACCGGUUUGGUCUGGCCUAGUAUCUUUUUCCAGUCAUUUCUCGGUUAGAUGCGGAAGAUUUGCCGCAUGAUCUAGCGAUUGCAUCUGACGUUUUUCUUGACUGGUGAUUAAAGUUGGUCGUUAAGGUCUUGUUGAACGUACGUGUGGACCAAAAUAUGUUUUUAUCUUUGUGACAAGUACAAUGACCGCUGUUGUAUUUAUCUCUCAUCUCAACCCUCAACUAAAUUCUAUGUGAAUUCCUAGUAUCUCUUGCAAUCCCUGGUAUCCAUCAAUUGGUUCUGUCGCGCUCCUAAGUUCUCCUUCCCUCUCCGAUCAUAUAUCUCUUUAGUCGAAUCAUGGCAAGGUCAUGUCAAGACCCAAAUGUUUUUUCAAAAAGAUAGUAUAAACACACACACUCACAUCCAUGAACGCACAUACGCACGUUCUAUUCCUAUAAGCACAUUUGAAAGGCUGAGCCGGCGGAUGUUAAGAUUGACAAAGUCACAACAAACGUCACAUCACUCUAUGGACAGAAACAUUGCCUCCCAUUGAGAGUACAUUUCGCGUUUAUCACACACCAAAGCAUCAACAUUUAAUUCCUUGUGUUAGGAAUUAAUUAAAUGUAUUAAUUAAUGGAAUAAUCCAUGCGUUGCCGGUUGCCUUGAUUUAGCAACCGUUCCUUGUAACCGACUCUGUACUCGGGGUAUAAAUACCCCGCAUCUUCAAUCAAUAAUAAUUGUUCCAUCAUUCUGUCACUUUCACUGUUUUACACGUUAUCAGCACUCGCUCUGCCGAGAGCGACAGAGAGCCACGAGAAAGGUCAGAAUGGCAGGAAGAGAGUUGUCUGCACUUGCUUUUGCUUUCGCACGCUUCCUGCAGAAAGAGAACACCCGCUUCCCUCGCACUCAGCGCCACCGCAUUGCACGUCGCCAUCAGGGUCUUGGUGCAAGGAAUGGCCCUCAUCGCCGUUCCUUCACCAGGAACCACCGCCAGAACCGGAGUGGCCCUCAUCGCCGCUUCUUCGCCGGGAACCACCGCCAGAACCACCGCCGUGGGUAUGCACGUCGAGGCAACCAACCACUUCGUGGGCGUGCACCAACGGUGCACCAGGCUGGAUCCUCGACUCCGGCCACCGCUCCACUACAACAGGCUGGUGUUGUAGAUAUGCCCUAGAGGCAAUAAUAAAUUAGUUAUUAUUAUAUUUCUUAGNNNNNNNNNNNNNNNNNNNNNNNNNNNNNNNNNNNNNNNNNNNNNNNNNNNNNNNNNNNNNNNNNNNNNNNNNNNNNNNNNNNNNNNNNNNNNNNNNNNNUGGAUAAUAAACUAUUAUCUUGAUACAGGAAUUAUAAUAAUAACUAUGCAUUUAUUAUUGCCUCUAGGGCAUAAUUCCAACAGUGCCUUCUAGUUGCACUGUCUGUACCCAGACAGUUUAUAACUCUUCCGCUGGCUUGUAUUUGUAUGACUGCUAUUAUGGGUCGAGAGACCUUAAUGUGUAAUAUUAUGUGUGUGGCUCUUNNNNNNNNNNNNNNNNNNNNNNNNNNNNNCUUCCGAGCCUCUUAAAUAAAGCUUGUAUGUUUAUGGUUAUGUUGUGAUGCCAUCGAUGUAUCUAUACAUAUCGGUAUGCCAUGCGUACGUGUGUCUUACUUGGUAUGUAUGGGGUUCGAAUACCUAGUCGUGAACUUUAGUAGCACUCCUUACAAGGAAAUGCCCCUUUGUGAUCCAACGAGCCUUGGUAGUUCGCUACUGCUCCGGACACAUUGGUUGACCGGCAUGUGUCCUUCUUAGCUGCUGUGUCUGUCCCCUUUGGGGAAAUUUCACGCGAUGUAAUGGAGUCCUUGUAGCUUGCUACGACUCGUCUACAUUCGCCGAUGACCGACACCUGCUUUGUUGGGUCAUGUAUGCCUGUCCUUGUGCGGUACUGCCACUUUGGUUUAUGACUAGACAUGUCGAUCCGGGUUCUUUGACAUUGGAUUGCUAGCGACACUAUCGCAUACGUGAGUCAAAAGACGCAAACGGUCCCGGCUAAGGUAAGGCUGCAGCCGUGGAGUUAACCGUGCGUGAGACCACAAAGGGAUGCGAUGUGUUACAGGCUAGAUUCCUAUGGCUUAGGAUCGAGGUCCCGACACUUUAAAAUAUCCAUUUGUACUUAACGGUCUUACGACCAUCAAGUAGUUCUUCCAAAGUCUACACUUUGUUUUCAUACAUGGAUCCUCUCUCGGAUUUCAUGGCCUCCAGCCAUUUAUCGGAAUUCGAGCCCACCAUCGCUUCUCCAUAGCUCGUAGGUUCAUUGUUGUUCAACAACAUGACCUCCAAGACAGGGUCACCGUACCACUCUGUAGCAGUACGCGACCUUGUCGACCUACGAGGUUUGUAGUAGCUUGAUCAGAAGCUUAAUGAUCACAAUCAUUAGUUUCCACUUCAAUUUGCGUAGGCGCCACAUGAACAAAUUCCUGCGCCCUGCUACACACUAGUUGAAGUGAUGGUUCAAUAACCUCAUCAAGUUCCACCAUCCUCCCACUCAGUUCUUUCGAGAGAAACUUUUCCUCGAGAAAGGACCCGUUUCUAGAAACAAACACUUUGCUUCCGGAUCUGAGAUAGGAGGUAUACCCAACUAUUUUGGGUGUCCUAUGAAGAUGCGUUUAUCCGCUCUGGGUUCGAGCUUAUCAUGCUGAAACUUUUCCACAUGAGCAUCGCAGCCCCAAACUUUUAAGAAACGACAGCUUAGGUUUCUCCAAACCAUAGUUCAUACGGUGUCAUCUCAACGGAAUUACGUGGUACCCUAUUUAAAGUGAAUGUGGUUGUCUCUAAUGCCUAACCCAAAACGAUAGUGGUAUUUCGAUAAGAGACAUCAUAGUAUGCACCAUAUCAAAUAGGGCGCGGCUAUGACAUUCAGACAAACCAUCACACUAUGGUGUUCUAGGUGGCAUGAACUGCAAAACAAUUUCCACAUUGUCUUAACCGUGUACCAAAACUCGCAGCUCAGAUAUUCAUCUCUAUGAUCAUAUCGUAGACAGUUUAUCCUCUUGUCACGAUGAUCUUCACUCUGGAAUAGCUUUGAACUUUUCAAUAUUUCAGACUUGUGAUUCAUCAAGUAAAUACUCAUGUAUCUACUCAAAUCAUCAGUGAAGUGAGAACAUAACGAUAUCCACUGCGUGCCUUAGCACUCAUUGGACUGCACAUAUCAAAAAUCUAUUGCAUCCAACAAGUUACUUUCUUGUUCCAUGUGGUAUGAUUUUGCAUGUCUCAAGUGAGUUAAAAUCAAGUGAUUCCAAACGAUCCAUCUGCAUGGAGUUUCUUCAUGCGUUUAUACCAACAGGUAUGGUUUCCAUGUCUCAAACGUUUCAAAAAUGAGUGAGUACAAAGAUCCAUAAGCAUGGAGUUUCUUCAUGCAUUUUACACCAACAUGACUCAAGCGGCAGUGCCACAAGUAAGUGGUUCUAUCAUUAUUACUUUGUAUCUUUUGGCACCACUAUUAUGAAUAUGUGUAACACUACGAUCGAGAUUCAAUAAAUCAUUGAAGGUAAUUAUUCAAGAAAAUAGAAUAACCAUUAUUCUCUUUAAAUGAAUAAUCGUAUUGCAAUAAACACGAUCCAAUCAUGUUCAUGCUCAAAGCAAACACCAAAUAACAAUUAUUUAGGUUUAACACCAAUCCCGAUGGUAGAGGGAGCGUGCGAUGUUUUGAUCACAUCAACCUUGGAAACACUUUCAACACGUAUCGUCACCUCGCCUUUAGCUAGUCUCCGUUUAUUUCGUAGCUUUUAUUUCGAGUUACCAAUCACUUAGCAACCGAACCGGUAUCUAAUACCCUCGUGCUACUAGGAGUACUAGUAAAGUACACAUCAAUAUCAUGUAUAUCAAAUAUACUUCUGUUGACUUCGCCAGCCUACUCAUCUACCAAGUAUAUAGGGUAGCUCCGCCUCAGUGACCGUUCACCUCAUAACAAAAGCACUUAAUCUCGGGUUUGGGUUCAAUCUUGGGUUUCUUCAUUAGAGCAGCAACUGGUUUGUCGUUUCAUGAAGUAUCUCUUCUAGCCCUUGCCCUUCUUGAAACUAGUGGUUUUACUAACCAUCAACAAUUGAUGCUCCUUCUUGAUUUCUACUUUCGUAGUGUCAAACAUUGUGAAUCGCUCAAGGAUCAUCAUAUAUAUCCUUGAUAUGUUAUAGUUCAUCACGAAGCUCUAGCAGCUUGGUGGCAGUGACUUUGGAGAACCAUCACUAUCUCAUCUGGAAGAUUAACUCCCACUUGAUUCAAGCGAUUGUUAUACUGAGCACAUGCUCAACGAUUGAGCUUUUCUCCUUUACUUUGUAGACAAAGAAUCUUGUUGGAGGUCUCAUACCUUUCAACAAGGGCACGAGCAUGAAAUCUCAAUUUCAUAUCUUAGAACAUCUUUUAUGUUCCGUGACGUUUCAAAAUGUCUUCGGCGUCUUGCAUCUAAGCCAUUAAGUAUUACGCACUGAACUAUCACGUAGUCAUGAAAAAUGUGUAUGUCAGAUGUUCGCAACAUCCACAGACGACGCUUGAGGUGCAGCACACCGAGUGGUGCAUUAAGGACAUAAGCCUUCUACGCAGCAAUGAGGACAAUCCUCAGUUUUACGUACUCAGUCCGCAAAGUUACUACUAUCAUCUUUCAACUAAAUUUUCUCUAGGAACAUAUAAAAAAACAGUAGAGCUAUAGCGCAAGCUACAUCAUAAUUCGCAAAGACCUUUUGACCAUGCUCAUGAUAAUUAGUUCAAUUAAUCAUAUUACUUAAGAACUCCCACUCAAAAAAUACAUCCCUCUAGUCAUUUCAGUGGUGCAUGAUCCAAAUCCACUAACCCAAGUCCGAUCAUCACGUGAGUUGCGUAUAGUUUCAGUGGUAAACAUCUCUAUGCUAAUCAUAUCAACUAUAUGAUUCAUGCUCGACCUUUCGGUCUCUUGUGUUCCGAGGCCAUGUCUGCACAUGCUAAGCUCGUCAAGUUUAACCCGAGUGUUCCGCGUGUGCAACUGUUUUGCACCCGUUGUAUGCGAACGUUGAGUCUAUCACACCCGAUCAUCACGUGGUGUCUCGAAACGACGAACUGUCGCAACGGUGCAUAGUCGGGGAGAACACAAUUUUAUCUUGAAAUUUUAGUGAAGGAUCACGUUAUAAUGCUACCAUCGUUCUAAGAAAGAUAAGGUGCAUAAAAGGAUUAACAGCACAUGCAAUUCAUAAGUGACAUGAUAUGGCCAUGAUCUUGUGCUUCUUGAUCUCCAUCACCAAAGCACCGACAUGAUCUUCAUCGUCACCGGCACCACACCAUGAUCUCCACCAUCGUGCCGCCAUCGAGGUUGUCGUGCUAUAUACGCUAUCACUACUAAAGCUACAACCUAGCGAUAUAGUAAACGCAUAUGCAAACACAAACGUUAGUUUAAAGACAACCUUAUGGAUCCUGCCAGUUGCCGUAGCAUCGACGUGCAAGUCGAUAUUUAACUAUUACAAAAUGAUCAUCUCAUACAUCCAAUAUAUCACAUCAUGUCUUUGGCCAUAUCACAUCACAUGCAUACCCUGCAAAAACAAGUUAGACAUCCUCUAAUUUGUUGUUGCAUGUUUUACGUGGCUCCUAUGGGUAUCUAGUAUGAUCGCAUCUUACUUACGCAUAGCCACAACGGUAAUAUGCAAAUUGCUAUUUAACCUUUCUCCAAGGACCGCCUCGGUCAAAUCCGAUUCAACUAAAGUUGAAGAAACAGACACCCGCCAGUCAUCUUUAUGCAACAAGUUGCAUGUUAGUCGAUGAAACCGGUCUCUUGUAAGCGUACGAUUAAGGUUGGUUUGGGCCGCUUCAAUCCAACAAUACCGCCGAAUCGAGAAAAUACUAAGGAGGGCAGCAAAUUGAACAUCAAUGCCCACAAAAACUUGUUUGUUCUACUCGAGAUUACAUCUACGCAUGAACCUAGCUCAUGAUGCCACUAUUGGGGAACGUUUCAUGGGAAACUAAAAAAUUCCUACACACACGAAGACCUAUCAUGGUGAUGAUCAUCUACGAGAGGGAGAUCGGGUCCACAUACCCUUGUAGAUCGCUAAGUGGAAAUGUUAAGAAACGUGUAUGAUGUAGUGGUAUGUCUUCACGAUCCGUCCCACGAACCGUCUCACGAUCCGUCCCGAUCAAGUGUUGAACGGACGGCACCUCCGCGUUCCGCACACGUACAGCUCGAUGACGAUCUCCGCCUUCUUGAUCCAGCAAGAGGGGCGGAGAGGUAGAUGAGUUCUCCAGCAUGGCGAUGUGGUGGUGGUGUUGGUGGUGCUAUUCCAGCAGGGCUUCGCCUAAGCACCGCUGAAACUAGAGGAGAAACAGAUCUAGAGAGAGAGGGCAGCACGUGGCUGUUUCUGUUGUCCAAAAACCCUCAAAACCCUUAGUAUAUAUAGGAGGAGAGGAGGGAGAGGGUUGCGCCCUAGAGCAACCUUCUCUUCCCUUGCGCAAGGGAGAGGAGGAGGAGUCCUACUCCAAUCCUAUUUGGAGUAGGAUUCCUCCUUCCCACUUGGAAACUCUUUCCACCUUGUGUUUUUCCUUCUCAAACCUUAUGGGUCUUAGUGGGAACUUAUUCGAGCCCACUAGGGGAUGGUUUAUCUCUUGCCACAGCCCAUAAGGCCUCUUGGGGCGUGACACCCCUCCCGAUGGUCCCCGGCACACCUCCCGGCACUCCCGGUACACUACCGAUGAGCCCGAAACUUUUCCCGUGACCAAAACAGGACUCCCUAUAUAUCAAUCUUCAUUUCCGGACCAUUCUGGAAACCUUCGUGAUGUACGGGAUCUCAUCCGGCACUCUGAACAACCUUCGGUCACCAACACAUAUAACUUAACUAUACCGAAACAUCACCGAACUUUAAGUGUGUAGACCCUGCGGGUUCGAGAACUAUGUAGACAUGACCUGAGACACUCUUCGGUCAAUAACCAACGGCGGGACCUCGAUGUUCAUAUUGGCUCCUACAUAUUCUACGAAUAUCUCUAUCGGUUGAACCUCUAUGUCAAGGAUUAAUAUAAUCCCGUAUACUAUUCCCUUUGUCCUUCGGUAUGUUACUUGCCCGAGAUUCGAUCGUUGGUAUCUCCAUACCGAGUUCAAUCUCGUUACCGGCAAGUCUCUUUACUCGUUCCAUAAUACAAGAUCUCGUGACUAACUCCUUAGUCAUAUUGCUUGCAAGGCUUGUUGUGAUGUUGUAUUACCGAGUGGGCCCCCUAGAUACCACUCCGUCACAUGGAGUGACAAAUCACAGUCUUGAUCCAUGCCAACCUAAUAGACACCUUUGGAGAUACGUGUAGAGCACCUUUAUGGUCACCCAGUUAUGUUGUGACGUUUGAUACACACAAGGCAUUCCUCCGGUGUCCGGGAGUUGUGAUACGUCCAUUUUGCAUCAUGUUUUCAUGUUGAUAUUUAUUGCUUCUUGGGAUGUUAUAUUACUUGUGGUGCCAUAUUUAUGCCUUUUCGCUCUUAUUUUGCAAGGAUUAUUUGAAGAGGGAGAAUUCAGGCAGCUGGAAUUCUGGACUAGAAAAGGAGCAAAUCCUAGUCCACUAUUCUGCACAUCUCCAAAUGCCCUGAAAAUUUUCGUGGAUUUUUUCUAGAAUAUAUUAAAAAUACUGGGCGAAAGAACUACCAGAGGGGGCCACCAGGGCCCCACAAGCUUGCCCACCGCCGCCGCCCCCCUGGUGGCGCACGGCAGGCUUGUGGGCAGCCCACUGGCCCACUAGCCCCCCUCUUUUGCUAUAUGAUGCGUCCUGACCUGGAGAAAAUCAUACAGGAGCUUUUUCGUGGUUUCCCCGCCGCCACAGGGCGGAACUUGAGUAGAUCCAAUCUAGAGCUCCGGCAGGACGAUCUUGUCGGGGAAAUUUCCCUCCCGGAGGGGGGAAUCAUCACCAUCUUCAUCACCAACACUCCUCUCAGCGGAGGGGAGGCAUCUUCAUCAACAUCUUCAUCGGCACCAUCUCUUCUCCAAUCCCUAGUUCAUCUCUUGUAACCAAUCUUCGUCUCGCAACUCAGAUUAGUACUUGUAAGGUUGCUAGUAGUGUUGAUUACUCUUUGUAGUUGAUGCUUGUUGGAUUACUUGGUGGAAGAGUUUAUGUUCAGAUCCUUGAUGCUAUUCAUUACACCUCUGGUCAUGAUUAUGAUUAUAUCUUGUGAGUAGUUACUUUUGUUCCUAAGGACAUGGAAUAAGUCAUGCUGAUAAUAGUCAUGUGAAUUUGAUAUUCGUUCAGUAUUUUGAUAUGAUGUAUGUUGUUUUUCCUCUAGUGGUGUUAUGUGAACGUGGACUACAUAACACUUCACCAUAUUUGAGCCUAGAGGAAGGCAUUGUGAAGUAGUAAGUAGAUGAUGGGUUGCUGGAGUGACAGAAGCUUAAACCCCAGUUUAUGCGUUGCUUCGUGAGGGGAUGAUUUGGAUCCACUAGUUUAAUGCUAUGGUUAGACUUUGUCUUAAUUCUUCUUUUGUAGUUGCGGAUGCUUGCUAGAGAGGUUAAUCAUAAGUGGGAUGCUUGUCCAAGUAAGGUCAGUACCCAAGCGCCGGUCCACCCACAUAUCAAACUAUCAAAGUAACGAACGCGAAUCAUAUGAACAUGAUGAAACUAGCAUGACAGAAAUUCUCAUGUGUCCUCGGGAGCAUUUUUCCUCCUAUAUGACUUUGUUCAGGCUUGUCCCUUGCUACAAAAGGGAUUGGGCCACUUGCUGCACCGUUGCUACUACUUGUUAUUUGUUACUCUUUGCUUGCUACGUUUCACCUCGCUACACAAUCACUUGUUACCGCUACUUUCAGUGCUUGCAGUUAUUACCUUGCUGAAAUUCGUUUAUCACAGCCUUCUGCUCCUCGUUGGGUUCGACAAUCUUACUUAUAGAAAGGACUAUGAUUGAUCCCCUAUACUUGUGUUGGAAAUAUGCCCUAGAGGCAAUAAUAAAUUAGUUAUUAUUAUAUUUCUUUGUUCAUGAUAAUCGUUUCUUAUCCAUGCUAUAAUUGUAUUGAUUGGAAACACAGUGCAUGUGUGGAUACACAGACAAAACACAGUCCCUAGUAAGCCUCUAGUUGACUAGCUCGUUGAUCAAAGAUGGUCAAGGUUUCCUGACCAUAGGCAAGUGUUGUCACUUGAUAACGGGAUCACAUCAUUAGGAGAAUCAUGUGAUGGACUAGACCCAAACUAAUAAGACGUAGGAUGUUGAUCGUGUCAUUUUGUUGCUAUUGUUUUCUGCGUCUCAAGUAUUUGUUCCUAUGACCAUGAGAUCAUAUAACUCACUGACACCGGAGGAAUGCUUUGUGUGUAUCAAACGUUGCAACGUAACUGGGUGACUAUAAAGAUGCUCUAUAGGUAUCUCCGAAGGUGUUCGUUGAGAUAGUAUGGAUCGAGACUGGGAUUUGUCACUCCGUGUGACGGAGAGGUAUCUCGGGGCCCACUCGGUAAUACAACAUCACNNNNNNNNNNNNNNNNNNNNNNNNNNNNNNNNNNNNNNNNNNNNNNNNNNNNNNNNNNNNNNNNNNNNNNNNNNNNNNNNNNNNNNNNNNNNNNNNNNNNNNNNNNNNNNNNNNNGGUAAACGAGAUUGAAAUAGGUAUGCGGAUACUGACGAUCGAAUCUCGGGCAAGUAACAUACCGAAGUACAAAGGGAAUGACAUACGGGAUUAUAUGAAUCCUUGGCACCGAGGUUCAAACGAUAAGAUCUUCGUAGAAUAUGUAGGAUCCAAUAUGGGCAUCCAAGUCCCGCUAUUGGAUAUUGACCGAGGAGUCACUCGGGUCAUGUCUACAUAGUUCUCGAACCCGCAGGGUCUGUACACUUAAGGUUCGACGUUGUUUUAUGCGUAUUUGAGUUAUAUGGUUGGUUACCGAAUGUUGUUCGGAGUCCCGGAUGAGAUCACGGACAUCACGAGGGUUUCCGGAAUGGUCCGGAAACAAAGAUUGAUAUAUAGGAUGACCUCAUUUGAUUACCGGAAGGUUUUCGGAGUUACCGGGAAUAUACCGGGAAUGACGAAUGGGUUCCUCGGAAUGUACCAGGAAUGACGAAUGGGUUCCGGGUGUUCACCGGGGGGGCAACCCACCCCGGGGAAGCCCAUAGGCCUUGGGGGUGGCGCACCAGCCCUUAGUGGGCUGGUGGGACAGCCCAAUAAGGCCCUAUGCGCCAUAGGAAGAAAAUCAAAGAGAAAAAGGAAAAAAGAAAAGGGGAGGUGAGAAAAAGGGGAAGGACUCCACCUUCCAAACCUAGUUGGAUUCGGUUUGGAAGGGGAGGACUCCCCCCCUUGGCUCGACCGACCCCCAAGGCAAGGCCCCCCUCUCCCACCUAUAUAUACGGAGGUUUUAGGGUUGAUUUGAGACAACUUUGCCACGGCAGCCCGACCACAUACCACCAUGGUUUUACCUCUAGAUCGCGUUUCUGCGGAGCUCGGGUGGAGCCCUGCUGAGAUUAGAUCACCACCAAACUCCGGAGCGCCGUCAUGCUGCCCGAGAACUCAUCUACCUCUCCGUCUCUCUUGCUGGAUCAAGAAGGCCGAGAUCAUCGUCGAGCUGUACGUGUGCUGAACGCGGAGGUGCCGUCCGUUCGGCACUAGAUCGUGGGACGGAUCGCGGGACGGUUUGCGGGGCGGAUCGAGGGACGUGAGGACGUUCCACUACAUCAACCGCGUUUCUUAACGCUUCUGCUGUGCGAUCUACAAGGGUACAUAGAUCAAAUAUCCCCUCUCGUAGAUGGACAUCACCAUGAUAGGUCUUCGUGCGCGUAGGAAAAUUUUUGUUUCCCAUGCGACGUUCCCCAACAACUUGUGGGUCAUCAAGACUCUUUUCUGGCGCCGUUGCCGGGGAGUGAAGCGCCUUUGGUAAGUGGAAAUUGGUAAGGAAACAAUUUUAUACUGUGCUGAAAUUUAUUGUCACUUGUCACUAUGGAAACUCUUCCUUUGAGGAGUUUGUUCGGGGUAUCUUCACCAUGAACGGAAGCACGAGGAUUUGCUCCUCAACCUGAGGUACCUACUGAAAAUAUCUUUUAUAAAAUUCCUUUGGGUAUGCUUGAGAAAUUGCUGGCUAAUCCUUUUACAGGAGAUGGAUCUUCACAUCCAGACUUUCAUCUAAUCUAUGUAGAUGAAGUUUGUGGUUUAUUUAAGCUUGCAGGUUUGCCCGAGGAUGAGGUAAAGAAGAAACUCUUUCCUUUAUCUUUGAAGGAUAAGGCAUUGACAUGGUAUAGGCUAUGUGAUGAUACUGGAUCAUGCAGCUACAAUCGGUUGAAAUUGGAAUUUCAUCAAAAGUUCUAUCCCAUGCAUUUAGUAUAUCAUGAUCGGAACUUUAUUUAUAACUUUUGGCCUCGUGAUAGGGAAAGCAUAGCUCAAGCUUGGGGGAGGCUUAAAUCAAUGCUAUAUUCAUGCCCCAAUCAUGAGCUCUCGAGAGAAAUCAACACUCAAAACAUUUAUGCUCGGAUUUCUCAUGAAGAUCGUACCAUGCUUGAUACUUCUUGUGCCGGUUCUUUUAUGAAGAAGAAUAUUGAUCACAAGUGGAAUUUAUUGGAGAGAAUCAAACGCAACUCUGGAGAUUGGGAGCUGGAGGAAGGUAAGGACUCAGGUAUGAAUUUCUAUUUUGAUUGCGUUAAAUCUUUUGUUGAGACAAACACUUCUAGAGAGCGCUAAGUAUGGACUUGACUCUGAGAUAGUAGCUUCUCUUUGUAAAUCUUUUGCUGCUCAUGUUGAUCUUCCCAAAGAGAAGUGGUUUAAAUAUCAUCCUCCUGUAGAAAGCAACAUAGCCAAAACCAAUCUAGUUGAGGAGAAAAUCAUAGCUUUUAGUGAUCCUGUUGUUCCUUGUGCUUACACUGAGAAACCACCAUACCCUGCUAGGAUGAAGGAUUAUUCUAAAGCUCCAACUGUGAUACGUAGGGGUUACAUUAGACCACUUGCACCCCCUGAAGAGAUUAGAGUUGAACCUAGUGUUGCUAUUAUCAAAGAUCUCUUAGCCAAAGAGAUAGAUGGGCAUGUUAUCAAAUUCUGUGAGGACUCCGCUAGAAUUGCUAAACCUCACGCGAAAGACAAGCACGGACCUGUAGUUGGCCUGCCCGUUGUUUCUGUUAAGAUAGGAGAUCACUGUUACCAUGGUUUAUGUGAUAUGGGAGCUAGUGUUAGUGCAAUACCCCGUUCUCUAUAUGAUGAAAUCAAAGAUGAGAUUGCACCAGCUGAGAUAGAACCCAUUGAUGUCACUAUCACGCUAGCUAAUAGAGACACUAUAUGCCCUUUGGGAAUUGUGAGAGAUGUAGAAGUCCUGUGUGGUAAGACGAAGUAUCCUACUGAUUUCCUCGUCCUUGGUACUACACAAGAUAGCUUUUGUCCCAUCAUAUUCGGUAGACCCUUUCUCAACACUAUCAAUGCUCACAUUGAUUGCAUUAAGCAGACUGUCAUAGUAAGUUUCGAGGGUGUGUCUCAUGAAUUUAACUUCUCCAAGUUUGGAAGACAACCCCAUGAAAGAGAUUCAUCUGGUAGGGAUGAAAUCAUUGCUCUUUCCUCUAUUGCCAUACCUCCUACGAAUCCUUUAGAGCAAUAUCUGCUUGAGCAUGAAAAUGAUAUGCAUACGGAGGAGAGAGAUGAGAUAGAUAGAAUUGUCUUAGAACAAUGUCCUAUUCUCAAGAAUAAUCUGCAUGUUGAACUGCUUGGGGAUCCUCCCCCACCAAAGGGUGAUCCUGUGUUCGAGCUUAAACAGUUGCCUGAUACUCUUAAGUAUGCCUAUCUUGAUGAGAAGGAGAUAUAUCCUGUCAUUAUUAGUGCUCUCCUCUCAGAGCGUGAAGAGAAGAAGUUACUAAAAACUCUGAGGAAGCACCGCGCUGCUAUUGGAUAUACUCUUGAUGAUCUUAAGGGUAUUAGUCCUACUCUAUGUCAGCACAAGAUUAAAACCGAUCCUGACUUUAAACCAGUUGCUGAUCAUCAAAGGAGAUUAAAUCCUAAGAUGAAAGAGGUCGUUAGAAAAGAAAUAUUAAAGCUUCUGGAAGCAGGAAUCAUUUAUCCUAUUGCUCAUAGUGAUUGGGUAAGUCCAGUACAUUGCGUACCUAAGAAGGGAGGUAUCACCGUCGUUCCUAAUGAUAAGGAUGAACUAAUCCCACAAAGGAUUAUUACCGGCUAUAGAAUGGUGAUAGACUUCCGGAAACUGAACAAGGCAACCAGGAAAGAUCAUUAUCCUUUGCCGUUCAUCGACCAAAUGCUAGAAAGGCUAUCAAAGCACACACACUUUUGCUUUCUAGACGGUUAUUCAGGUUUCUCGCAAAUACCUGUUGCAUAAUUUGAUCAAGAGAAAACCACCUUCACCUGCCCUUUCGAUACCUUUGCCUAUAGAUGUAUGCCUUUUGGCUUAUGUAAUGCACCUGCCACCUUUCAAAGAUGUAUGAUGGCUAUAUUCUCUGACUUUUGUGAAAAGAUUGUCGAGGUUUUCAUGGAUGACUUCUCCAUUUACGGGUCUUCCUUUGAUGAUUGCCUCAGCAACCUUGAUCGAAUCUUACAGAGAUGCGAAUAAACCAACCUCGUCUUGAAUUGGGAGAAGUGCCACUUUAUGGUUAAUGAAGGUAUCGUCUUAGGACACAAAAUCUCUGAAAGAGGCAUUGAAGUUGAUAAGGCUAAGGUUGAUGCAAUUGAGAAAAUGCCUUGCCCCACAGAUAUCAGAGGUAUACGAAGUUUCCUAGGUCAUGCUGAUUUCUAUAGAAGGUUCAUUAAAGACUUCUCUAAGAUUUCUAGGCCUCUUACCAACCUCUUGCAGAAGGAUGUUCCUUUUGUUUUUGAUGAGGAUUGUGAGGAAGCCUUCGAAAUACUUAAGAAGGCUUUGAUAACCGCACCUAUUGUUCAACCACCUGACUGGAACUUUCCCUUUGAAAUCAUGUGUGACGCUAGUGAUUAUGCUGUUGGUGUUGUUCUAGGACAAAGAGUUGACAAGAAGUUGAAUGUCAUUCACUACGCUAGUAAAACUCUAGACAGUGCCCAAAGGAACUAUGCCACUACGGAGAAGGAAUUUUUAGCACUCGUGUUUGCAUGUGAAAAAAUCAGAUCUAACAUAGUUGACUCCAAGGUCACUAUUCACUCUGAUCAUGCUCCUAUUAAGUACCUUAUGGAGAAGAAGGACGCUAAGCCUAGGCUUAUCAGAUGGGUUCUCCUGCUACAGGAAUUUGAUUUGCACGUCAUUGACCGAAAGGGUGCUGAUAACCCUGUAGCAGAUAACUUGUCUAGGCUAGAGAAUGUCCUUGAUGACCCACUACCAAUUGAUGACAGCUUUCCUGAUGACCAAUUAAAUGUCAUCCGCACUUCACUUAGUGCACCAUGGUAUGCCGAUUAUGCAAACUAUAUCGUAGCCAAAUACAUACCACCCAGUUUCACCUAUCAACAAAAGAAGAAAUUCUUCUUUGAUUUGAGACACUACUUUUGGGAUGAUCCUCACCUUUAUAAGGAAGGAGUAGAUGGUGUUAUUAGACGUUGUGUGCCUGAACAUGAACAGGGACAGAUCCUGCAGAAGUGUCAUUCCGAAGCCUACGGAGGACACCACGCUGGAGAUAGAACUGCCCAUGAGGUAUUGCAAUCAGGUUUCUAUUGGCCCACUCUCUUCAAGGAUGCUCGUAAGUUUGUCUUGUCUUGUGACAAAUGCCCAAGGAUAGGGAACAUCAGUAAGCGUCACAAGAUGCCUAUGAACUAUUCACUUGUCAUUGAACCAUUUGAUGUCUGGGGCUUUGAUUAUAUGGGACCCUUCCCGAGUUCCAGUGGGUACACUCACAUCUUAGUUGUUGUGGAUUACGUUACUAAGUGGGUAGAAGCUAUCCCCACUAAAAAUGCUGAUCACCACAACUCUAUUAAGAUGCUUAAAGAAGUUAUAUUCCCAAGAUUUGGAGUCCCUAGAUACUUGAUGACUGAUGGCGGUUCACACUUCAUUCAUGGUGUUUUCCGCAAGAUGCUAGCUAAGUAUGAUGUCAACCAUAGAGUUGCAUCUCCUUAUCAUCCUCAGUCUAGUGGUCAAUUGGAGUUGAGUAAUAGGGAGAUCAAGUUGAUCUUACAAAAGACCGUCAAUAGAUCCCGAAAGAACUGGUCUAGCAAACUUGACGAUGCACUAUGGGCUUAUAGGACUGCUUAUAAAAAUCCCAUGGGCAUGUCACCGUAUAAAAUGGUUUACGGUAAGGCCUGUCAUUUACCUCUUGAGUUGGAACACAAAGCUUAUUGGGCAAUCAAAGAGCUCAACUUUGAUUUCAAACUUGCCAGUGAGAAGCGGUUGUUUGAUAUCAGCUUGUUGGAUGAAUGGAGAGCCCAGGCAUAUGAGAAUACCACGUCGUCAAGGAAAAGGUUAAGAGAUGGCACGACAAACGAAUACAGAAACGAGAGUUCAAUGUAGGUGAUUAUGUCUUGCUAUACAAUUCUCGUUUGAGAUUCUUUGGAGGCAAGCUUCUCUCUAAAUGGGAAGGUCCCUACGUUGUCGAGGAAGUAUAUCGUUCCGGUGCCAUCAAAAUCAAUAAUACAAGGAAAUUUUCCUAGAGUGGUAAAUGGGCAAAGAAUCAAGCAUUACAUCUCUGGUACUCCCAUAAAUGUUGAGACCAAUAUCAUCAAUGUCAUAACUCCACAGGAGUACAUAAGGGAUGUUUAUCAGCCUGUUUCAGACCUUGAAAACGAAGAUGUAUCUGUUUCGGCAAGAAAUUGGACUCCGAUACUUUUCCAAUAGGAAAUUUCCUCAGUUUUGGAAUUUUUGGAAAAUUAGAAAAAUAAAAAAGCAGUCCGGAGAGCAAACGAGGAAGCCACAAGGGCCCACUCCGCCACCACCCCCUGGUGGCGGUGGGCAAGCUUGUGGGCACCUUGUGUGCCUCCCGGACUCCGUUUUCUUGCAGAGGACUCCUUCUGGCCCAGAAAAAAUCAAUAUAUAGUUGCCCGAAGGUUUUGAUCUUCAUAUCGCGUAGUUUUCCUCUGUUUUCGUUUCGAGCUUGUUUCUGCCGCAGAUCUAGAUCAUCAUGACUUCCCCAAACGCUCCUAAGGACAAGAUCUUGGAGAAGGUCAUCAAUCCCUACCUCACGGAAGUGCUAAAACACCAUCAAUCUAUCAAGAUGAGCGAGGGGAUGUUGCACAUCCGUGAUGUUGAGGGGCCUAAGAAGACCGGAAGCAUGGAGACGAGGCUCGAAGUAGUGGAGCAACAAGUCUUCAUGUGCCAAGGGAUGGUUGAGCGUGGACUCAACGCCAACCACACGAUGAUCACGGAGUUCACUAGCAAUCACAAGAUGGAUGUCAUUGAUAUCGGGAAACACCUCUCCAGACUUUACGAUAGGGUUGACCAACUUCAGGGCCAAAUCUAUGACCUGCAGAAUCAAAACUGUGAGUAUGGGUAUAGAUUUAAAUCAAUAAGGUUGGCUGCAGAUUUGAGGAUUUCGGCUACUCGUUCAUCCUGCCAUGAUGGAGCACCUAUGCCUUGGAAGACGGAGGAUCAGACUACUCCAACAACACCACCAUCAUCACCAAAGGAAGACAACUAAGCAUUGGUAUGGGCAAUCCCCUUGGCUUCUGCCGAGCUUGGGGGAGUUGCCCUGGUAUCAUAUCACCUUUAUAUCUUUUGCUUUUACCUUUGUUUUAGUUCUUUCCCUUUCAGUUUUUAUUUCUUCUUUUAGAGGAAUAAGUCUUUAGUUUUUAGUUUGAGUCUUUUGCUUUUGGUCUCUCCCCCGAUGUAUUCGAGCUUACGAGCUAUAUAAUAAAGAGUGUCUUAGUCAAAGGGCUUUGCUUUGUGCCAUGAUCAAAAGUAUGAAAAGAACGAUAGCAUGAAAGAUCAUGAGACGAUCUUAUGGAAAGUGAUAACUUCACUUAUGACACGUAUGAUGAUUGAAACUUGUCGAGAAUAAAUCAACACAUACCUCAGUCAUUGUUGCAAUUAAUAAGAAGUAAUAAGGAAAGAGAGGUUCACAUAUAAAUAUAUCAUCUUAGACACUUUCUACAAUUGUGAGCACUCACCAAACUAUUACAUGCCUAGGAGUAGAUGUUGGACAAGGAAGACAACAUAAUGAAUUGUGUUUGCUUGGUUCCAAACAAUGUUAUAUGAUUAGAGAUCCCUUAGCAUGUGACGAUUGCUUCCACCUCAUAUUAGCCAAAACUUCCGCACCAAGUAGAGAUACUACUUGUGCAUCCAUAAACCUUCAACCCAGUUUUGCCAUGAGAGUCCACCAUACCUACCUAUGGAUUGAAUAAGAUCCUUCAAGUAAGUUGUCAUCGGUGCAAGCAAUAAAAAUUGCUCUCUAAUAUGUAUGAUCUAUUAGUGUGUGGAAAAUAAGCUUUGUACGAACCUGUGAUGAGGAAGACAUAAAAGCGACAGACUGCAUAAUAAAGUUCUUUGUCACAGGAGGCAAUAUAAAGUGACGUUCCUCCGCACUAAGAGGACACGCAUUCAAACCUCAAAAGUGCAUGACAACCUCUGCUUCCCUCUGCGAAGGGCCUAUCUUGUACCUUUACUUUUACCCUUGUAAGAGUCAUGGUGAUCAUCACCAAUUCCCUUUUUGCCUUCGUCUUGGCUACCGUCACAUGCUUGGAAAAGAUCUAUAUUCAUAUAUCAACUUGGAGUUGAGUACUCAUGCUUUAUUGUUGUUGACUUUACCCUUGAGGUAAACCGUUGGGAGGAAAAACUAUAAGCCCCCAUCUUCCUCUGUGUCGAGCUGAAGCUUUGACACCAUGAGUACCACGUGAGCUAUAAAAAUUGUGGAAAACAAAAGAGAUGAUUGAGUAUGUGGGUUUGCCUUACAAGCUCUUAUUUGACUCUUUCUGAUGUUGUGAUAAAUUGCAAUUGCUUCAAUGAUUAUGGACUAUUGUUGGUUACUUCUCGGUAAGGUUUUUGCUUCAUGCUUUGCUUUGUGAAGGAAUUGUUACUUUCCCAUAAGAAUCUUUAUAUAUAUUGUUGUUCUAUGUGUGAUCAUGAUGCCCUCAUGUCUGUAUUAUGUUUUAUCGACACCUUCGUCCCUCAACAUGUGGACGUGUUUAUGGAACUUGGUUUUCGCUUGAGGACAAGCGAGGUCUAAGCUUGGGGGAGUUGAUACGUCCAUUUUGCAUCAUGUUUUCAUGUUGAUAUUUAUUGCUUCUUGGGAUGUUAUAUUACUUGUGGUGCCAUAUUUAUGCCUUUUCGCUCUUAUUUUGCAAGGAUUAUUUGAAGAGGGAGAAUUCAGGCAGCUGGAAUUCUGGACUAGAAAAGGAGCAAAUCCUAGUCCACUAUUCUGCACAUCUCCAAAUGCCCUGAAAAUUUACGUGGAUUUUUUCUGGAAUAUAUUAAAAAUACUGGGCGAAAGAACUACUGGAGGGGGGCCACCAGGGCCCCACAAGCUUGCCCACCACCACCACCCCCUGGUGGCGCACGGUAGGCUUGUGGGCAGCCCACUAGCCCACUAGCCCCCCUCUUUUGCUAUAUGAUGCGUCCUGACCUGGAAAAAAUCAUACAGGAGCUUUUUCGUGGUUUCGCCGCCACCACGGGGCGGAACUUGAGCAGAUCCAAUCUAGAGCUCUGGCAGGACAAUCCUGCCGGGGAAAUUUCCCUCCCGGAGGGGGGAAUCGUCGCCAUCUUCAUCACCAACACUCCUCUCGUCGGAGGGGAGGCAUCUUCAUCAACAUCUUCAUCAGCACCAUCUCUUCUCCAAUCCCUAGUUCAUCUCUUGUAACCAAUCUUCAUCUCGCAACUCAAAUUGGUACUUGUAAGGUUGCUAGUAGUGUUGAUUACUCUUUGUACUUGAUGCUUGUUGGAUUACUUGGUGGAAGAUUUUAUGUUCAGAUCCUUGAUGCUAUUCAUUACACCUCUGGUCAUGAUUAUGAUUAUGUCUUGUGAGUAGUUACUUUUGUUCCUGAGGACAUGGAAUAAGUCAUGCUGAUAAUAGUCAUGUGAAUUUGAUAUUCGUUCGGUAUUUUGAUAUGAUGUAUGUUGUUUUUCCUCUAGUGGUGUUAUGUGAAUGUCAACUACAUAACACUUCACCAUAUUUGGGUCUAGAGGAAGGCAUUGGAAAGUAGUAAGUAGAUGAUGGGUUGCUGGAGUGACAGAAGCUUGAACCCCAGUUUAUGCGCUACUUCGUGAGGGGUUGAUUUGGAUCCACUAGUUUAAUGCUAUGGUUAGACUUUGUCUUAAUUCUUCUUUUGUAGUUGCGGAUGCUUGCGAGAUAGGUUAAUCAUAAGUGGGAUGCUUGUCCAAGUAAGGGCAGUACCCAAGUGCCGGUCCACCCACAUAUCAAACUAUCAAAGUAACGAAUGCGAAUCAUAUGAACAUGAUGAAACUAGUAUGACAGAAAUUCCCGUGUGUCCUCGGGAGCGUUUUCCUCCUAUAAGACUUUGUUCAGGCUUGUCCCUUGCUACAAAAGGGAUUGGGCCACUUGCUGCACCGUUGCUACUACUUGUUACUUGUUACUCUUUGCUUGCUACGUUUCACCUCGCUACACAAUCACUUGUUACCGCUACUUUCAGUGCUUGCAGUUAUUACCUUGCUGAAAUCCGUUUAUCAGAGCCUUUUGCUCCUCGUUGGGUUCGACACUCUUACUUAUCGAAAUGACUACGAUUGAUCCCCUAUACUUGUGGGUCAUCAAGUUGCGUGAUCACAUGGUCAUAGGAACAGAAACAUUGACAUGCAGAAAAAUAGUAGCAAUAAACUGACACGAUCAUAUGCUACAUUUAUAGUUCGGUUCUUGUCCAUCACAUCAUUCUCCCAAUGAUGUGAUCCCGUCAUCAAGUGACAACACUUGCCUAUGGCCAGGAAACCUUGACCAUCUUUGAUCAACGAGCUAGUCAACUAGAGGCUCACUAGGGACAGUGGGUUGUCUAUGUAUCCACACAUGUAUUUGAGUUUCCAAUCAAUACAAUUCUAGCAUGGAUAAAUAAAUGAUUAUUACGAACAAGGAAAUAUAAUAAUAACCAAUUUAUUAUUGCCUCUAGGGCAUAUUUCCAACAAUUUCUAUGUAAAAGGUGCGGAUAGUACCUCAUUCUCGUCUAUCCCAAGCUGAGGUAUGUCACCGACCCUAUGCUCAUCCAUGCAUACAAAAUUAUCCACUGGAGCCCUGAAUAAUUUUUUAUAGUAUUCAAAGAUAUAUUGUUUGAGAUUCUCAUGUCCCACAAUUGUACCCUCAUCUUGUUCUAGCUGGAUAAUUUUUUUAUUCCUAUGCUUUCCAUUAGCUAUUAGAUGGAAAUGUUGUGUGUUGUCAUCUCCUUGUACCACUUGGAGGACUUUCGCUCUUAGUGCCCACUUCAACUCCUCCUCUCUGAGUAGUUGUUUGAGCUUUAGUUCAGCCUCCAUUUUUCAAUGACCUCUCAUUGUCACCUAAUAACGUUUGUUCGGCUUUUAUGUCUAGUGUGUUUAUAAGUUUAUAAGUUCGACAAGCCUUUGUUUCUUUUUCUUAUAAAUUACACUAUCGUGCUUUUCCCAACCCCUUAAGAAUUGCCUCAGGUGUCUUAUCUUAUUUUGCCACCUGUCAACAUUCGAGUCACCUUCUGUGAAAUAGCCCAUUCUCAAACCCGUCCCUUUCAAACCAUCCCAAUUCGAAAGAAAAAAGGUUUUUAUUUCCCACAUGUGUUGCUUCUCGCGAGUCUACAAACAGUGGGGUAUGAUCAGAGAUAGCUCUUGGUAACUCUCAAACUGUGACGAGAGGGAAUUUCUGCUCCCAUUCCACACUCAUGAGAACCCGGUCCAACUUCUCAAAAGUUGGGUUAGGUAAAGAGUUUGCCCAAGUAAACUUUCUCCCUGAUAGCUCAAUCUCCCACAAAUUAAGGCUCUCGAUGAUUGAAUUAAACAUAAAUGACCAUCUUCCAUCAAAGUUAUCACUGUUUUUCUCAUCCUGCCUCCAGAUUAUAUUAAAAUCGCCCCCUACUAAAAUCGGCAGUCUCUCGUCCCCGCAGAUUCGGACAAGGUCAGCCAAGAAAUCUCUCUUGAACUCAGGCUGGGCCGCCCCAUGCACAUCUACGAGUGCCCAUUGGAACCCGUCAUCUUUGGAGCGAACUCAAAAUUUGACUGCAAAGUCUCCAUACACCACUUUCGUAGUUGUGGUGUCUCGCACCGAACCCCAAGCAAGAUCCCACCUGAUCUUCCUCUUGGAGGUAGACAAUGCCAGUCAAAUUCAGAACCUCCAUACAACGUGUUUAAAAACGAAGCUAUAUAGUUAUCUCUCCCAGUUUCCAUCAAUGCAACGAAAUCCAAUUUGUGCUCAAUAGUUGUUUCAGCUAGGAAUCUUCUUUUAGCCAAGUCUGCUAGACCUCUGCUAUUCCAAAAUGUUCCUUUCAUCGCUCAUCAUGAAAUUUCUUAGCCGUUUUAAAUCUAGCACUACGACGCACAGCUGAAACAGGAUAGACUUUUCUCUUCCAGGUUCUUUUUGGCCUAUCCUGAACCUCCGACCGAUCCACAUAACCGUUGGACUCUUGUGCGUUAGCAUUCGUUUGUGGAGGAGCCUCAUACCCCUCCUGAACGAUAUCAUUUGUGUCUUCAAGCAAAAGGGGGGUGGCACAAGAUCCUCACAUAAACGCUCUAAGGCUCCCAAACCCAAUGCAUUUAUAUCAGAAUCAUUCAUAGGUUUUACGGCUGCAAUUUUUCUGACCAUCUCAAUUGCCCUCUCUGCCUCUAAGUCUAACAUGUCAUUUACCGAUCUAGAUAUCUCCUGGUCUACCAAACGCUAGAAUAAGGCCUAGUAACGGGCCCGACCCAUGCCAUUUUGGCCCAUGACUGCAACCAAACACACCCUUAAGUAACUUCUACAAUAUCCAUCCCCAACUUCCAGAAAUUCUAACACUUAAAAAAUCAAAAUCAAACUAUUGGCAUUUAAAACUUUCAUACAUUUCAUUUCUGAAAAAAAUGGUCUUUUAGAUUUCGAAAUAUCAGUAUUAUAUUUUUUACAAAAUUUAACUUUAAGAAUUUUCAAAAUUAUAAGGAUUCAAAAUUCAAAUGUUUUAGCACUUAAAAAAAUUCAAACUUUAAAAAAAUUGAACUUUCAAAUGUUUUGAAUUUUAAGAAGUGUGAACUUUCAUUUUUUUAUAAAGGAUGGGUUUUAUUUACUCAAAAUAAAGCAUCAAGAGCAUACAAAUACAAUAAGAACACACCCGGCCACUUUAUAACUAGGAUGCACACAACCAACUCAAACUCACACACACAAAAAUACGAUCGGUAAAUAGCAAAGUCAUAUAAGACCAAAGCUAUGUGCGCGGUUGGAAAAAGAAACCAAAGCGACCAUAUUGGCAAUGGACAAACUACAACAAUGACCAUAUCUGCACCAACAAUUUCAUUACACCACACGGACAACGAGGUUCCUCAACAAUGACACCUUCAGAAAGGGAGCGACGCUCAAAUGCCGCUAUCAUCGGAUCCAACCAUCCAAGGUCAGAUGCAAGAUUUUCACUCUGAGAAUCAGUCCAAGCAUGUCCGAGCAAUUCCUUCAAUAAGGUAAUGGCGUAAAAACAUCGCCAUUGCCAGGUACAGCCAACUCGAGUUGGACCUAGGCUUUCACCCGGGAGCUCAAGACCGGGUGCUCGAGAAGCACCACCAUCGAAGUCACUAUGUGUUGUUGCCACUACUUUUCCACAAUCUCAGUAGCUAUAUGCGAUGUGUGACCGCUGAUGCUGCACAACCAUCCCUCUACAUCAAGCCAUCAUCAAUAGUUUCAAUCUCACCGUUGAAGUCAACCAUCGGAUCUCCAAGAUCAAUCAUGAAGACCUUUUGAUGGAUACUACAUCAAUCCGCCGCGAGACCGCCACCGUAGUCAUGGUGGUCACCACACGUUCGUCGUCACGCCCCUAGCAGACCUAAAGGUCCACACCAAGGAACCACGGGUCCACACGCAUGGAGCCAUGGAUGUGUGUGUGGAUCAUGAAACGACCAAUCCAUGGCCAUGGCCAUUAGAUGAGACUAUCCCUGGCUGAUGGCAGGUGUCCAAGCCCUGCCGACAUGGCCACUACACCAUGGGCGCCAUCCCACAUGAAGGAGCCACCAGGCGGAGCAGCGACCACAAGUGAGGCGAGAUCUACACCAGCAAUGGCUGGAUCAUCCAGGUAACUGUCCGCUGGAUCUGUGGUGACAUCGUUGGAGGAAGCACGGGGUAGAGAGUGUGAAUCUGGGUUGGGGGAGAGGGGAAGGUCGGGGAAGAAGAUCCCUGUGGCGGUUGAGUCCCGCCGCCGCUGACAAACUGUCAUCGAUGAUGACGACGAGGAUGGAACAUCGGAGGCGGCCUCGAGUGCUAGGGUUUCUCGCCCCCGGUGUCGCCCUGGAGCAACACGGGAGGCCGAUGGCGAUUUCAUAGGAGAGAGAGAGAGAAGGUUGAGAAAUAGAAUCACAUGGUUGGGCAUGUGAGGAAAGAGAGAGAUGGAAAGAAGCACAUGGAUGAGGCCCCCUCGUCCUAUCUACCACAUGGUAACCUGACACAGUCACAUGCAAUGCUUGCGGCAAUGACCAUGGGCACAGUUCCCACAAGAGAGCAUUCUUAGAGUAAUAGCGAGUCUCAUCCUCAUGUUGGAUGCCUAUAUAAAGCUUCUCCUUUCCAACAUUCAUCAUACGAAUUGGCCAAAAUUUCUUUCUCAUUUGUGAUCUUUCAUCACAUUCAACUUUCCUUUGUAUAUAUUGUUGCUAAGCUUCAAAUUCUAAUCAGCUGGAGCUAAGCAAUGAAUUCUUCAUGCCAUCGAGCAUUCCUCGUGAGGAACAUCUUUUGUACUUUGGAAUGAGUGGUAUCGAGAAAUUAGUCAGGACGACUUUCUGAGGCUGAGGCGCCGCUUUUUUCUGUUCUCGUCUCUGAGACGUUGAGGUGGUAGACAUUUAUGAUAAGUGCAUUUCUUGUUGAGAAUAGCAUCGAUAAUCAUGUCUAGUCUAACAACUUGCUCAUUUAGGACUACCCUGGACAGUGCAACAAGUAAAAUACCAAAUCCUUGUACAAAAACAAGUUGUUGCCCUGUGGUGAGGAGUUGAAGCUAUGGCAUGAACUCGUCCAUGUGUGCGGUAUUUCUCCUUGUUGUUUCCAUCGUCUCUAGAAAUCGCUAAAAAGAUCAAAAACAAUAUCAAACCGUUGACACUAUGUGUCUACCAUCUCACACAAAUUCGAACCCAUAUCCAUCGCAGAUCUCCAAAAACAAACAAACAAGACGGAUCCAGUGUUGAACAGCAUAGCAACUAAUUCAAAUCAGCACAUGAACACAUCAUAUCAUCAGCACCAACACAAGAUUGUUUUUUUUUCUCUUUUCUUCAAACAAUAUCCUGAUUAAGGUUUAAAUAUUCUUGUGGCGUUGUAAAUACAUGUUGUGUGUCAGAGACAUAAUUCUUUUUCAAAUAAAAAAACAUAACUUUUUUUACCACAAAUUUUUCUAGGCUUAUGUGUGUGUAUCUUCCUUGUUUCAGUUCCAAGUGACAAGAGGCAAACUUGUCACGGUUGACUGAAUAGAACAGUAGCAAUCGACCUGCCCGGAGCUUCUAUUUUUUGUAGGUGAUUUUCUCUGUUAAGAGUGACUUCUUCUUUUUUGAGAGUUUUGUUAAGAGUGACAUGAAAUCUGCAUAUGGCGAUCGAGCACGCAUGCCGGCGAUCCCACACGGCGCACCGCAGCCACAAGCCGAUCGCCCCCACAAAAUCUGCCCGACGGCUCCCACCGGGAUGGGAUUCCCCGGUGCCAAUGGCGCGCGCCCACCUCACCCCCUCUUAUCCCCGCCUCACCCACUCGCGCCACGCCCCUUAUCCCCUCCUCUUACAAACCCACACAAACUAAUCAUCGCCCACCACCCUCCAACGAUCACCAACCAAAACCCCUCCACACGCCCGCCCGCGCGCGCCACGGACGCAGCAAUGGCCGCCCUCGCCGCCUCCAUCGCCACCUCCACGGCGUUCGCCGCGAAGCCGCGCCUGUCCCGCCCGCCGGCGCGCCUCUCCGUCUCCUGCUCCGCGUCCAGCGGCGACAACAACAACAGCACCGCCACCCCCUCGCUCUCCGCCUCCAUCAAGACCUUCUCGGCCGCGCUGGCGCUCUCCUCCGUGCUCCUCUCCUCCGCCGCCACCUCCCCGCCCCCCGCGGCUGCCGACAUCGCCGGCCUGACCCCGUGCAAGGAGUCCAAGGCCUUCGCCAAGCGGGAGAAGCAGUCGGUCAAGAAGCUCAACUCGUCGCUCAAGAAGUACGCGCCCGACUCCGCCCCGGCGCUCGCCAUCCAGGCCACCAUCGACAAGACCAAGCGCCGGUUCGAGAACUACGGCAAGUUCGGCCUGCUCUGCGGCUCCGACGGCCUGCCCCACCUCAUCGUCAGCGGCGACCAGCGGCACUGGGGCGAGUUCAUCACCCCCGGCGUGCUCUUCCUCUACAUCGCCGGCUGGAUCGGCUGGGUCGGACGCAGCUACCUCAUCGCCGUCAGCGGCGAGAAGAAGCCCGCCAUGAGGGAGAUCAUCAUCGACGUCGAGCUCGCCGCCAGGAUCAUCCCCAGGGGCUUCAUCUGGCCCGUCGCCGCAUACCGCGAGCUCAUCAACGGCGACCUCGUCGUCGACGACGCCGACAUCGGCUACUAAGAAGCUGCCAUGCGUGCGUGCGUGCGUGGUUGGCUAGUCGGUCCCAAGUCAGGUGAGCUCUGCAUCCAUGCCUGAAUGUGUUCUGCUCUGUCAUGCCAUGCCAUGGCUCAACUGAUUAACUUGUCUUGCGUUCUUGUUUGCUUUGGCAGAUGGGCAGCGGAGGAUGAGGGCUUGUGGUGUCGAUCUGUGUGGGCUUGGUGUAGGAGCUGAUAGGAUCAUGGAGAAAUGGAACCUCUCUUGUAUUUAAGAAACUGAACCCAAUCUUGUAUAACUAUUGUGUUCUCUCUUCACAUGUGUGUAUUUUACCAUUGUUCAAAUUGUUGAGAACGAUUUUAUUAUGCACAGCAUACUAUGAGUGCAACUGCAUCAACAUACAUAGGAAACUCAACUCAGAGAAAAGGUUGAUUUUUGUUAUAAGAAUACAAGCCAAAUAUCUACUGCAGUAGCAAAUUUAACAUACAUGAUCCACAUGGAGCAAUAUGAAAGAUCGGUGCUGCUUCUCACAUUCUCACAACACUAUACAGACUACUCCCCCGGGUCUUAUAAUAUAAGAUAUUAUUACAACAAAUGCACUCACUUGAGCCUCUUAUGGUGUGGAAUAUUUGAGAGAGGGAAACGGCAGAGUUUUGGACAACACUCACAGCACACUGCGAAGAAUCGUAGACCGAAUGAAGGCCGAUCCCAGGCAGUGGGUUGUUUGAUCUUCGCAUAGGUUGUUCGGUCAGCAAGGCUUAAUUAUCAGUUUCUGGUGUAGGUCGUUUUGUAAGGACUGUGUGUUGUUUUCCCUUUGUUUCUUUUCAGUGCAGUCACAAUUUCAUCUGGAGCACCCUUUUGCAACGGGCCAAACUCCAGGAGGUCAUUUCUUGAAUGGGUCGGGAGCUCCUCCCAUGGUGGAUUGUGGCCAGAGUUGCCCUUCAAGGGAAAGAUAAGAAGAAUGCCCGGCUCUGAGAUCAGAGCCCUGGUCGUUUGGGCUACAUGGAGAGGGGAAUGCCUUAACAAUGAAGUCACGCCCUUUUCUUCAGGCCGUGAGCAAGCUUAAAUUAGAAGCUGGUUUUGGCGAGGAAGACUGUAUGCUCUAGGUGUUUCAGAGAAUGAAACAUGUAUAUAUUCAGGUUGUGGGCCGUCGCCAGCAGCAAUGGAUUGGUGAUUAUUCAAGACAGCGGCUGAAUUGAUUCGUAUAUAUGGACAAUAAAACAUGUAUAUUUGGACAGCUCUGACCCUGAAGGUUGCAACCAUGAUUCCAAAAUACACGGGAAAUUCACCUUAGCAAAAAGAUUUAUUAACAUGAUUACACCAAGUUCAGCAAUACAAAUAUUUGCUCCUGGGCAUCCAAGACAAGGCAAGUGCCCUGUUUUUCCAAAAGAUUGUUCUUUAAGAAUACAACACAAAAUGCCUACUGCAACCAGUAGCAAAUUCAGCAACAUGCUGAACAAUAUUGCCUGUUACUACUCACAAGUCACAACACUUUCGAUACUUAUACAAACUACAAAUGCUUAUUCACACAAGAAUACUUGAAUCAAGGAUUGCCACCAUCAUGCUUAGUCUGGUAGAGGAAAGCCUGUUGCAGUGGUCUCUAGUUCAGUCACCAGUAGCCACCAUGAGAUUGGUUGUUGGAAUUCGGCAGUUCUGCUGAAACAAAAGAAACACACCAUCAGCGCAAUUUCAACUUUUAAGCAGACAGGGUUUCAACAGUUUAGUAGAAUGGUAGUCAUCAGUCAAGCAUAUACGCUCUGGUUAUUGUGAAGGUGGACAUCAAUUUGCUAUCAUCAGAAGUUAAAAUUGUCAAGCUCUGUGAUUUAGCAGCUUAGCUUAUAUCAACAGAAGUUAUCACUGUGGUUAUCAUGGGUAUUGAAAACCGCAUACCGUUGUUAGGAGGUAUGAAGCCCUGACCCGCCACAUGUGCUUCUUCUACUACUCCUAGCAGUUCCUGGAAACGCAGGAACAAACAUCAUCAUGACAUAGCAAACGGAGAAAAAAGAUCUAAAGCCAUGUGAUUGCCAUAGACUGAUAUAAUUGGCCUGAGAGAAGAUAACUGGUCUGUUAUAAAGAAAAAUUCCCAUGACACAUCUAACUUAUUGGAAAGAAGCACAUACUUCAAUUGUAUAUAACGCAUUGACGGUCCCAGACUGAUCAUGGUUAAGUGAAGAGGUUCCCUGACUAACUCCACCUGAGGAAGUGCCAACACCAACAUAUCAGGACCCAAUAAUGCAUAAUGGAGAAGUGAUUUGAAUGUCUAGAGCAUUGCCUAUACUAUCACAUUAAGAAAACUAGAUAUAGCAAGCACGCCUCUUACAAGACAAAGAAUUACCAGGAGCAGCAGUCAUCAAGGAGCUUGAGUAUCCAUUGUGUUGGGCAGUUAGAUAUGUACGAGUCAUUGAGUUGUUCUCUUCAGCCUACAUCCAGGAAAUAUUUGAAGUUGGCAAUGAAUUGUUGGAUGGAAUAGUUGAUUCUGUCACAAGUAUCUUUACUUACUGGUGCAAAAUUGUGGGAUUGGCUGAUUGACCAGGCUGAGAAUGAUCCCUGACCAUCGACGUUUCCAUGGGUGAAAUAGGGAGGAAUUCCAUUACACAGUGUAGAAGGAUCCUGCUGAUAUAGUUCUACAGCAAAUUGAUUGCGAAAACUGUGAGUAGCAAUAAUAAUGCUUUUUGCACAGAGGCAGCACUCACAAUGUGGUCUAUGUUUGAUACAAAAUUGGGCAUGUGUUCAGUAUUUACCUUGAUGCGUAACCUGUUCAUGACUGGACUGUGCAAAUGGUGGUCCUUGAUUCGAAGGACCAGCAACAUUGUUUGCAAAGAUCUGUGCCAGUGGGAAUCCACUCUCCUGCAGAAAUGGUUGUUGCUCACCAAAUUCUGCAGUUGUUUGAUUUUUGGAAGUACUGGCACCGUUGUUCGGAGGUGCUGCCGGGACAAGGCGGCCGUUACUCAGGAAGUAAUCAGGGACAAGACGCCCUGAGUUCUCCAGCUCCUCAAAUUUCUUGUAUGCAGACAUUUUCCAAUUCUUCACUUUAAGCUGUAACAGAAAAUUCGAAUGUAAUUACCAGCACGCUAUUAUUUUAGUGACUAUCAACUGCCUAACCGUGAUAGAAGUGGAAGAGUGUUAGAUGCAGUACCUGUGGAAACUGAUCGACGUCACUGACACUGUACGGAACAUAGACAUCAGUCAUCUUACCGACAACAUCAUAGAAAUCAUUGAAUAAUAUUUCACAAUUAUCCUCUGGAACCCAAUACGAAUAGAUCUCAUCCCCAGGAACAGACAUGGUAGCAUGUUCAAUCAUGGAAUUCCAAUCCCCAUUCUUCAUGCCAGCAAGCUAAUUGCCAUAAAUUAAAAACUAACUUAUCAAUUAAUAAAAUGCCAACAGAUAUUACAUUUAGCAGUACACGUCCAAAUAAGUCCUAAGAUAUGCUGGACAUCUUAUCCUGAUCCAGAAAUAUCAAUAUAAACUGCAUAUAUACCUCUUGGAGACCAAAUUUAUCUUUGUGAUAAUGGCGCAACAAGUGCUUCACUUUCGUAAUAUUUUUCUCCACAAGGUUAUUCCAAUGUUUUCCCUUUAAGCAAAUUUUCUUCAGUUGAUGUAUAGCGUCUUCCUUGGAUGGAAUAGAACUCUUCUCAUUUGCUGAAAUAGGCAAAAAGGUUGGGUGUGUUCAGCGUUCGGACAAGAUUGCUAAUAUGAAAUGAGAUCGUUUUAGGUAUAUUUCCAUCUGUUAGUUUUGACGAAAGGAUUAAUGUCAAGGUAAAUUGCAAUCAAUUUAUUGUUGAUAUACCACCUACAACAUUGAAAAACUACAACGGUUCACACCCUUUCUCCAUUACACACGGAAUGUACAAGUCGACAUAAACUGUGUACUGAGCAAAGAAGAGUGACUCACAGUACUGCUACCCUUUUUUGGCAGAACAAGUCAUCCCCUUCAAAAAGCAAAACAUUUAGUGCCAAAAUAGCAUAUUUUGAGGUAAAGUAAUGUCAUUUCGUGCACAAGGCCAGAACUGUUUUUUGAAAGAUAUACUAUGUGCUGUAAAAAAUUCUUUAUUAUUCAAAUCAGCUUGUCAGACACUUAAAAGAGAAUCAUGCUCUUCACCUGACUAUGCAGUGCACCUAUAAUUCGAUAUAGUUAAAAAAAUGGCUCCGAAUAGAUAAGUGAAUAUACUCACAUUCACUUCGACGGUCUUUGACGACAAAAGGAUCAGUUAUUGCUUCCUGAACUCUGACAGUAAGAUCCUGCCUUUUCACUCGAGCUGUUAAUCUUAACUUUUUCCCGUGGGAGCUCUCUGGAAAGGAGAAUGAACCAAGAGAGGACUCGCCGUUUGUAAGACUAACGGUUGUCAAGACCGACUCUNNNNNNNNNNNNNNNNNNNNNNNNNNNNNNNNUCUUUCCCUUUAUACAUAUAAAUUUGCUUGCUGAAUUCAUCUUUGGUGAAAUCCUCUUGUCCGGUAAAGAAAUCAGCAUGAACAGGUAAGAUCUCAAUUUGCAAUUUAGAAAGAUCACCCUGCGUGAUUGGCUUCUCAUUUUGAAGUAUUGCUACUUUAGCGUUUGCUCCAUUCUUCCAUACUGGACAACGAGUGAAAAGUGUAUCUUUUGGUCCUGCAACAUCAAAGUGUAGCUUGACGACUCCAGUGAUGCUUCCAGUUUCAGGAAAGCCUUCCGAUACAUGCCUAAAAUUUAGAACAGGACGAGAGUGAGACAGUAACAAGAAAGGAAACUUCACAGAUUAUUUAGAAAGGAAAUACCACUUGGUUUGGCAGAUUUUUAGUGUCAAUGACAUGAAUAAAAAACAAUAGAGCAUUAAGUAGAGGAACUAUGCAUGUCCAAUUGUCCAGUGCUCAACUUGUAAUGCAGAACUAGUGCUGACAACUGUAGGAGGACAUAGGAGAAAAAUUAUAAUAUCAGGUACCUAGGAGGAGGCUCAUGAACGGCACUAGGAAGCGAAGCGGCUUGUUGUUCCUGCAUCUAUUGCAUGAUAUAACAAAAAGGAGUUAGGAUAGAGGUAGACAAUAAGGGAAAGAUUCCAAAAAAGGGAAAAGCAUAUUACGUCCAUACUGACCUUUGUCUGUACAAUUGACUGAACCUUAUCUUCGAUGCGUCCCAUAAUAGAACUGUUGGAUACAGCACAACAAGUGAAUAGAUAAAAAUAAUUAAGCAAAGGGGAAGCAUUAUCCAUCACAUCCACAACAUUCCAAAGUUGAAUACUACUCAACACAUAAACUCGUAAGGCUGCUUCCGUAUACUGAUACUAUAUUAUGCAGGUAUGGUUAUUACUGAAAGAAGAAGAAGAAAUCCAUGGUUUAUCCGUGCUCCAUGAAUCGAACUUGAUUAAUCAUCUGAGACUGAAGUAGUAUGAUUGUCAAGUUUUCCGUUGUAUAUAUACAUAGCCAGCAUUCAUAUGAAAGAGAAUAAUAGCUAGCCGUGUGUUUUUCAGAGGAUAAAGACUGGCAAGCAAGUCAGCAUCUCAAUCAUUACUUUCCUUUCCUUUAUUGGUCUGUAACUACGAGUAGUACUCCUACCUACUCCAGGAGGGAAAAUCGUUGCCGUACGUACCUAGAGCGAUCCAAAAUUCAAAGUAGAGUACAGCAUAUGAACCGUGACACUACACAUGGAUGUAUGUUUGUGGUUGAGAGCAUGUGUGUACCUCUGGAAAGCACCGAAAUGCUCCCCCAAAACUCUCUCCAGCCUCUCCAUGAUGGAACUCGCCACGUCGCGCUGCGCCUGUCGCGCCCCACGAAAAACAAUUGAAACAGUCCCGCCGGACCUGUCAGCCAUCGCCGGCCACGAAAGACGAAACCAAACGCGCGGCGAGGAGGAGGAAAUGCGGGGGAGAGGGGAACCGCGAUGAAUCGGCCUCACCUGGCGAAGCAUCCGCGCCAUCUGGCCGAUGGUGACCACCCUCGCCUUCCCCUCGUCCCUGCGGCGGCCGGGGCCGCGGAUCCGCGCGAAGCAGACGAUAGCGAGGGGUCAGUCUCGAAUCGUGGAAGCAAUGGAGAGAGAAGAGAAGAAGCGGCGGCUGACGCCGGCGCAGGAGGCCGGAAGGUACUCACAGCCACAUGACGAGGAGCCCCGCCCGCCGCAGCCGCUUCCUCGGGGAACACACCGCCUCCGGCUCCCGCUCCUGCUCCGGCUCCGGCGCGACGGCGCCGAGCGGCCGCUUGUUGUGCGCGCGCGCCGCCAUCACGCGCUUCGGGCGGGGUCGACGUCCCUCGGGUGGAGCGCGGCGGCGGUGAGCUAGCCGGGGCGGGGCGGAUGGGGAAGAAUGGUGAUGCCGCUGCCGUCGCCGUUGCCGUUGCCGUUGCCGUGAUGGGGAUUGGGGGGUUUGGGUUGAGCACUCGAGCUUGGAGCUUGCCGCUUGUCUUGUCUGCUGACGCGUGCACUGCGCUUAGAAAUAGGAGAGUUGGAGGGAGGAGGCCAAGGCGAGAUGGAGAAGCUGCGUCAUGUUAGCCGUCACGCACUCCCCCAGCGGCGGGAGGGGAAGACCGACCAUGGCGCUGGCGCGUAGAGUGCGACGUCAGGGGUGGGAGCUACGCGCCGUGCUGGGCUCGGGCCGGGGUGGUGGUGGCCCGCAGGUCUCUCGGGCUUGCCGCGCCACGGCCGGGCGGCUGCGCACUCCUCAUGUCGUCACCCCCGUACAACAUGUUCGACGAAAUUGGCCUAUAUAAAAAAAAAACAAGUUUUCAUUUUUGGUUCGUUCGGCGUCCAUUCUUUCUGGUUUAGCUGAUGAUGACAGUGACACCUGUCCCUCACAGCAGCUCGUCGUCACUUUCAACUUGCAAGCACAAGUCGUCAAUGGUUGACAUCCGGACGACCUCUUCUCUAACCUUGUGACAACACGAAUAGUAUCAUUCUGUACAAACCACAAACCGGCCUGUGCUCAAGUCCUUCCAUUCCUUCGUCGUCACCGCCGGAGCAUGGCGUCCAAGCGUGCUCGGCGACGACCGUCGGCAGUCGCUGAGCUAUAGGGGAAUGAUUGGGAUUCGGCCACCUACUGUUGCAAGGGAAGUAGUGAUAAUUCUAUGAAGAGUUUCUACGGUCGGCCCAUCCUAGCUCACUGGCCUAGCUCCACUACUGUCUAUCGUCGGCCAGUGGGUUGUAUCUUCCAUCCUUCCACACACGCGGAUUAAACCGUGAACGCAGAUGUGGGGUGCUUUCUACCUGGAGGCGUCGACCUAGAGCCGGUGUCUGAUGUCGAGCUAGGAGUGAAAGAAGGUGCCUUCCCCUCUUCCCACCGUGAUUGGGUUGCCAUGACGUGAAUGGUUGGCGGUGUAUAGGGGCAUGGAUGCCGGGGUGAUGGUCCCGGAAGAUGGCCUUCACGGUUGGCUAUCCGAUAGGCUCCAUGAGGGUGGUGGUACCUCCACCUCUUGUAGUGGCGUAGUCAGCCUGAUGUAUCAGGGUGGCCCGGUUAUAAAAAUAUUACAAUUUUUUAUUUAUUUAACAGAAAUAAUGUUUUACUACAUUAUGCACAAUCUAUACGAGAAUUCCAGGAUGAUCCAUGGACCAUCUUGUCCACCCCCUAGCUACGUCACUGACCUCUUAGUCGUGUGAGCGGCAAGGGGUGUAGUGACGGGAGGCAAUGUGGUUUUCUCUAUCAAUGUACAAGUCUGCUAUAGAUGGGCCAACCCUCGUUGUGGCGGUGAUCGAGGCCCCCUCCUGGUGGUGUAGGCAAGUGUCCAAGUGAAAGCUUUGCCCCUCUGGCGUGCCCCUUGCUUCCUGAAGACGCCAUCGUGACUCUCGCCUCUGUGCCAAACCUUUCUCCGGCUGCUCGGACUCCAUAGCGGCGACACUUCGCACCGUCACCCUGGGCGUUGUUGUGGAGUUCAGGCAUAGUCGGUGACGUGUUAGGCUUGUUCUAGGCGUUUUGUUGUAUCUUUUGAUGUGCUUCGUAAGAGGGUCUUUUCAUCACUUUGUAUCAUUCGGUUGUGUACUCUGGUAAGUUGCUUUAUUUAUAAAGUAGGAUGAAAAAGUCUCGAGAGAGAGUUAUGUUCAUAUACACCAAUUAACAUCCAACCAUGUUGGUCCCUGGACCGACAUGCCUAGGGAGGGCUCCUUUUGAUGAGGUGGCAGUCAACGGUGGUGUGUUUCGCCGUCGUUGUUCGUCCUUGUGGUUACCCCUUCUACAUGCAGCAGCAGCCUCACUGCGGACUAUGGUGACCACUGAAAUGACUUUGUGAGGAUUUCUUUUUAAAAAACCAUCGGGUGCCUUUGGCGAUGAGAUGCAAUCUAUGGACGACAGCUUGACGCAGAGGAUAUGUUGUGCAAUGGAGGAGGGUGCACAUCAUAUGUAGCUGCUGAAUUGCGGAAAAGAGGUGGUGACAACACUUGAGUGACUUCCAUGGUGGUGCUCGUUCAGUCUCAAGCUCCGAGCUUAAAGUCUAGGUCUGAUCGGAGUUGGUUAUACGUGUCAAUGACGAUGUUUUUGUGUCAUCAUCUUUUUAAAGACUUUGCUAUUUGUGAGUGUAUUUUCGGUGUUGGUGUUAGCUAUGUGCUUCCUAGCUAUACAGAGGUCGGGUGUGAUGUGUUUGUAUCCGCUUGAUGUUUUUAUUUUGAGUGAAUAAAACCCAUCCUCUGUAAAAAAAAAAACAUCAAUUAACAUGCAUCCCAACCGCGUCCCUGAUCCGCUUAUCAGAACUUCUUUAUUGGGAAACUAUAUCCAACUCUCGUUGCGUUGCCAUUAGUACCUCCUCUUUUCCCAUUCCGUUUCUUUUAAAGGACAAAAGUGGGUGUGAGCUCGUUCUGUUUUCUGAUACUUUGGUAAGUCAGCAUUAAUUCUUGGCCUAUGUGAAAAAGUUAAUUCAAGUAGUAAUUCUCUUGCUUAACUAAGAAUAUAUAGUUCCCUCAACAGGAACAAAGAAACUGAGAACAUGCAUGUAGCAACACAGACUGAAUGCAGAACCCUCUUCGCUUGGACAUAAUUGAGUACCCAGCUUGCAUGUUUUGAUCAGAUCAGUCCUGUAGAUAUACAACCCAACCUCUAACAUUAACGACCCAUCUGGGGAUGAUACACUGCCAUAUCGCUGGCUGGUCAGAUCAUCUUCACCGAAGCCCUGCUCGUAACCAGCCCAUUGCUCCUGACCUGCGUCGAGAAAAAUACAGAGAUCAAUCAUUCUACAGGAAUACGAAAUGCAUAACCCGCAAAAGGCACAACCUGCAGAAGAUACCGAUGACCAUCCACGCUGAUCCCAACUACUACAAUGGUGGCAUGCAGGCGGUAACGAGNNNNNNNNNNNNNNNNNNNNNNNNNNNNNNNNAGCGUGGAGCGCGUAAGCAGCGCGCGCGCGCGAACAUGAUGAGCUGAAAAUGGCGGGAGGCAAAGAUAUAUAGGCAUUGCACAAGCCGCCACAAGGAGACGGUCGACAAGUCGUCUUGUGUGAACGGCGGAGGCGGUGCGCGGACCGCGCGCGCGCCCGGGGAUCGGACGCGGAAAAUCCCUGCGAUGCUUCUCCGUCCGCUGAAACCGUAAUUUACAAUACUUCGGAGAAGCGCGUGGGGACGGGAGAGGAGAAGACCAGGCUGCGCUGCUGCGUAGGACGGGGAAUUUCCAUUCCUUUUCCAUACAGUUUCCGUGGGGUUUUCCGGGGAUGUUCUCGGCGUAUUUUGGUCUGACUUUGCGGGUUUCAUCGAGAUUACCUAGAGGCUAGGCUAGUCUCCAAAUCCUCCGACGGUGGAGAAGACUGAUCGGCCUCUUUCACACUAACUAUGCAUUCUUCCUGGAAAGUUGAACGCGGCUUCCAGCAUUAUUUUUUCUGAGUUACCCUCGAGACUUUUCUUCGCUGGCCUGGGCAGAUUGUAAAUUUGUAAUGCAUAGGUUCUUCCUUCACUAGUAGAAAAUUAGGAUUUUUGGUUUGGACGGAAUUGGGAGAAAACUUAAGAUGGAGUUCAAUGAACUUUUUUUUUUUUUUUGAGCAGGAGCUGAAUGACUAGACAAUUGGAAAGAUUAAAGGGUGCAAGGUGUAAAACAGUGAAAGUGACAGAAUGAUGGAACAUUUAUUAUUGAUUGAACAUGCGGGGUAUUUAUACCCCGAGUACGUUACAAGGAACGGUUGCUAAAUCAAGGCAACCGGUAACGCAUGGAUUAUCCCAUUAAUUAAUACAUUUAAUUAAUUCAUAACACUCCUCCUAAUCCAUGCUUGUCUUUGUAAAUGUGCAUCAUCUUGAUAAAUAAUAAUCGUUGUAAGUUUUUCUCUUUAAGAAUGUUCCUCAUCUUCAUCUUGAAAAAUCGUUGUAUAAUCUUUAAAGUCUCCUCCAAAAACCCUGUGGGAAAAAUAUGAGGAGAAUAGUGUAGAUAUGUUGCUAAAACUCCUUUAAACCCAGUGGAAAAAUAAUAAGGAGAAAAUUGUGCAACAUAUAAUGAUUAUUGCCUCAUGAUAACUCAUUUGAGAAAACCUUUAUAGAGGGAUAAAACUCAUUUUUGAGUUUAGAGAACAAUAUAUGUCUUGAGUACUUCCUUUAAAAACCCUGAUAGGAAAAAUAGAAAGUAUGAUAUAUGAUCAUUGAUAAGAUAUUGCCUCAUUAAAAACAUUAUGAGAGAAAAUUUCAAAGAAACUCAUAAUGAAAAGAGUGCAAUGAGAUGUGCCAUGGAAAACUCCUUUAAAACCUAGUAGGAAAAAUAUAAGGAGAAAUAUGAUAUGGCAUGCAUCAAUGCUUGUAUUUAAUUCUCUCAUUAAAAACCUUAUAUGAGAAACCUAUUGGAAAAACUCAUAAAGGAAAAGAGUACAAUAUUCAUUACCUGAUGAUAAUUAAAGGGUUAUAUUUUCAGGAGAUUUCUCCCCCUGAACUUUGCAAAUCUCGGAAUCAUUUCAUACCAAUUCCAUGAAUGUAUUUCUGGAACGUUGAAUUUGGUAAAGACUUUGUGAACAAAUCUGCUAGAUUGUCACAUGAUUUAGUUUGCAAAAUAUCAAUUUCUCCAUUUUUCUGUAAUUCAUGAGGGUAGAACAAUUUAGGAGAAAUGUGUUUUGUGAUAUUACUUUUUAUAUAACCCAUUUGCAUUUGAGCAACACAAGCUGCAUUAUCUUCAUAAAUAAUAGUUGGUGAUCCUAAUGAACCAACACCACAUGUAGUUUGAAUGUGGUUAAUCAUCCUGCGAAGCCAUACACAUUCUUUUGAUGCUUCAAAUAAUGCAAUGAUUUCAGAAUGAUUAGUGGAAGUUGUUACGAGAGUCUGUUUUGUUGACUUCCAUGAAAAAGCAGUUCCACCAUAUAGGAAUACGAAACCUGUUUGUGACCUGGCAUUGUGGGGAUCAGAUAGAUAGCCAGCGUCAGUAUAUCCUACCAUAGUCAUGUCUUGGUUUUUCUGAUAGAAUAAGCCAAGAUCUUUUGUGCCAUGUAAAUAUCUAAGGAUAUUCUUUACUCCCGUCCAAUGACGUUUUGUUGGAGCAGCGCUAUGUCUAGCUAGUAAAUUUACCUCAAAUGCAAUAUCAGGCCUGGUGCAAUUUGCAAGGUACAUUAGCGCACCAAUGGCACUGAGAUAUGGGAACUCAGGUUCCAAUAUCUCUUCGCCAUUACCCCGAGGUCUAAAAGGAUCUUUAUUCACAUCAAGGGAUCUGACAACCAUGGGUGUUUUGGUUGGAUAUGAUUUAUCCAUAUUAAAUUUUUCCAAAACCUUUUGAAUAUAGGCAGGUUGGUAUACUAAAAUUCCUGAGGGAAGGUGCUCAAGCUGUAAGCCUAAGCAGAAUUUGGUUUUUCCCAAAUCUUUCAUCUCAAAUUCCGCCAUUAGAUGAUUGCGUGCUUCUUCAAUAUCAGGUGUACUUCCAAUGAUACUGAGGUCAUCAACGUACACUGAGAUGAUGCAAAAUCCAUUUGAGGACUUAUUUAUAAAUACACAAGGGCAAUCAUCAUUAUUUGAGUAGCCUUUCUGAAUAAGGAACUCACUUAGUCGGUUGUACCACAUUCUACCCGACUGUUUUAAGCCAUAUAGGGACUUCUGUAAUUUUACACAAUAUGCGUUGCGAUUUGCUUUUGGAUUCGGCAUUUUAAGUCCUUCAGGGACUUUCAUAUAUAUAUCCGAUUUGAGUGACCCAUAUAAGUAUGUUGUCACUACAUCCAUCAACUGCAUAGAUAAACUCAUUUGUACUGCCAUGGAUAUUAAGUAUCGAAACGUUAUUCCACUCAUAACAGGAGAGUAUGUAUCAUCGUAAUCGAUGCCGGGUCUCUGCGUGAACCCUUGUGCUACAAGCCUCGCUUUGUAUCUCACCACCUCAUUGUUUUCGUUCCUUUUUCGAACAAAAACCCAUUUUGCUCCCACGGGGAAGACAUUUUGAGGAGUAGGUAUUACUGAGGAAAACACCUCUCUUUGGUUGAGCGAGUGCAGUUCUGCCUCAAUUGCUUCCUUCCAUUUAGGCCAAUCAGGACGCUUGAGGCACUCCCUGACGGUCUUUGGUUCUGGAUCCAGUUGAAGGGUUUCAGCAAUUUCAGAGGCAAAAUAUAUGUCGACAAUUGUAGUCUCUCUAUUAUAUGAUUCUCCGGAUUCUAUAUAGUUUAUGGAAAUUUCUUUUAUACCUUCAGACUCUAUGUGAUUUUCCACAACAAUAGAGUCAUGGUGUUCCGAUGUCCCAGCUAUUAUGUUUUUAUGCGCAUUUAUGCUGGGUUCAAGAUGUUGAGCAUCUGGUUGGUGUCCUUCAACUUGAGGUUGAAUUGCAUUUCGUGGUAGAGGAGUUGUUUUCCUCUGUUUCCGUGGAGGCUUUUGAGAAGCUAUAUUCCGGCUAACCAGAUUUCUCCCCCUCUUACUCUCAUUUGGGGUUGGAGUGGUUUUAGUUGGUACCUCGACUCGUUCUGGUGCAUUAACUGCGGGAAUAUGUGAUUUAAUGACACCUUUAUGGUCAGUAAAUGCAUCUGGCAGAUUAUUUGCAAUGUGUUGCAAAUCUAUGAUCCUUUGAACUUCAGUUUCAGAUUCUUUAGUACGUGGAUCUAAGGACUGAAUGCCUGUUACAUUCCAAUCUAUUUCCUGGCAUUCUUUGUGGUUUGAUUCUCCCCCUAAUGCCGGGAAAUGGUCCUCAUCAAAAAUUGAAUCAGCGUAGCGGGCAGUAAACAGGUCCCCUGUAAGAGGUCCAAGAUAUUUAAUAAUUGACGGAGAAUUAUAACCCACAUAGAUCCCUAGUUUUCUGUGGGGGCCCAUUGUUGUACGCUGCUGUGGUGAUAUCGGUACGUAUACUGCGCAACCGAAUUUUCGCAGAUGGGAAAUACUUGGCUGAGUGCCACGUACUAGUUGUAGUGGGGAGGUUGUAUGAUAUGCAGUUGGUAUAAUUUGUAUCAGAUCUGCGGCGUGUAAUAGCGCAUGUGCCCAACAAGAUGCUGGUAAAUUACAAUUCUGUAAUAGUGGUCGAGCAAUUAAUUUUACUCUUUUGAUGAGAGAUUCAUCCAAACCAUUUUGAGUAUGGACGUAAGGCACAGAGUGUUCUAAAUGAAUGCCCAUAGCCAUGCAAUAGUCAUUGAAUGCACGUGAAGAAAAUUCAGCGGCAUUGUCCAUUCGAAUUGUUUUUAUCCUAUUUUCAGGAUGAUUUGCUCUUAAUUUGAUAAUUUGAGCAAUUAGUUUGGCAAAAGCAUGAUUUCGUGUGGACAAUAGACAUAUAUGUGACCAUCUGGUAGAUGCAUCUAUGAGCACCAUGAAAUAUCUAAAAGGUCCUGAUAGUGGUUGAAUUGGACCACAUAUAUCUCCUUGAAUGCGUUCAAGAAAGUUAAGUGACUCACUUUUUACCUUAAGAUAAGAUGGUCUUAUAGUUAAUUUCCCAGUUGCACAUGCGGUGCACACAAAAUCUGAUGAUUUUGGAAAAUUUUCAGUUGGAAGGCUGUGACCGAUAGAAUUGUCAAUAAUUUUUCUCAUCAUCCCUACUCCAGGAUGACCUAGGCGAUCAUGCCAAGUCUUGAAUUUAUCAAGAUCUUGAAAAAUUAUUUUGUAUGCAACAUGUGGUACGGGUUUUAUAUAACUGUAAUAUAAUCCAGAUGAAAGUGAGGGGAAUUUCUCAAGAAUUUGUUUCUCAGACCCAUUACUCUUUGUUAAAAGCAAAUGUUCAGAAUUAUUUUCAGAUAUUGUUUCCAAAUGGAAGUUAUUUGAUCUGAGGUCUUUGAAACUUAGAAGAGUGCGUGUAGAUUCAGGAUACAAUAGUGCAUCCUCAAUUACAAUUGUAGUACCCAUAGGUAGAACGAGUGUGGCUCGUCCUGAACCAAUAAUCGACGCAUCGCGGCCGGCAAUGGUCAUAAUAUUCCCUUUUCUCUUAGUUAGAGUUUGGAAAUAUUUUAUUUCCCUUAAUAUUGUGUUAGUGGUACAAGUGUCCACCAAACAUAAUUCUUCUUCCAUUGGAUUAUUUUCCCGUAAAAUCUAUAUAGAGUAAAAUAAUAUUUUAGGAUGAAACUUUAUUCAUAUUACUCACAUAUAUAAAUAUAUAUNNNNNNNNNNNNNNNNNNNNNNNNNNNNNNNNNNNNNNNNNNNNNNNNNNNNNNNNNNNNNNNNNNNNNNNNNNNNNNNNNNNNNNNUCACAUAUAUAAAUAUAUAUAUACAAAGUAUUUAUAUUACAGUUACAAAUAUAAAUAUGAUAUUAUGUUUAAAGACAUAAUACGAUUGGUCCGUAGGACUUUAUUCUACUUAGAAUUAUACAAAUUAUAACGUCCAUUAUUACAAUAAAAUAGCUGAUAACAUCAAAUGAAUGAUGUGGAGAUUAUAUAAGAUCUCCAUAUGCGUCUUGGGUGUAUUCCACCAUCAUGUUGUCAACAUCAAGAAGACCUUCAUCCUUCUGCCUUGUUUCCUUAGGAGCGCUUUGAGAAGUGCUAGCUUCAAGGUUUUCUUCUUGUUGUAAGGCGUUGAAGUGAGCUUCAGCUUUUCCAUGAACUUGUUUGCCUUUUCCAGUGGAUUUGAUGUAUAAAUCCGCUAGAUGCUUGGGAGUUCGGCAUUUACUAGUACGAUGGUUUGUACAUCCACACCUUUGACAAAUCUCGGAGUUGGUGUUUCGGUCAUUUUUCUUGAAGUGACCUUUACCUUUAGAUUGACCAAAGUUUUUCUGUUUGUUGUUCCUUUUCCACUUUCCAUUGAAUUUCUUGAAAUUCUUUUUGUUGGCCCCAUACUUUUUAGUAAACUGAGUGUUAGCAUGUGCUUCAGGGAGUGGCAUUGAGCCCGUUGGGCGUGUGUGAUGAUUCUUCAUGAGAAGUUCAUCAUGUUUCUCAGCCUGAAGUAAAGUGUAUAUGAGCUCAGAAUACUUUUUGUAUUUUUGUUGACGGUAUUGCUGUUGUAGUUACCUCAUCGAGGGGUGGAAAGUGCACAAGGUCUUCUCAAUAAGGUCUUCUUCAGAAAUUGCUUGAUUGCAAAACCUUAGUUUUGAGUUAACCUUGUGAACUGCAGAGUUAUAUGCUGCCACCGAUUUGAAAUCUUGGAACCUUAUGAGGGACCAUUCUCUCUGUGCUUCCGGCAGCAUGACUGCUCUUUGCUGGUCAUAUCUCUCCUUGAGAGAGUUCCACAAAACUAGUGGAUCUUCUUCCAUCAAAUGUUCUGACUUUAAGUCCGGAUGGAGAUGGUGCCUUAAGAAACUUAAAGCAGUAUAUCUGGCUGCCGUGGGGAUUUCUCCGGCGCCUUCAUCGGGUGUGAUGAUAGUGGAACCGAGUUUACGACUUUCAAGGGCUAUCUUUCCAUCCAUAGCCCAUGAUAAAUAGUUACUACUAUCUAGUUCAAGUUCAUGAAAUUUACGAUGCAUGACACCAGCCAUUUCCUGCAUGGUAUUUUCAUGCAUAAUUUAGUUUUACUAUGAGAGUAAAAUAUAAGUUACAACAAAUGCUUUAGGAAGCAAAAUUUUCAAGUAUAGCUGAUGCUUUAUCUGUAGACCUCAUUUUAUGUAUAUGACACUUCGAAAAUAUUCACCGUUGGGGUGUAGAUCCCACAGUAGUGGAGAACAUAGUCUGGUUUUGACCAGUAGAUGUUCGUAGUCCAUUACCUUGUGUCAUACUAUAUUUUAUAAAAACACUUUGAAGGUAGUCAUCUUGUCAAAAGACUAGAUGUAGACCUCUCAGCAAGAGUGGAUAAUCUGCAAAUUAUGCAGUAGAUCACACAAUUACCUUGUGAUUUGUAAAAAUUCGAGGUAGUCACAUUAAUUCGCAUAUUCGGGAGAGCACUCGAAGAUAGUCAUUUUGCCAAAAUAAUGAAGGCAAAAUGUCGAUCUUUCAGCGAUGAGGAUAAUCUGCAAAAUGCAGUAGAUGCCUCAUCUACCUUGUGAUCCCAAAAAUUUGAAUUAAAAAAAAUUGUACUUGAAAACUACAUAUUCUAAAAAAAGUGAAAAAUGCUGAGGCAAUUAUAUAAAAUAUGUACACAUAGUCUGAGACUUUAUUUUAGACGAUAUACAAUCUAAGUAUUCAUACGUACAGUACAAUACCGAGUGAAUAUGAUAAGGAGAGGUUCUUAAUACAAUAAGAUAUCACACUGAAAUAAAAGGAACAAUCUGCAGUGCAAUAUAGUAAUUGCAGCAUAGUAGUACUAUGAUUAAAACACAACGCUAAUAGUCACUUUAUUUCCUGGCAUGUAUGCCUUUUGGAGAGGAAACGUGGCUUGCAGGCCUUUUGGAGAGGAAAACGUGGCUUGGAGUUUGGAGUGGACGUGGCCUGUGUUGGACCAUAUACCGGUUGGAGAGAUGGAUAAGGGAGAGAGCAAGGCAGCAAGCCGAGGCCACACAGCCACUUCUCUCCUGUUUCCCAUAUUCUUCCCGAUGCAGACCCAAACACCUCAUCACUCCAGCCUCCUCUCCCCAUGGCUGCUUCAAGGAAAACGGGGUUGGCCCCGCAGCGCAGCCCGGCUACUCCGUUGCUACUUGCCUCCGGUGCGCCGGCGAAGCCCAGGGUGUCCGGCGACCACACGCCACGAAGUGCCGCCCGGUUCUGCGCCAUAGCAGCGGCGAACUGGCGCAGGAUCAGGCGGGCUUCCGGCGGUGGCGUCGGCGGAAGGGGCAGAGCCGGAGGAGGAGGAGGUGUCGCCGGUGAUGGAGGGGGGAGCGACGACCACAAGCCCAUGUACUCCAUCCCCUCUUCUUCAACCUUGAUCUGGACGUUCAAGACGGGGAUGGUGGGGUAACCGCCUCGUUCCUCUCGAUCCGGUGUCGCAGAUGGCAGAUCCGGGAUGGGGCCGGUGUGUGCAGCCGCUGGCGGCGUCGGGGAUGGCAGAUCCGGGACGUGGCCGUCCGUGCGCGCAGGGCAUGGCCCGAACUCGUGCUGCAUGCAGUAUGGAGGAAGAGGCGGCGGCGUAAGUUCACAAGGGAACAUCACAUCUUCCCCGAGGAACGACGCUGAUGGCCCUGCAAGAAGCCAAUCCAUGGGACGUAUGUUGAAAGCAGAUGGCGAAGUGGCCGGAGCCGAAGGCCCAGCUGUUGGGGAACGUCGCAUGGGAAACAUAAUUUUCCUACGCGCACGAAGACCUAUCAUGGUGAUGUCCAUCUACGAGAGGGGAUGAGUGAUCUACGUACCCUUGUAGAUCGUACAGCAGAAGCGUUAGUGAACGCGGUUGAUGUAGUGGAACGUCCUCACGUCCCUCGAUCCGCCCCGCGAACCAUCCCGCGAUCAGUCCCACGAUCUAGUACCGAACGGACGGCACCUCCGCGUUCAGCACACGUACAGCUCAACGAUGAUCUCGGCCUUCUUGAUCCAGCAAGAGAGACGGAGAGGUAGAAGAGUUCUCCGGCAGCGUGACGGCGCUCCGGAGGUUGGUGAUGACCUUGUCUCAGCAGGGCUCCGCCCGAGCUCCGCAGAAACGCGAUCUAGAGGAAAAACCGUGGAGGUAUGUGGUCGGGCUGCCGUGGAAAAGUCGUCUCAAAUCAGCCCUAAAACCUCCGUAUAUAUAGGUGGGAGGGAGGGGAGGAGCCACUAUAUAUAGGAGGAGGAGGGGGGAGACUUGCCUUGGGGUCCAAGGACUCCCAAGGGAGUCGGCCGAGCCAAGGGGGAAGGUCUCCCCCUCCCAAACCGAAAUCCACUUGGUUUGGAAGGUGGAGUCCUUCUUCCCUUUCCCACCUCCUUUUGUUUUCCGUUCCUCUUUGAUUUUCUUUCCUAUGCGCAUAGGCCUCUCUUGGGCUGUCUCACCAGCCCACUAAGGGCUGGUGCGGCACCCCAAACACCCAUGGGCUUCCCCGGGGUGGGUGCCCCCCCCCGGUGAACUCCCGGAACCCAUUCGUCAUUCCCGGUACAUUCCCGGUAACUCCGAAAACCUUCCGGUAAUCAAAUGAGGUCAUCCUAUAUAUCAAUCUUCGUUUCCGGACCAUUCCGGAAACCCUCGUGACGUCCGUGAUCUCAUCCGGGACUCCGAACAACAUUCAGUAACCAACCAUAUAACUCAAAUACGCAUAAAACAACUCGAACCUUAAGUGUGCAGACCCUGCGGGUUCGAGAACUAUGUAGACAUGACCCGAGAGACUCCUCGGUCAAUAUCCAAUAGCGGGACCUGGAUGCCCAUAUUGGAUCCUACAUAUUCUAUGAAGAUCUUAUCGUUUGAACCUCAGUGCCAAGGAUUCAUAUAAUCCCGUAUGUCAUUCCCUUUGUCCUUCGGUAUGUUACUUGCCCGAGAUUCGAUCGUCAGUAUCCGCAUACCUAUUUCAAUCUCGUUUACCAGCAAGUCUCUUUACUCGUUCCGUAAUACAAGAUCCCGCAACUUACAUUAAGUUACAUUGCUUGCAAGGCUUGUGUGUGAUGUUGUAUUACCAAGUGGGCCCCGAGAUACCUCUCCGUCACACGGAGUGACAAAUCCCAGUCUCGAUCUAUACUAACUCAACGAACACCUUCGAAGAUACCUGUAGAGCAUCUUUAUAGUCACCCAGUUACGUUGCGACGUUUGAUACACACAAAGCAUUCCUCCGGUGUCCGUGAGUUAUAUGAUCUCAUGGUCAUAGGAACAAAUACUUGACACGCAGAAAACAGUAGCAACAAAAUGACACGAUCAACAUGCUACGUCUAUUAGUUUGGGUCUAGUCCAUCACAUGAUUCUCCUAAUGAUGUGAUCCCAUUAUCAAGUGACAACACUUGCCUAUGGCCAGGAAACCUUGACCAUCAUUGAUCAACGAGCUAGUCAACUAGAGGCUUACUAGGGACAGUGUUUUGUCUAUGUAUCCACACAAGUAUUGUGUUUCCAAUCAAUACAAUUAUAGCAUGGAUAAUAAACGAUUAUCAUGAACUAAGAAAUAUAAUAAUAACUAAUUUAUUAUUGCCUCUAGGGCAUAUUUCCAACAGUCUCCCACUUGCACUAGAGUCAAUAAUCUAGUUCACAUCACCAUGUGAAUCCAACACCCAUAUAGUUAUGGGGUCUGAUCACGUCUUGCUCGUGAGAGAGGUUUUAGUCAACGGUUCUGAAACUUUCAGAUCCGUGUGUUCUUUACAAAUCUUUAUGUCAUCUUAUAGAUGCUGCUACUAUGUGCUAUUCGGAAAUACUCAGAAUAUCUACUCUACUAUACGAAUCCGUUUCACUACUCAUAGUUUUUCGGAUUAGUGCCAAAGCUUGCAUCGACGUAACCCUUUACGACGAACUCUUUAACCACCUCCAUAAUCGAGAAAAAUUCCUUAGUCCAUUAGUUACUAAGGAUAAAUUUUGACCGCUGCUAGUGAUUCAAUCAUGGAUCACUCUCUGUACCUCUCAACAUACUUUGACUCAAGGCACACAUCACGUGCGGUACACAGCAUGGCAUACUUUAGAUCCUACGGCUAAGGCAUAGAAGACGACCUUCGUCUAUUCUCUUUAUUCUGCCGGGGUCGGGUUUUGAGUCUUUCUCAAAUUCACACCUUACAACGCAACCAAGAACUCCUUCUUUGUUGAUCUAUUUUGAACUCCUUCAAAAACUUGUCAAGGCAUGCAUCUUGUUGAAACUUCCAUUAAGCGCUUUUCGAUUUAUCUUCAUAGAUCUUUGAUGCUCAACGUUCAAGUAGCUCAAUCCAGGUAUUCCUUUGAAAACUCCUUUCAAACAACCUUGUAUGUUUUACAGAAAUUCUACAUUACUUCUGAUCCACAAUAUGUCAACCACAUAUACUUAUCAGAAAUUCUAUAGUGCUCCCACUCACUUCUUUGGAAAUACAAGUUUCUCAUAAACCUUGUACAAACCCAAAAUCUUUGAUCAUCUCAUCAAAGUGUAUAUUUCAACUCCGAGAUGCUUGCACCAGUCCAUUGAAGGAUCGCUGGAGCUUGCAUACUUGCUAGUACCUUUAGGAUCAACAAAACAUCCUGGUUGUAUCACAUACAAUGUUUGCUCAAAGAAACCGUUGAGAAAACAAUGUUUUGACAUCCGAUGUAGAAACCGUUGAGAAAACAAUGUUUUGACAUCCGAUGUGCAAUAUUUCAUAAAUAAUGCAUCAACAACUAACAUAAUUCUAACAGACCUUUAGCAUCGCUACGAGUGAGAAAGACUCAUCAUAGUCAACAGUUUGAUCUUGUCGGAAACAUCUUUGCGACAAGUCGAGCUUUUCUUAAUAGUGAUUUAUCACCAUCAUCGUCUGUCUUUCUUUUAAAGACCCAUCUUUACUCAAUAGUCCUCUCACCAUCAAGUAGUUCUUCCAAAGUCUACACUUUGUUUUCAUACAUGGAUCCUCUCUCGGAUUUCAUGGCCUCCAGCCAUUUGUCGGAAUCCGGGCCCACCAUUGCUUUCUUCAUAACUCGUAGGUUCACUGUUGCUCAACAACAUGACCUCCAAGACAUGGUUACCGUACCACUCUGUAGUAGUACGUGACCUUGUCAACCUACGAGGCUUGUAGUAACUUGAUCUGAUGCUUGAUGAUCACCAUCAUCAGCUUCCACUUCAAUUGGUGUAGGUGCCACAGGAACAACUUCCUGCGCCCUGCUACACACUGGUUGAAGUGAUGGUUCAAUAACCUCAUCAAGUUCUACCACUCUCCCACUCAAUUCUUUCGAGAGAAACCUUUCCUCGAGAAAGGAUCCGUUUCUAGAAACAAACACUUUGCUUUCGGAUCUGAGAUAGGAGAUGUACCCAACUGUUUUGGAUAUCCUAUGAAGAUGCAUUUAUCCGCUUUGGGUUCGAGCUUAUCAGACUGAAACUUUUUCACAUAAGUGUCGAAGCCCCAAACUUUCAAGAAACAACAGUUUAGAUUUCUCUAAACCUCAUUCUAUACUGUGUCAUCUCAACAGAAAUACGCGGUGCCCUAUUUAAAGUAAGUGCGGUUGUCUCUAAUGCAUAACCCAUACACGAUAGUGGUAAUUCGAUAAGAGACAUCAUAGUAUGCACCAUACCAAAUAGUGCGUGGCUAUGACGUUCAGACACAUCAUCACACUAUGAUGUUCCAGGUGGCAUGAACUGCGAAACAAUUUCCACAUUGUCUUAACUGCGUACCAAAACUCGUAACUCAGAUAUUCAUUUCUAUGAUCAUAUCGUAGACAGUUUAUCCUCUUGUUACGACGAACUUCACUCCGAAACAGAAUUGAACUUUUCAAUAUUUCAGACUUGUGAUUCAUUAAGUAAAUACUCUAGUAUCUACUCAAAUCGUCAGUGAAGUAAGAACAUAAUGAUAUCCACUGCGUGCCUCAGCACCCAUUGGACUGCAUACAUCAAAAUGUAUCACUUCCAACAAGUUACUAUCUUAUUUCAUCUCAAUGAAAACAAGGCCUUGCUCAUGUGGUAUGAUUCGCAUGUCACUAGUGAUUCGAAAUCAGGUGAGUACAAAGAUCCAUCAGCAUGGAGCCUCUUCAUGCAAUUUAUACUAACAUGACUCAAGCGGCAGUGCCACAAGUAAGUGGUACUAUCAUCAUCAACUCGUAUCUUUUGGCACCAAUAUCAUGAACAUGUGUAACACUACGAUCGAGAUUCAAUAAACCAUUGAAGGUGAUUAUUCAAGAAAACAGAGUAACCAUUAUUCUCUUUAAAUGAAUAAUCGUAUUGCAAUAAACACGAUCCAAUCAUGUUCAUGCUUAACGCAAGGACCAAAUAACAAUUAUUUAGGUUUAAUACCAAUCACGAUGGUAGAGAGAGCGUGCGACGUUUGAUCAUAUCAACCUUGGAAACACUUCCAACACGUAUCGUCACCUCGCCUUUAGCUAGUCUCCUUUAUGCCGUAGCUUUCAUUUCGUGUUACUAAUCACUUAGCAACCGAACCGGUUGUUGGAAAUAUGCCCUAGAGGCAAUAAUAAAUUAGUUAUUAUUAUNNNNNNNNNNNNNNNNNNNNNNNNNNNNNNNNNNNNNNNNNNNNNNNNNNNNNNNNNNNNNNNNNNNNNNNNNNNNNNNNNNNNNNNNNNNNNNNNNNNNCUCCCACUUGCACUAGAGUCAAUAAUCUAGUUCACAUCACCAUGUGAAUCCAACACCCAUAUAGUUAUGGGGUCUGAUCACGUCUUGCUCGUGAGAGAGGUUUUAGUCAACGGUUCUGAAACUUUCAGAUUCGUGCGUUCUUUACAAAUCUUUAUGUCAUCUUAUAGAUGCUGCUACUACGUGCUUUUCGGAAAUGCUCCAAAUAUCUACUCUACUAUACGAAUCCGUUUCACUACUAAUAGUUAUCCGGAUUAGUGUCAAAGCUUGCAUUGACGUAACCCUUUACGACAAACUCUUUAACCACCUCCAUAAUCGAGAAAAAUUCCUUAGUCCAUUAGUUACUAAGGAUAAAUUUCGACCGCUGCUAGUGAUUCAAUCAUGGAUCACUCUCUGUACCUCUCAACAUAUUUUGAGUCAAGGCACACUUCAGGUGCGGUACACUGCAUGGCAUACUUUAGAUUCUACGGCUAAGGCAUAGAAGACGACCUUUGUCUAUUCUCUUUAUUCUGCCGUGGUCGAGUUUUGAGUCUUACUCAAAUUCACACCUCACAACGCAACCAAGAACUCCUUCUUUGCUGGUCUAUUGUGAACUCUUUCAAAAACUUGUCAAGGCAUGCAUAUUGUUGAAACUUCUAUUAAGCGCUUUCGAUCUAUCUCCAUAGAUCUUUGAUGCUCAACGUUCAAGUAGCGUAAUCCAGGUACUCCUUUGAAAACUUCUUUCAAACAACCUUGUAUGCUUUACAGAAAUUCUACAUUACUUCUGAUCCACAAUAUGUCAACCACAUAUACCUAUCAGAAAUUCUAUAGUGCUCCCACUCACUUCUUUGGAAAUACAAGUUUCUCAUAAACCUUGUACAAACCCAAAAUCUUUGAUCAUCUCAUCAAAGUGUAUAUUCCAACUCCGAGAUGCUUGCACCAGUCCAUUGAAGGAUCACUGGAGCUUGCAUACUUGCUAGUAUCUUUAGGAUCGACAAAACCUUCUGGUUGUAUCACAUACAAUGUUUGCUCAAGGAAACCGUCGAGAAAACAAUGUUUUGACAUCCUACGUGACAUAUUUUAUAAAUAAUGCAUCAACAACUAACAUAAUUCUAACAGACUUUUAGCAUCGCUACGAGUGAGAAAGUCUCAUCAUAGUCAACUGUUUGAUCUUAUCGAAAACAUCUUUGCGACAAGUCGAGCGUUUCUUAAUAGUGACUUAUCACCAUCAUCGUCUGUCUUCUUUUACAGAUCCAUUUUUACUCAAUAGUCCUAUGACCAUCAAGUAGUUCUACCAAAGUCUACACUUUGUUUUCACACAUGGAUCCUCUCUCGGAUUUCAUGGCUUCCAGCCAUUUGUCGGAAUCUGGGCCCACCAUCGCUUUCUCCAUAACUCGUAGGUUCACUGUUGCUCAACAACAUGACCUCCAAGACAGGGUUACCGUACUACUCUGCAGUAGUACGCGACCUUGUCGACCUACGAGGUUUGUAGUAACUUGAUUCGAAGCUCAAUGAUCAUCAUCAUCAGCUUCCACUUCAAUUGGUGUAGGCGCCACAUGAACAACUUCCUGCGCCCUGCUACACACUGGUUGAAGUGAUGGUUCAAUAACCUCAUCAAGUUCUACUACCCUCCCACUCAAUUCUUUCGAGAGAAACCUUUCCUCGAGAAAGGAUCCGUUUCUAGAAACAAACACUUUGCUUUUGGAUCUGAGAUAGGAGAUGUACCCAACUGUUUUGGAUAUCCUAUGAAGAUGCAUUUAUCCUCUUUGGGUUUGAGCUUAUCAGACUGAAACUUUUUCACAUAAGUGUCGAAACCCCAAACUUUCAAGAAACGACAGUUUAGAUUUCUGUAAACCUCAGUGUAUACUGUGUCAUCUCAACGGAAAUACGCGGUGCCCUAUUUAAAGUGAGUGCCGUUGUCUCUAAUGCAUAACCCAUAAACGGUAGUGGUAAUUCGAUAAGAGACAUCAUAGUAUGCACCAUACCAAAUAGUGCGUGGCUAUGACGUUCAGACACAUCAUCACACUAUGAUGUUCCAGGUGGCAUGAACUGCGAAACAAUUUCCACAUUGUCUUAACUGCGUACCAAAACUCGUAACUCAGAUAUUCAUUUCUAUGAUCAUAUCGUAGACAGUUUAUCCUCUUGUUACGACGAACUUCACUCUGAAACGGAAUUGAACUUUUCAACAUUUUAGACUUGUGAUUCAUUAAGUAAAUACUCCUGUAUCUACUCAAAUCGUCAGUGAAGUAAGAACAUAAUGAUAUCCGCUGCGUGCCUCAGCACCCAUUGGACUGCAUACAUCAAAAUGUAUCACUUCCAACAAGUUACUAUCUUAUUUCAUCUCAAUGAAAACAAGGCCUUGCUCAUGUGGUAUGAUUCGCAUGUCACUAGUGAUUCGAAAUCAGGUGAGUACAAAGAUCCAUCAGCAUGGAGCCUCUUCAUGCAAUUUAUACUAACAUGACUCAAGCGGCAGUGCCACAAGUAAGUGGUACUAUCAUCAUCAACUUGUAUCUUUUGGCACCAAUAUCAUGAACACGUGUAACACUACGAUCGAGAUUCAAUAAACCAUUGAAGGUGAUUAUUCAAGAAAAUAGAGUAACCAUUAUUCUCUUUAAAUGAAUAAUCGUAUUGCAAUAAACACGAUCCAAUCAUGUUCAUGCUUAAUGUAAGCACCAAAUAACAAUUAUUUAGGUUUAACACCAAUCCCGAUGGUAGAGGGAGCGUGCGACGUUUGAUCAUAUCAAUCUUGGAAACACUUCCAACACGUAUCGUCACCUCGCCUCUAGCUAGUAUCCGUUUAUGCCGUAGCUUUCAUUUCGCGUCACUAAUCACUUAGCAACCGAAUCGGUAUCCAAUACCCUCGUGCUACUAGGAGUACUAGUAAAGUACACAUCAACAUCAUGUAUAUCAAAUACACUUCUUUCGACUUUUGCCAGCCUUCUUAUCUACCAAGUAUCUUGAGUUGCUCCGCCUCAGUGAUUGUUCCCCUCAUUAUAGAAGCACUUAGUCUCGGGUUUGGGUUUAAUCUUGGGUCUCUUCAUUAGUGCAGCAACUGUUUUGCCGUUUCACGAAGUAUCCCUUCUAGCCCUUGCCUUUCUUGAAACUUAGUGGUUUUACAGACCAUCAACUAUUGAUGCUCCUUCUUGAUUUCUACUUUCGCAGUGUCAAACAUCGCGAAUCGCUCAAGGAUCAUUGUAUGUAUCCUUGAUAUGUUAUAGUUCAUCACGAAGCUCUCACAGCUUGGUGGCAGUGACUUUGGAGAACUAUCACUAUCUCAUCUGGAAGAUUAACUCCCACUUGAUUCAAGCGAUUGUCGUACUCAGACAAUCUGAGCACAUGCUCAACGAUUGAGCCUUUUCUCCUGUGCUUUGUGGACAAAGAAUCUUGUCGGAGGUCUCGUACCUCUUAACAAGGGCACAAGCAUGAACUCACAAUUUCAUCUCUUUAGAACAUCACUUAUGUUCCGUGACGUUUUACAACGUUUUCGGCGCCUUGCUUCUAAGCCAUUAAGUAUUUUUGUACUGAACUAUCGUGUAGUCAUCAGAAACGUGUAUGUCGGAUGUUCACAGCAUCCACAGACGACGCUCGAGGUGCAGCACACCGAGUGGUGCAUUAAGGACAUAAGCCUUCUGUGCAGCAACGAGGACAAUCCUCGGUUUUACAGACUCAGUCUGCAAAGUUUGCUACUAUCAACUUUCAACUAAAUUUUCUCUAGGAACAUAUAAAACAGUAGAGCUAUAGCGCAAGCUACAUCGUAAUUUCGCAAAGACCAUUAGACUAUGUUCAUGACAAUUAGUUAAAUUAAUCAUAUUACUUAAGAACUCCCACUCAAAAAGUACAUCUCUCUAGUCAUUUGAGUGGUACAUGAUCCAAAUACACUAUCUCAAGUCCGAUCAUCACGUGAGUCGAGAAUAGUUUGAGUGGUAAGCAUCUCUAUGCUAAUCAUAUCACCUAUACAAUUCAUGCUCGACCUUUCGGUCUCAUGUGUUCCCAGGCCAUGUCUGCACAUGCUAGGCUCGUCAAGCUUAACCCGAGUGUUCCGCGUGCGCAACUGUUUUGCACCCGUUGUAUGUGAACGUUGAGUCUAUCACACCCGAUCAUCACGUGGUGUCUCGAAACGACGAACUGUAGCAACGGUGCACUGUCGGGGAGAACACAAUUUCAUCUUGAAAUUUUCGUGAGAGAUCACCUCAUAAUGCUACCGUCGUUCUAAGCAAAAUAAGGUGCAUAAAAGGAUUAACAUCACAUGCAAUUUAUAAGUGACAUGAUAUGGCCAUCAUCACGUGCUUCUUGAUCUCCAUCACCAAAGCACCGGCACGAUNNNNNNNNNNNNNNNNNNNNNNNNNNNNNNNNNNNNNNNNNNNNNNNNNNNNNNNNNNNNNNNNNNNNNNNNNNNNNNNNNNNNNNNNNNNNNNNNNNNNAAUACGACUCACUAUAGGGCGAAUUCUUUACCGAGCGAGGACAAGCAGACUUCACCAAAGAGGAAUUCAACAAGCAGAUAUGUAUACAUAAGGGGAAUGAGUCAGUCUUGACAACUGUUAAUCUAGUAAAUGGUGCAGCCUAUAUUGGUUCAGUCAUAUUUACAGAGAGCUCCCAGAGGAAAAGGUUAAGAUUGACAGCACGAGCGAAAGGACAGGAUCCCGCGGUCAGAGUUCAAGAAGCAAUCACUGAUCCUUUUGUUGUCAAAGUCGGCCGAAGUAAACGUGAGUAUAUCCAAUUAUCCAUUCUGAACAUGAAACCUUUUUAACUAUAUUACAUGGAAAUUUUAAUACACUCUUUAAUUUUUUUUCAUUCUAUGAAACGUUUACUGUUUAGAUAGUUGGCAGAAGAACAUGCUUGCUGAUUUUAAGGGAAAAAAUGUUAAAGAACACAUCAUAUCUUUGAGAAACUUUUAUGGCCUUUGUGCAAUGACAUUAUUUUAUCUGAAAAUAUGAAGUCUUAGCACUAAAUGUUCUACUUUUAGAAGGGAAUGUUCCGCCACAAAGUUUGGUUCAAAAAGGAGAUGCUCAGGCGCCUUGCCUAGUGCAUAAACGGAAGUCUGUAACUAGACGGGCCAAGCGAGAAAUUGUCAACUCCAGCGAGAGAUCGGGCCAUAUUGCACUGACAGCCUAUGGUACUCAAAUACAUCAUGAUAGUGAAAACUGUAUGACCGCCCAAGCGAAGGCCAAUCACUUCGCAUGUGCCUAGCGCUAUUUUUAACCUGGCAAAGCUGUUUGAAGUACUGUCACUUAGAUUUGGGAGUUGGGACCGUAAUUUUCUUGGGUCAUUACAUAUUUUAUUUUGAGUUAUGUAUUAGGUCGUAGAUUAAUAAUAAGCAUGGUAGAUCAGUUUAUAAUUUACCAUGUACAUUAAUCCUUUCCUGAAUACCAUAAUCAUCAGAUGCAAUGGUAGCCAGAAUGAACCAAUUGCAUAUUAGCAAUCUUGUCUUAACACAUCCAAUAUUUUUUGUUUACUUUCAGAAAACAGAAAGAGUUAUCCUCCAUCUAAAGAAGAAGCGGUAUACCGUUUGGAGAAGAUUUCCCUAAAGGGGAAACAUUGUACCCUCCUUGCUGAAAAGAAUAUUACUACGGUGAAGCAAUUCAUGCGUCAUUAUUACAGAGAUGAAUCUUGUCUCCAAAAGGUAAAUAUACAGUUAUAAUUAUGUUUCUACAAGCUUCAGCGUUUCAAUUUACCUGCACAAUAAUUGUCAUGGAUCGGAAAUAAAAUAUCCCACAUCUCCUAGGAUUAACUUUGACUACAUGUAAUUCUAUAUGUAUUCAUGUGCACUACAUGUAAUUAAAUGCUAAGUCAACUCUUUGUUUCUGGCAAUUAGCUUCUUGACAUGAAGGAGGAUUGGAGUACCUUGAUUAAACAUGCCACCACGUCUGAUCCUGGGGUUGAGAUCUAUUCUUUUAUUGUUGUGGAAGAAAAUACUGAACUCUUAUUCAAUGAUUUCUACAAUCUUGUUGGUAUAAUGAUCAGGGGACGCUAUUUUCAUGUCAAUGUCCUUGAUCAGUUUCAGCAGGUAUACUUUUAACACUGUUCCAUUGCCAUUGCAAUUAGGCUGUUGAUUCACUACGAUAAUAGUGUUCUGACAAUUAUCCUCAAAAUGUUGUCACGGUUACGAGGUUUAUAGCAAGAUUUACAUUUGGAAAUUGGGUUGCUUCCUAAUGUCAUUGUGAAUAGCUAACCUAACUUUGGCAUUGCUAAACCGAAACAGGGUAAAAUGGUGUUAUUGUACGUAUAGUUAGGACCAAGGCAUGGAUUCUAAAUAAAUUCUUAUGUCGAGCCUCUGUUUUUACUGCAGAGUUUAUUUUCACCUAUAUGUAUAUGCAUUCGUGAUGAAGUAUGUGUUGUUAUUCAAUUUGUUUCCCCAAUAUCUAGAAACCUAGAAGAAAUAUAUGGAGCAGUUGGAUUGCCACCUUGCGGUGUUUCUGUGCCUGCACCGUGUAAACCCACUGAAACACAGUGGAUUUAACGAAGGAGGAUCUAACUGCUGCCCUAAUACACUUAGUUGAAAAUCUUUAAAACGAUGAGGGAAAAUAUAAACACUAUUAUCACCAAAAGAUGAGCUCAAGUAUUCCUUUUUGAUGAUUAGAAGGUUUCAAAAAGGUCUGAGCAUUGAAGCCUUUCUGUACACAAAACAAUAAGCAAAAGCAUAUGCUUGCACAUUAUGACGGCGAUGACAGAAAUAAAACAUUUUUUACAGAUUAAAGUCAACAACUGGAAAAUGUCCGCGUAUAAGAAAUUUGACGAGCGGGAGAACUCAGGGGGUCUUAACCCUGAUUACUUCAUGACCGAUGGUGGCCCUGUCAGUGCAUUGCCUCUGAACAAUGAUGCAGGUCCUUCCGUACAAGCUGGAACGCUGUGGCAAUAUCAUAAUGGCAAGGCUGCACAACACGGUGAAUUUUAGUAUAUUGUUCCAUUUCUGAUCCUGGUCGCUACAUGUUUAUCUAAAUUCAGCUGACUGCAGAAGUUGGAGAUCGACAUCCAUUGAAUGGGUUGUCACGGGCCGCAGUCCUAUCAAACAAUGACGUUGGCCCUUCAAGCCAAGAAACACUGCCGUUUCCACAGCACAUGUAUGAACAGACUGCGUAUCAGGGUCAGUAUCACACAUCCUCUAUACUUAAAUUAUUGCUUCAUCGCGACUUUUUGUUGUUGCUGAAUUCUGAUAGUUUUGGGGAUUAACUUACUGUAGGACCUGGUGAGCAUGAUCCUUCUGUGCCACAGAAUGGAGCUCCUUACUCUCUGCAUCAGGGAAAUAUCUUAAAUGAUCAGGGACCAUUAUCAGCACAGCCAACUAUUCCAUCCCACAAUUUUUCACCAGUAAGAAAAGUUACAUAUGGCACAGGCACAAUCAACAGUUCCAUCCUGCAUUUUUUCAUUGACAACCUGAAUUGUUUUGUGGAUUGUAGGUUCGACAGGAUGACAUGAUCGCAGAUGCAAGUCAAAGUGGGUUUACUUCAUUUGAUGUAUGUGUUCUUUUGAAUAAGUAUCUUUGCGCAGACUAUGGCUUUAAGCUUUUUCCUUUGUUAUUAUGUCAUGAUAGUGUUUGUUCUUGCAGGUCGAGGAAUGGCUGAAUCUACCAAUAGAUGAGGCAGACCAUGGAAUUGUACCACCUAACAAUGGUAUGCAGUUUCGAAAUUUCAGUACCCAUGGGAACGACAACGAAAAGCCGAUAAUGUAUGCAAUUUUCAAUGCCAUAGCGAUAACUUCUGUUGAUAUAAGCUCAGCUGCUAAAUCAUGGAGCUUGUGUUAGUAUGAUGCAAUCAUAUUCAACAGCCUGAACUCUUCCCAUUUCGAUCUUGGAUGAUAGCAAAUUGAUGUUUGACUUCAUAAAAUCUAGAGUGUGUAUGCUUGCCUGAUGAAUACCAAACUGUUGCUUAAAAGUUAAAUUUGGGCCUGGAUUUAAGAUCUUCCUCUCGAUCCGUGCGCUGAUGUCGUGUUUCUUUCAUUUCAGCAGAACUGCCGAAUUCCAACAUCCCAUUUGACGGUGAUGGACAUGAUGGUGGCAACCAGUGAUAGAUUAAACUUGAGAGACCACUGCAACAAGCUUAAUUUGCUCCACUAGACCCAUGAUGGAGGUAGUCGGUGAUUGAAGUAUUCGGUGUGAUUAAACAUUUCGCGUGUACAUAUUAUUCAGUGAUUGCUUAAUUUGCUAUUGGUUGUAGUAGACAUUUGGCUUGCAUUCUUAAAAGCAAUUCUUUGUGUAAUCCUGUUAAUCCAUCCUUUCCUAAGUUGAGCAAAUAUUCAUAUUGCACAGCUUGCUUGGUGUAAUAUUGUUAAUCCAUCUUCUUCUAAGUUGAGUUUUUCCUAUGUAUGUUCACACAUUUUCACUCGUACUAUGUUGUGCAUCAUGAAAUCCGAAAAUUUGAACAUGGUAAAAUACACAGAAGAGAAGAGGAGAGAGAGAGAGAGAGAGAGAGCAUGCUAGUUGUACUACAAGACUUCAGUUUCUUAAAUACCACAGAGCUUCCAUUCCUCCUACACCAAGCCCACAUAGAUCGACACAAGAUACAUCAGCGAAAGCAAGCAAGAACACAAGAUACAUCAGCUAGUUGAGCCAUGGUAGUAUGACAGAGAUGCGAAGCAGAGCAGAGGGGGGGGGGGGGGGGGAGGGGGGGGGGGGGGGGGGGGGGGGGGGGGCAACCCCAGCAGAGCAGAUUCAGGCAUGGAUGCAGAGUUCACCUGAGUUGGGAGGGACAGACUAGCGAACCAUGGAAUGCAAGCAGGGCCGCUAAUUAGUAGCCGAUGUCGGCGCCGUCGUCGAACGAAGGUCGCCGUUGAUGCUGCUGGGGAUAGGUAUCGAUCACGCGGUGGUGUGGGCUGAAGCUUUCUGGUCAAGAUCCGAGAAGGAGACGCCUCAACCUGGCGAGAUCCCGGCUCCCGUUGCUGCUCUCUCGGAGAUGGAUCUCAUCUGGAUUUCGGAUGUUGAGGGCAAGCAGUAUAUAUAGAGCAGAAUUUCCAAGGAAAUGCCCGUUUGCCUUGUCGCCUGAGUGUAACUUGCUGGUUUGGUCGCAACCUUUGUACGAGCAGCCGAAUGAACAGGAACGGGUACAGACCACAUUUUCUUGACUCAUGCGUGGGCGGUGUAAACAAAGUCUUCUUAUGCGCAACCGGUCCAAGUUCAGAGUGCUGAAGUCCCCUCACGGGUGCGAAUCAUCGGAUGCCAAACGGGUUAGAGCAUCUCCAACAGCCUUCCAAAACGUGCUCCACACGUUAAAUGAUUCGUUUUUUUGCGUCGGACAACUUCAAUAAAAGCUGUAAAAUUAUACACGUGCUGAAAAGUAUUGAUCACGCGCUGAAAAACAUUAUCUCGUGCAGUAUAUUUGAGGCGCCGGCUUGCGCAAGCUUCACAAUUUGCACUGUGUGCUUUUCGAACGCGCGUUUUUUGGCAUCUGCUAAUUCAACGUUGGUCCCCGCAUAAUAAAAAUGCUACAAUGACGCACUGAAACUUUUAUUGGACGCGAAUCUUUUGCGCAGCUGUUGAAGAUGUUCUUACAACUUUCUCAUAAACAUCUAGUUUGCAGCUGCCUUUUCACAACAGAUUUUUCACAGCAGCUUUCGAAAAAUCCAUAGCCCAACCAAACACCACCUAAAAACCAGAUUGGGCUUCGGAUAGAGAGAGAAAAAAAAUCGGUGACCCUGCCGGUUUUGUAAGCUGUGCGGACCCCUCGCGCAGCCGACGCAACACAACGCGGCAUGUACUCCUCGCGCGAGCCCAUUGCCCCGGGCUCUAGUCCCAUAAUUUUACUAUACCGGUCCCAUAAUGUUUUUUUUGGUCGUUAAUGUUAGAGGUUGGGUUGUAUAUCUACAGGACUGAUCUGAUCAAACCAUGCAAGCUGGGUACUCAAUUCUGUCCAAGCUAAACGAGGGUUCUGCAGUCCGUGUUGCUGCAUGUUCUCAGUUUUUUUUAUUGCUGUUGAGGGAACUAUAUAUAUGUUCUCAGCUAAGCAAGAGAAUUACCUGAAUUAACUUUGUGAAAAUUGUGAGAUGGCUGAAUAUUAUGUUUCUUGUUGUUUGUGUUGUAUUGCUCUGAUCCUUGUAGGGGUAUAUAUAGGAGUACAUGGGGUAGAGGCUUGGAGUACAAGACAAGUUACAUGUGAUUUAAACUGAUUAUAUCUCUAUUUCCUUAUCUCUAACUUAAACCCACAUAUAUUUCUAACAUUCCCCCUCAGUCGUAGCGGGGGUGAAGCGGAUGCUUGCGACUGAAUUUAAAGUCUUGCACCUUUGUCAUCUUCUCCACCGCGUCAUUAUCAACUGCGUCUCUGAUGGGUCGGCACCUAGGACGGUGACCGCGUCCCCUUUUGGUGUCUUUCUUGUCUCUCAUCUAUUCCCUCCCGCAGUCACAGCGGGAGUGGUGUGGAUGCUAGUGGCGAUGUAGACGUUGUUGACUGGAGUUGUUGCCCAUGAGUUGUUGUAGACGUAGCCAUUAUUGUCGAUGUCGAGGUAGCCGAUCAUGAUGGUGUAGCCGUGGUCGAGGUAGUCAUGGUCGAUGUGUGAUCGUUGUGGAUGAUGAAGCCACACAAAGACAGAGGCGCAAAAAAUGCGCUAUGACGGAGCUGCAGACGUGGACGAUGCACCUUGCGAAUGUCAGAGGGUGUCGUCGACGAUGAGUCCACCGGUUUUGCCAGGACCGGAGGAAACCAUCGAGCACACAUCGGUUUUGCCAGAACCGAGAGGCCGUAUACGGGUCGUCACUAUAGUGACGCCGUGUCGAUGCAGUCGUGCCGUCAUCGAUGACGUGGUUGAUGUCGACGUCGUGACGCGGUCAUUGCCGUCGUCGAGGUCGCGUCUUGCAAAAAAGUCUGCCAGAGGACGCUAGGUGUCCAUUUUGUGGACGAGGUGGCGACAGUGUGUUGACGAUGAUGGUGAUGAAGGCCACGUUGAUGAAGACCUUGGCGAUGAAGUGUCGGCGAUAAUGUGUCGCUUGAAGGCGUCCCUUGCGGCGACCAAGUGUAGAUGCCUUGCCGCGCCGGAGAAGUCGAUGAAUAAUUGCAUCACUUUCCACACCGGCCCGGCAUGUGGAUGAUGCAUGUUGAUGUCGCUUCUUGUAGAUGUACUCGACGAGGACGAGGAUCUUUUUAGGGUGAUGUAAUCAUACAACUCGGUGUCGUGGCGGUGCAAGGUCGGUGGAGAUCACUCGGUGCAGGUAAUGUCGUGUUGAUGGCUCGGUGAAGAUAGCAUCCGUGCUCGUGCGUAGAAGUCGAAGACCUGAAGGUCCGACGUUUGCUGUUGUUGGCGUAGAUCGGAUCGCUGGGAGCUGCAUGCGGCAUCAGGCCUGCACGCACAUGGUAUGCGCUGCCUCGGAGUAGACUCGCCGGCCCUUCCAAAGUCCCGCACGCGAUGUGACACGAUGCCGCGAUUGGAAUCGAGGGCGGGUGGCGCCGGUCCAUCUUUCCUUCCCAGGCCACGCCUGCUGAGUGUUUGGAUCGGCCGGCUGCUCCAGGGAGUAUGUUCGAGCAUCCAAUAAUAUGGGUUCUAGUCCCAUAAUUUUACCAUACCGGUCCCAUCUAUUUGGUACUACUUAUCAGUACUUUGAUUUUGGUACCUCCUAUUUUUCUACCACUAGAUUAAUUUAAUUGAGUGACCCUUAUUUGUGAGUAGUCAAUCGUUUUUUUCUACCACUAGACUAAUCUUAGUGAGCGGGGGGAUUUUACCACUCAAUGUUCGGACAUAUUGGAUUCACAAUAAUAAUGUCUGCAACGAUCUGAAUUUUUCCUUAUGUAAUCAUUCCCAAUUUUUAUUUCUUUGAGAAGGGCGCGAUAGAGAACAAAUCAUUUUCAGUUUGAUCGAACUAAAAUUAUUUCAAAACUAGUGCCCAUAGAGAAACUAAAAUUAUUUUGAAACCGGUGUUCAUAUAGAAACUAGAAAUAAUAAGAGACUAAAAACAUUCGCAAGUUGGAAGAAAGCUAGGAAUGAGCUGCCGUCUCUUAUUAGGCCGACAAAAAACUAGAAAAUUUCCUCUUAGGAAUAGCAAGAGGAACUAGAAAAUUUAGGACCCUGAUAAGUGUCAGACGUACACGUGAUAACUCCGAACGUUUUUAAGGAUUUACUAGAUCUCUCAGAAAAGUAUGUGUUGAAGGAUUUGACUGCUCAAAUAUGUUGGAAUUAGAUUAUUCAAAUUUUUUAUACAUAAUCAUUCCUACUCCCUCCGUUCCUAAAUAUAAGUCUUUAAAAUGGUUUCAUCAAUGGACUACAUAGAGAUGUAUAUAGACAUACUUUAGAGUGUAGAUUCAUUUAUUUUACUCCGUAUGUAGACUCCUAGUGAAAUAUCUUAGAAGACUUAUAUUUAGGAACUGAGGGGGUAUUUUUUUUCCUUACAAAAUCGAAAAGCACAAUAAAGAGCCUACGUCCUUAUAUAUUUUUGGCGGGAAACAUCCAGAAACUCUAGUUGAUGUCCAAUUGGCUUCAGAGUUCAGUCUUUUUUAUUUGCCAGUUUUAAUUCUCCGAACACUAUUUCUCUGGUUUGGCGCCCGUUCUGAGACUGUUCGGAGAUACUUAAACCUUGUUUUUUACUUUUUACCAAGAACAAGAAGGGACAAAACUAAAUUCAUCCAGCAGCAUCUUCAUUUCUUACUACUGCAGAUAAACUCAUGUAUAGUAUUACAAUCCGCCCAUGCAUGCUAGCUAGCGAAGAAAAGUCUCGGUGGUGUAAAUCGAAACCGCGUUCAGCUUUCCACAAAGAAGCGCAUACCCGUUUGGAGGAUUGGAGACUUGCUGAUCUGCCGGUAAUCUCGAUGAAAUGCAAUCCCGCUAAACUGCCCAGAACAUCCCCUGAAACCCCACGGAAAAUGGAUGGAAAAGGCACGGAAAAACAGGUCUCCGCACCCCUGAUCCCCCGAGAGUCCUACGCCGCGAAGUCAAGUCUCCGCUCUGCUCCCCCGGCCGUCUACGCGCUCCGGCCGCUUCAGUUUCCCCCAGAACUCCGUUUUUUUUUAAUCCGUCUAGCAGACGGAGAAGCAUCGCGGGGAUUACCCCGUCCGAUCCCCGCAAACGCGCGGGCCGCGUAGCGUCUCCAUCGUUCACACACACAUGCAUGCAUACGAAUUCUUCAGCUAAUGGCGGCUUGUGUUAUGCCUAUAUAUCCUGCCGGCCUCCCGCCAUUUCCUGUUCCUCAAGUUCGCGCGCGCUAGCUAGCAGGCUGCAGCCUCUCACUCGCCACCAUUGUUGUUUAAUUUCAUUCAGAGGGACGGUCGAUGCAUCAAGCUGGUUUGUACGUACCUUUUUGUAUAUAAGUUGCGAUGCAUUAACUGACGGUCUGUGCAUUUUCUCGGCGCAGGAGCACUACGAAGAUCGCCAGCCAACCAGCCAUAUUUAUUACCCCGGCCUCUGCAUCACAUGCAUGAUGCACACGGCCAACGGGACAUAUGGCCGUGUAAUUCUGUCGUUAAUGUUACCGGAAAGAUUGUAUAUAUACAUGAUUGGUCAGUAACAAGAUGGUUACAUGAUUUCCGUUAGGCAAGAGAAUUAUUACUCACUCCUUAAAACAAAUAUAAAAGCGUUUACAUCACUAAAGUAGUGAUCUAAACGCUCUUAUAUUUCUUUAAGAAGGAAGUACUACCUCCGUCCGGAAAUACUUGUUCUAGAGAUGAAUGUAUCUAGACUUAUUUUAAUUGUAGAUACAUUCAUUAUAUGCAUUUUUAGGACAAGUAUUUCCGGACGUACGGAGUACCUUUUUCACAUGCAGAGGGCGGAAUGCUGGGACCAAAAUAUCUAACGAGUCUGCCAUAUGAGAAUAGUUCAACAAUCUGGAACUGGCCUUAGCAAGCGAAGAAGAACAGAUCUAACAAAACUUACGUGGUGAUUUGGGCAUUAACUUCGUCAAGAUUGUCUCGGACUUGCAAUUUUAAAGGGUAGUCAUGGCACUUCAUCAAUGCUACUUGUGGAUUGAACCAGGAGGAAGAUGCUCCCAAACUAUCAGAUCAUGGUGAAUAGUGGGAGGAUAGGCACGGCGAAGAAGAGAAAAAAAAAGUCAGUUUGAAGCCUUCUAGGAUUCUAGAUCAAAACAUUUAACUGACAGGUGGGAAGGAUUUGUGCCAAGACCAGCUGGCCAACGUGGUGUCACACUCAAAAUGUCAUUACUGCACAAUUUGGCACCUAGCUACAUGCCUACAUGUGUGCUCGUGACUAAAAUGAGUCGCCUAUGGGGUGAAUAUCCAGUGAUACGGGAGAAUAUCCAUUGCUCCCGGAGCACCUAAGCUUAGGUGCUCCCAUGCGAGCUCGGCCAUUACAUCGUGAUUCAAUGGGCAACAUCACGCAAUGUGGACCAAACCGUCAUUUCAAGAAUGUUCGGGGGAGGAGGGGGGGGGGNNNNNNNNNNNNNNNNNNNGAGUCGUGGUGGGGGGUGCUGGAAACAUUCAUGCUGAAUUUAUCUUUUUUGUUUCUUGAUGUUUGUUUUGAAUUUGUAUUUGAUUUUUUAGGGAUUGCAAACUCAUGUGAUGUGUGAACAUCCAAUUUAUUUCGUAAUUUAUUGAAACAUUUAAAAUUGUUUUUUAAUUGUAUCAUGAGAGUAUUUAGGGUGUGGUAUCACUGGAUAUUCAUGUCACCUAUGUACUCCCUAUCAUUAUAUUAAUUUGAUGAUGUAAUAAUAUUAUUUUUACAAAACUGAUCAAAGCUUAUGAAGGUUGGCAAAACGGUGUUAGUAGUUACGUUUCAAAGUGCCAUGACCUAAAUGUAGUACUGGCAAUAGUUCAUAUGGACCUCAGGUGCGCUUUAUGCUUAAUCAAGUGUGCAAACAUAAGCAACAUUAGUUGAAAGGGGAUUUUCGUAUGAACUCAUGUUGGUACUUAGUUUUAUGAGGUGAACUAUUCAGCACUAUUGGAUGUCGUUGCCGGCAUCACCAUCCAUAGGUGUUGAUUCCUAGCAUGGACCAAUGUCCGGUUUCACCCCGCCCCUAGUUCACGCUCAACGUAAAAAAAACUCGUUCGCUCUGUUAGAUUGGGCGGUUGCUACAUUCCGUGUAGUGACUUCGUUCAAGGUAUUUUCCGUAAGACUUUGCCAUCUUGAUCUUUUUCAUGAAUUAGAUGAACGGUAUUUUUUGUAUGGUUGUAGAUUUUCUUUAACUCGGUAAGGGAUUAAAAAGUCUCGGAGCUGGUGUAGUUAUACCUUUCUGAUGUCACUUGCAAGCGUCGGAGCAGAGCUUUUCCAUGGCAUGACGCCAAACACAGCAUAGCGCCAUAUGCGCCCAAGGCAAACCAAAUCCUAAAUCAUAACCUAGUGGUACUAUAUACAACGCCCCCCACUGUCGCCCUCUUGGGGUUGCAGAUCCCUCGCUCCUACGCCGGUUGGCCUUGACAUCAACAUUUGGCCCACUGUCUCCCUCGUCAUAUUUUGGAAGUUGUGGGACUCUAGGAAUGCUCGUGUCUUUCACAACGAGAUACACUCAUCCAUAGAUACUCUCUGUAACAUCAUCUCAGACUUUACACUCUAGGCCUUUAGAUUUAAGGACAUUGUUAGCAGGGAGGCUGCCAUGUCUUGGCGUUUGUACACCUCCUUCCAUUGUCAUCCUUGAUAUAAUUUGCCCCUACGCCUUGAGUAAUAUUCAGCAAGGGACCCUCCCCUCCCCGGCGUGUUUGUUCAAAAAAAAAACGCCUCCCCACCACCACUCUGAUCGGCAAUGCUGUCGAAGNNNNNNNNNNNNNNNNNNNNNNNNNNNNNNNNNNNNNNNNNNNNNNNNNNNNNNNNNNNNNNNNNNNNNNNNNNNNNNNNNNNNNNNNNNNNNNNNNNNNAUCUAACAAUGACCUAUUAGCUCAGCUGGUUAGGUCGCACGUUCGAGACUUGCAUGGGCCAAUUUUCUUUGGCAUUUAUUUUUCCAUGGCGACGAACAGAGAGGAGGCAUGGAGACGGGGCCGUCGGACGCGCGCUCUCGCCCGCUGUCAAUGCCAACGUAGUGACCUUCCAUGACGGCUCCUCUGCCGCCGCGCCCCCAUACCUCCACCGUUUGCUCCCCCGUCCCUCCGCUCCUCAAUGUCCGUGCUUUCUCCGCUGUCACCGAAUCUGGACAAGAUCGACAGGAUCCAUUGCAUCUCGCGCGACACCCGGCUACAGCUGCUCGUCAGCCAUGCGGGCAGCACGGACGAGCUGCUCGUCGGGCAUGUGGGGGAACACGGACGAGCUGAUCGUCAGCGUCCAUCCCACAGGCCUGCUUCUGCUUCUGUUGCAACACAAAGAAAAGUGUAGUGGAGUAGGUACUGAUCCGCUCCAGAAACAGGGCACACAGCCAAACAGAUGUGCAGUAUAUUCGGAUAGACACUGAAAUAAAUGAUGGUUGUGACAAAAUCCAUGUACUGAAUAACUUACCAACAUUGCCACUGAAAGGAUCUCGAAUAGAUCACUGAAACAAAGGGCUCCCUACAGCCCGUCUGCCAAAUGCAACAGGCUAUGCAUGCCUCUUUUGUGUUGUUAUUACAAUCAUUAGUGUAGGUUUCAAAAAAAAAGUGAGUUGAUAAGACUAAGUUCGAAUUGUCAUAUUUAAUGGGUCAUAGUUUUUUAUUCCAAAAGAAGAUGUUACACAAAAAUACAUGAUUGAUUUGAUAAAUUUAGAUGUUACCAAAGGUCAUGCAUGUCUUUGCUGCAUGAAUUCAACCAAUUUUUCUUUGUUUGACCUGCUGUAUAAUGAAUGUAACUCAUUCCCCCACCUUGGAUCUAUCUUUGUUUCAGUUUAUUUUUUCUGAAAAUUGGUGCUACUUCCGAUUGCUCACAAUUCCAGUUUUGCUGAUAUGAUACAAGCCCUUGUUUCAGUUUUUUUUUCUGAAAAAAUAAUGUUACUAGCCAAGGAUUAGACCAACAAAUUUCAUGUUGCUGACUACAUAUACCUGGACAUUGUGGCUUUGACUUGGUUACGGUAAUUCUUGGGCAUGAUGCUAAAGUAAUUCUUGAAGUUUCAUGUAUUCUCCUCUUUCUUCAGUUAUCAAUUAGCUUAAUUGCAUACACAUGACUAGAUAUGCUUGCUGCACCUAAGUGUUUGUUCCGCAAUGAAUCGGUUGAAACGCAUGCAACAAACAUAUUUACUACUUCUUCCGUUCCUAAAUAUAAGAUCUUUUAAAGAUUAUAGUAUAAACUACAUACGAAUGCAUAUAAACAUAUUUUAGAGUGUAGAUUCAUUCAUUUUGCUUUGUAUGUAGUCUUCUAGUGAAAUGGCUAAAAGGUCUUAUAUUUAGGAACGGAGGGAGUAGUAGUUUCUACAAACCGUUUGUCCGACCACAACUUUGAUAAAAUUUGAGAAAACGUGCAUUACACGUUAGCAUUUACCUUAGCGAGGAAAAAAGAAAAAGCAAAUCGCCCACGAAGGCCUCCCUAAAGUCGGCAUCCAUCGGACCCGGAUCCGACGGCCGAGAAGAAACCCUAGCGCCCAUCGCUGUCCAUAUAUAGGGCCAUUCCUCCCGUCCGAACCCCUCCUCUCAGUCCCCCCCACCCCGCCGCCGCCCCCUCUCGGUUCCUUCUCCAUCCUUCCUUGGAGGUGAGCAUCCGAUCCUUUCCCCCUCCCUGCUUCGAUUCGUCGUCCGUUGUCUCGCAUAGCUUUCAGAUCUGCGUGCCUGCUUCUGUGCAGUAGCUGUGGCCUGCGAGUAGAUCGAGUUUUACUCUCUUUUUGAGGUGCUGCAUGUCGAUUUCCUCCGCGGUUUGAAGGAUUUUCUCUGCUGAGCACCGCGUUCUGUUUUGCGCGGGUGCCUGUGCUUAGUAGAGGUAAAUCUGCGGGUAGAUCUAGCCGCAGGUUCAUAUAUGCGCGGAUGCAUGACUUUUUUCGUCUUUAAUUUUGAUGAAUAUCUGUAAGCUCGUGCCGUAGCCUUGAUCUGUAGGUUUUUACUGUUUCUGUUCCGAUUUGGCGUCGAGGGAUGUUCCCGAAUCAUCUCCGUGCUUCGUUGCAUGUGUUGUUAGAUGGAUCCGUGUAGUACUUAGGGUUCUGUAGGAUCUUUGAGUUCUCUAGGAGAGUUGACAGCAUGAAUUUCAUCGUGUCCUUGUAUGGUGAUAAUUGAUUAGAUUUGUCUGUUGUUAGCGUUAUUACCGCAGUAAUUCUUAGAUCUAAGAAGUACCUGCAGACUGAUUGCUUCAAGUGUAAUUCCACCUCGUUAAAUGCAUCAUCUGCUUGUCUGUAUGGUCGUUUCACAUGUUCACUUGGAUCCGUUGUUUCCAUCACCUGCUUACCUUGAUGUUUCUGUUUGCUAGCUAAGCACGUUCAGCCAUGGGUAAGGAGAAGACUCACAUCAACAUCGUGGUCAUUGGACAUGUCGACUCCGGCAAGUCGACCACCACUGGCCAUCUGAUCUACAAGCUUGGAGGUAUUGACAAGCGUGUGAUCGAGAGGUUCGAGAAGGAAGCCGCUGAGAUGAACAAGAGGUCAUUCAAGUACGCCUGGGUGCUUGACAAGCUCAAGGCCGAGCGUGAGAGGGGUAUCACCAUUGAUAUUGCCCUGUGGAAGUUCGAGACCACCAAGUACUACUGCACCGUCAUUGAUGCCCCUGGUCACCGUGACUUCAUCAAGAACAUGAUUACUGGUACCUCCCAGGCUGACUGUGCUGUGCUCAUCAUUGACUCCACCACUGGUGGUUUUGAGGCCGGUAUCUCCAAGGAUGGCCAGACCCGCGAGCAUGCCCUCCUUGCUUUCACUCUUGGAGUGAAGCAGAUGAUCUGCUGCUGCAACAAGGUAUACAUGCCAUUCCACUUCCAAUGCUAAACAUCCUUUAAACUGAUUUGACAUUUGUCUAAGUCUGAUUAUCUUGCAACACUCAUUAGUUAUUCUAUAAUAUAUAUGUAGAUCGCCUUGUUGUAUCUAAUUUAGAUUUGUAGUGUUGUUCUACAUGCUUGAUGUGAAUACUCAGAGUUACUUAGGAAAUGCCCAGCUUCAGUAGUACUCCUGAAUUGUAUUGUAAUUAAUUAACUUUUGUCAUGUUGCCAAAUUUUGGGUGAUUUAAUAUCAUCACUUAACUGAUUAGUUCUCAUUGUAUCUUAAUUUAUAUGUUCUAAACAGCUUGCUUGCUCAUUAUCUCUUAUUCCUGCAACUUCCAUCACUUGAUUGCUAUACAUGUUCGCUGUUUCUUAUAUUUGUUUGCAUCACAUGUUCGCUGUUUCUUAUAUUUGUUUGCAUCUUUAUAUACUAGUAAUUCAGUUGUGUUGGUCUGAUGUGCUUGCUCUGGUUCUGUUACAGAUGGACGCCACCACACCCAAGUACUCGAAGGCCCGUUAUGAGGAAAUCGUCAAGGAAGUCUCUUCCUACCUGAAGAAGGUCGGCUACAACCCUGACAAGGUUCCCUUCGUCCCCAUCUCUGGGUUUGAGGGUGACAACAUGAUUGAGAGGUCCACCAACCUUGACUGGUACAAGGGCCCUACCCUUCUUGAGGCUCUUGACCAGAUCAAUGAGCCCAAGAGGCCCUCAGACAAGCCCCUGCGUCUUCCCCUUCAGGAUGUUUACAAGAUUGGUGGCAUUGGAACUGUGCCCGUGGGCCGUGUUGAGACUGGUGUCAUCAAGCCUGGUAUGGUUGUUACCUUUGGGCCCACUGGUUUGACAACUGAGGUCAAGUCUGUUGAGAUGCACCAUGAGUCUCUCCUGGAGGCGCUUCCCGGUGACAAUGUCGGCUUCAAUGUCAAGAACGUUGCCGUCAAGGAUCUGAAGCGUGGGUUUGUUGCAUCCAACUCCAAGGAUGACCCUGCCAAGGAGGCAGCCAACUUCACCUCCCAGGUCAUCAUCAUGAACCACCCUGGUCAGAUCGGCAAUGGCUAUGCCCCAGUGCUGGACUGCCACACCUCCCACAUUGCUGUCAAGUUUGCUGAGCUGGUGACCAAGAUCGACAGGCGAUCUGGUAAGGAGCUGGAGGCGCUGCCCAAGUUCCUCAAGAACGGUGAUGCUGGUAUCGUGAAGAUGAUUCCCACCAAGCCCAUGGUUGUGGAGACCUUUGCCACCUACCCUCCUCUUGGCCGUUUUGCCGUGCGUGACAUGAGACAAACGGUUGCUGUCGGUGUCAUCAAGGGCGUGGAGAAGAAGGACCCCACCGGUGCCAAGGUUACCAAGGCUGCCAUCAAGAAGAAAUAGGCGCUAUCUAGCUGAAGGAUUUUGUUCGCGGUCAUUGCUUUUGUUGCUUCAGACUCUUAUCCCGGGCGAGCAAUGAUCUGUCUGUCGUUUAAUUACUGUAUUUCUAUUCCUGCUUCUGCUAAACUCCUGUGCCCUGAGACUGAUUUGUUGUGAAAUGCAAGUUAUUAGAUUGCACUUGUUUUUCUGCUGCUUUUGCCAAAUGGUUGCAUGUUUCUGUCUAUCUGUUUUUUAUUUACAGAGGUUUGGUUUGCAUUUGUUGGUAUUGCCUGAAUGGUCUUGUUAUCUUCUGAGUUCUGGCGGCUGAGAUUGCUGGUAGUCUGCAGAACCUGGCUACAUCUGUAUUCAUGCCUGCAAUGCUUCUGAGUAACCACGUUUGAAUCUCAACCAUUAUUGGGUUUCUUCCUAAAUCCUGUACAGCGAGCUGCCUCUGUUAUUUUACGGAAAAAAUGCCAAUUUCGCAUGCUUUGUGUCUCCGUGUCUAAAUAUUUCACUACGGACUUGUUGUUCUAGAGAUGGUGGCUGGCUAGAGACCAACUUUCGGCCUCUCGCAGUCUUAAUGGGUUUUGGGCAAUUGUUGUUUUGUUCUGAACAAACCUGGCCUAGUUCAGCUCUUAAUAGAACUUCUGAUAGGCUGUGUGUAUUUUGUUAUGGUACCAAAUCAUGUUUAUCAUUUAUAUUCGUCUGUGUGACUAGCAAAAUGUUACGACACAAUUUGCUUUGAUGAUCUGGUUGUUUACCUCAGAUUCUUCUGAUUCUUGUCACCCUCCUAAUUUCUACUUUUCCCCUUCUCCAUCCUUCAGCCUGAGGAUUGAGGACCAGCUUGUUGAGGAUGGGACUCGAGCAGAUUUGGGUCAGUUGAUGAUUAUGUGGAUUAGGAUGACACCACAACUGAACAUCCAUAUUUUCGGCUGAUUCCCAUGCUCAGGCGCAAACUCAUUCUUUUGUUCUUGCCACUUAGUGCCAAACCGUGAGAAUUGUGAAAAUAAUAAUCUAUGUGAGAUAUGUAAAACCGUUGUAACUUUGAUUGUGUGCGCUCUCAGUUUGCGGUUUUGUGAGGAACUGUUCAUUUUUCUCGCGUGAGAUAAUUUGAACCUAUGAUAAUGUUGCUUAUGUGUGUAUAGCUUGCCAUUUGGGGCAGCGAAGAAUUGAUAAUUUUCCUUGCGCUCAGAUGUUUGAACUCGUGACAAAUUUGAUUAUGUGAUUUUUUACUUUCUCCCAAGAUUGGUUACGCGGGAAAUCGUAUGAGAAGUAUGUACGUGCAUUGCAUUGAAGGCUGAAAGAUAUAGAAUUGAUAAUUUUCCUUGCGCUCAGAUGUUUGAACUCGUAUUUGGGGCAGCGAAGAAUUGAUAAUUUUCCUUGCGCUCAGAUGUUUGCUCAGAUGCAGAUAUACUGAAAGCAAACAGAGAAUGCAUCCCAGCGUUCGAUCUCCCAGCUGGCUCAUUGUGAGUGUAUAGAGUGGAUCAGUGGAGUCGAGUGAACCUAGUUACGGAACGUACUGUCAAAUCAAGAUUUAGCGUGUAGAGCUAGUAAAGCAUGAACGUGGAGCAGAGUCAAGGAAUUAGAGGAGUGGAGGGGAUCCGAACACGCUCUAAGAGCAUCUCUAGUGGAACGUGUAAAUUUGAACGUGUAUAUCUUCAUAUACACGUCCAUAUACACCUUGUUAAAUUUUACACCUUUCAAUUUUUCAGUGAAACGUGUAUACACGACGUGGAAAUUAGGACGUGCAAAAAUCUCGCCCUGCAUCUCGCACGCCCGCACGGAGCGCCUCCCCCACGCAGCGCCGCCCGCCCGCCCGCACACACCNNNNNNNNNNNNNNNNNNNNNNNNNNNNNNNNNNNNNNNNNNNNNNNNNNNNNNNNNNNNNNNNNNNNNNNNNNNNNNNNNNNNNNNNNNNNNNNNNNNNNNNNNNNNNNNNNNNNNNNNNNNNNNNNNNNNNNNNNNNNNNNNNNNNNNNNNNNNNNNNNNNNNNNNNNNNNNNNNNNNNNNNNNNNNNNNNNNNNNNNNNNNNNNNNNNNNNNNNNNNNNNNNNNNNNNNNNNNNNNNNNNNNNNNNNNNNNNNNNNNNNNNNNNNNNNNNNNNNNNNNNNNNNNNNNNNNNNNNNNNNNNNNNNNNNNNNNNNNNNNNNNNNNNNNNNNNNNNNNNNNNNNNNNNNNNNNNNNNNNNNNNNNNNNNNNNNNNNNNNNNNNNNNNNNNNNNNNNNNNNNNNNNNNNNNNNNNNNNNNNNNNNNNNNNNNNNNNNNNNNNNNNNNNNNNNNNNNNNNNNNNNNNNNNNNNNNNNNNNNNNNNNNNNNNNNNNNNNNNNNNNNNNNNNNNNNNNNNNNNNNNNNNNNNNNNNNNNNNNNNNNNNNNNNNNNNNNNNNNNNNNNNNNNNNNNNNNNNNNNNNNNNNNNNNNNNNNNNNNNNNNNNNNNNNNNNNNNNNNNNNNNNNNNNNNNNNNNNNNNNNNNNNNNNNNNNNNNNNNNNNNNNNNNNNNNNNNNNNNNNNNNNNNNNNNNNNNNNNNNNNNNNNNNNNNNNNNNNNNNNNNNNNNNNNNNNNNNNNNNNNNNNNNNNNNNNNNNNNNNNNNNNNNNNNNNNNNNNNNNNNNNNNNNNNNNNNNNNNNNNNNNNNNNNNNNNNNNNNNNNNNNNNNNNNNNNNNNNNNNNNNNNNNNNNNNNNNNNNNNNNNNNNNNNNNNNNNNNNNNNNNNNNNNNNNNNNNNNNNNNNNNNNNNNNNNNNNNNNNNNNNNNNNNNNNNNNNNNNNNNNNNNNNNNNNNNNNNNNNNNNNNNNNNNNNNNNNNNNNNNNNNNNNNNNNNNNNNNNNNNNNNNNCCCCGCACAGCGCCGCCGCCAGCCAGCCCGCCUGCACGCACAGCGCCCCGCACAGCGCCACGAGCGUGGCUGCAUCGUGUUUAUUUGCACGACGAGUAGCCUCGUGGAUGGACGUGUAUAACUUCCACGCCCGUAUACACGUUCCACUGGGAGGCAUUUUUCUGCUAGCAACGUGUAUAUUUACCAUCCACCUCUAUAUACACCAUCCACUAGAGAUGCUCUAAGAGCAUCUCUAGUGGAACGUGUAAAUUUGGACGUGUAUAUCUUCAUAUACACGUCCAUAUACACCUUGUUAAAUUUUACACCUUUCAGUUUUUGAGUGGAACGUGUAUACAUGACGUGGGAAUCAGGACGUGUAUAUUCCAACGGCUAUAUUUUCAAACGGCUAUAUUUUCAACUAGGAUAAAGCAUCAAAUAGUUCUUACAACAACUAAGAUAAAUUAUCAAAUAGUUCUUACAACAACUAGGAUAAAGCAUCAAAUAGUUCUUACAACAAUUAGGACAAAGCAUCAAAUAGUUCUUACAACAACUAGGAUAAAGCAUCAAAUAGUUCUUACUCUAGGCGACGAGCAAGGAUCUCAUUCUGCUUAGCUUGGUAGAACUGCUUUUGCAUAUCAGUCAUACCACAAGUGUCUAUGAGCAUGACCCUCUCAUCUAAUUCAAACUGUCUCCGUGCAUCCUCCCUCUCGUUUCGUGCAUCCUCCUUUUUCAGCGCAAUCUCCUUUUUUCGCAAUUCAAAUUGCUGUGCAUAGCGAUCAUUUUUUGCCGCCUCUUUGAUGUCAUCCUUCUCUUGCUUUGCUGCCCACACAGUUUCUAAUGACAACUUGCAAGCACUGUCAUCAGCUUUACCUUUCCGCAGUUUGUCCUUCACACCAUCAGGUCUUUGCUAAUGUUCAAGAGCAUCCCUGUGUAUCGAGGUAGCAUCAGUGCGUACUGAGGAUGCAUCAGCUAGAUCAUUGGUGAAUGUGCCCGGACUUGCACCUACAGUCUUCUUUUGUUUCUUACGAGAAGUUUCAAGUUCUUUUGUCUGCCACUUUGGAUACUUCGAAAGCUCGACAUAGCAAUGCAUCAAUGUGAAAGGCUUCUUCUUUUUAAGAUCCAUUUCCUUGAACAUAAUGUGUGCAUCGUUUGUCUGCACAUACAAAUGUAUUGUGAAAAUCUGCACAUCACAUAUAGAAUAUUGCACAACACAUAUAGAAGUACAAGAUAGACACAUACCUUUUCUUCUAUAGUCCUUCCGCUUUCUUCCCUAUUUAAAAUCUGCUGAAGGCAACCACAAAAUCUAGCGGUAUCUUUGUUAAUCAAUGUGUAACGGCAAUUGAUUGCAUUAUCAUUACGCUCCGGCCAUGAUGACAUCUUGUGUGAGUUGUAGUACUCUAAAAUUCUAGCCCAAUAAGCAUCUCUGUUUUGAUCUGUCCCGACACUAUCCAAACUUGCAUUUCCCCAUGCUGCUAUCAAAAUCUUGUCCUCCUCACUAGACCAAUUUUUUCCUUUGUUGGAUUUUGCUUUCUCUGUUAUUGGUGUUGCUUGAUGUUGAGUUGAUGGGGUUGGUUGCUCUUCAAUUGGACUUUCUAGUUGUGUUUGUGUGUAACCAAAACCCAUGGUGUCCAAGAAGCUUUCAUCACCAUCCAUCUGCAAACAAUCAACAAAUACACACAUGAAUCAACAAAUAUGUUAGCAAAUCAAUAUAAUUUUGGUAGUAGUUUCAGAAUUUUUCCCUACAGAGCUCUCUCCCUCCAGCCUCCGCCCCACCCCAGCCCUCCCCACCGAGCUCUCUCCCUCCAGCCCCUCUUUCCCNNNNNNNNNNNNNNNNNNNNNNNNNNNNNNNNNNNNNNNNNNNNNNNNNNNNNNNNNNNNNNNNNNNNNNNNNNNNNNNNNNNNNNNNNNNNNNNNNNNNNNNNNNNNNNNNNNNNNNNNNNNNNNNNNNNNNNNNNNNNNNNNNNNNNNNNNNNNNNNNNNNNNNNNNNNNNNNNNNNNNNNNNNNNNNNNNNNNNNNNNNNNNNNNNNNNNNNNNNNNNNNNNNNNNNNNNNNNNNNNNNNNNNNNNNNNNNNNNNNNNNNNNNNNNNNNNNNNNNNNNNNNNNNNNNNNNNNNNNNNNNNNNNNNNNNNNNNNNNNNNNNNNNNNNNNNNNNNNNNNNNNNNNNNNNNNNNNNNNNNNNNNNNNNNNNNNNNNNNNNNNNNNNNNNNNNNNNNNNNNNNNNNNNNNNNNNNNNNNNNNNNNNNNNNNNNNNNNNNNNNNNNNNNNNNNNNNNNNNNNNNNNNNNNNNNNNNNNNNNNNNNNNNNNNNNNNNNNNNNNNNNNNNNNNNNNNNNNNNNNNNNNNNNNNNNNNNNNNNNNNNNNNNNNNNNNNNNNNNNNNNNNNNNNNNNNNNNNNNNNNNNNNNNNNNNNNNNNNNNNNNNNNNNNNNNNNNNNNNNNNNNNNNNNNNNNNNNNNNNNNNNNNNNNNNNNNNNNNNNNNNNNNNNNNNNNNNNNNNNNNNNNNNNNNNNNNNNNNNNNNNNNNNNNNNNNNNNNNNNNNNNNNNNNNNNNNNNNNNNNNNNNNNNNNNNNNNNNNNNNNNNNNNNNNNNNNNNNNNNNNNNNNNNNNNNNNNNNNNNNNNNNNNNNNNNNNNNNNNNNNNNNNNNNNNNNNNNNNNNNNNNNNNNNNNNNNNNNNNNNNNNNNNNNNNNNNNNNNNNNNNNNNNNNNNNNNNNNNNNNNNNNNNNNNNNNNNNNNNNNNNNNNNNNNNNNNNNNNNNNNNNNNNNNNNNNNNNNNNNNNNNNNNNNNNNNNNNNNNNNNNNNNNNNNNNNNNNNNNNNNNNNNNUUCAGCAGCGGCCCCAGCCCCUCUCUCCCCGCCCUCCCCUCUCCAUGGCGCGCGCCGCCGCCGCCAGAUCCGCCGCCGCCAGAUCUGGCCAGCGGUGUGGAGGCCGCCCGACGUCCCGCGCCUCCUCUCUACCGACGGGAAUGGAAAAUAGAAGGGAGAGAGAGAGCUUACCAGAGGGGAGUGGUCGCCGGCGAGCUUCGAUGGCCUGUGGACGGAGGCGGGAGGAUGGCGGGAGCAGCUCGUUUCUGUCUUCCACGAGCGUGGCCCAGGCGUGUUUAUUUCCACGAGGAGUAGCCUCGUGGGUGGACGUGUAAAACUUACACGCCAGUAUACACGAUCCACUGGGAAGCGUUUUUCAGUUUGCAUCGUGUAUAUUUACCAUCCACCUCCAUAUACACCAUCCACUAGAGAUGCUCUAAAGAUGCUACCAACUCUAGAAUCUGAAUCAAUGAGCUCACAGAGGAGAGUCAAGAAUUUGAGGAGUGGAGGGAAUCCAAACACGCUCUAAAGAUACUAGGAAUUCUAAAACCUAAAUUAAUGAGCUAGCACGUGAGCUGAACCAGCACUUAAACUCAGUUGCGUGCUCCACUCAGUAGCUUUACCCAUAUCUCUUUUAUUAAAGAAGACUUGCCACGUCCGUCCGCUUCCAUCACUUCCAUCCCUACGUUGUUUUUAUUUUCUCUCCAAGCAACCUAUUUGAAAUAAUUUAAAUCAAACCGAUUCUUUCAUUUCCUUGCCCUACUCAUUCCCUAAUAAAUAAAUAAAUAACGCACACAUAGUAACUCGGAGUAAUUUAGAUCAAAUCGGUACUUCUCUUUUCUUGUCCUACUCAUUCUCUCCCUCAAUUUGCUUACUGUUUUUUCAGUCGUGACUAUUCCGAAUGAGGAUCUUGCAGUAAUAUGUAAACUAAUCCUUGAUUCACAUGAAGCAUUUAUGUCAUUAUUACACUAAAUAUUUUUUGUAAAUGUAGUAAUAUUUUAUUACUGUCUUGUGAUGAUAUUGGAUUUUGAAGACGGUGAUGAUGGGUGAACGUAUAUAUGAGUCAUGUGUUGAACCACUAGAAUAUGUAUGCCCCUUUUACAAUGCACAUGCAGUUAGUUAGCGCGUCUAAAGUAAAAGAAGAAGACUGUGCAAAGGGCAUGUACAAUGGCAGGCAUGAUAACCAUCUCUCGAGUAAAAGAGAAGAUUCGGUGUACCCAUACUUAUUCGGAAUCCUCGAAGGGUACAAAAAAUAAGUGAGGCACGAGCUCAUAUCUGUACUUACCACAUAACAAAAUCGUACCAUGUAAAAUUGUUUCAUUGCCCCUAUAUGAAGAGGGGGUUAUAAAUUAUCUCUCGGACCUUUCCCUAUUUGAUACAUGUCAACAUAGGUGUCAAAAGGAAUCAUGGUAGCACAUAAUGAAUUUUGAAACAGCUUAGUAUUUCUUUGAUCGCAGUCACACUUCAUAUCUCUUUCGGCAAUCUAGUUCUACUUACUCUAAUCUUGGACUGCUAAUCAUGCCAAUUAGCCGUCCUCCGUUGGGCACAAUGCUGAUUUGGAAUGAGUGGCAUCGGAAAAUAAACUAGGCCCGGUCAAUACAAGCGUGCGACUACAAGUUUGUCUGGUCCACUUUUGCUGCUACUCCCUCUGGUUCCUAAAACAACGCUUCAAGCUUUGUGGCUAUCAUCUUCAAAAAUAAUGCGUCUGGUUACCUCAGGUUACCUCAUCCAAUGAGCAGGCAUGCCCUGUUUCUGAGAUCCGAGGGAGUAAGCGGCGGAGGACGUGAGGCCUCUUUCCGUGAGUCACUGUAGUGUUUACUAUAGUUACAGUGCUACACCGCACCAAGGCUGCCUGGGUCGGUCUGGGUCUUUGCUUGACCCUUGCACCACCACUGGAAGUAACAAUUAGUCUGAUCUUAUUUUUCAUUGUUAGUUCAGCAACACACAUACGUACUAUGUUUUCUUGUGGCCAUCAGUGACCAUGUUUACAUGUUUAACCACUCUUUGUUGCCUGCACUGAAGAAAGUGAAAAGAACCUUUGGGUUCCUUUGCAUCCCCAAAAUUCUAAAGUACCGCAGGAGUGCUAGUGUAUUUUCCUCUUGUUCUUGGUGUUUCUCCUGUAAGUUGAAACAACCGGUGACUCGUGAAGAAUGAAAGAAAGAGACCAUCAAGGUGAAAAAGAUGUAACUGGCCUCAGUUUACACCGAGGACAAUAAGGUUAGUUGUAAUGGAAGUAUCAUAGAUAGUACUAUAUAUGUCAACUAGACAAUUUUGAUGAGGUGACAUAGAAUUAAAUGAAGAAAGAGAUGGUUUAAUAUCAUAUUAUGAUACCGUAUCAUAUUAAAUAUUGUGUUACUAUACGUCAUGCAUGACAAUAAAUAAAUUAUUUUAUAAUACUAACAUAUGAUACUAUGCAUUAUCCUACAAUAGUAUCAUAUGAUACUAUCCGCAUACAUUUAAAACAUCUUUUAGACCAACAAGACGAAUUACAUGCAAGAUGGAUGAUUUUUAUAUAAAACCAGACAAAAACAUUUACAUUUUUGGCAUAUUUUAACUAAACUAUACAGUGGUCCGGUAAACCUAGUCCACGGCCGACUGCGAAUGAACAUCAUUCCCACGACAUGAAUUCCCCUUGUCCAACAACUGCUCAUCAGAUCGACGGAUGCCAUGAAGGGAUAUGCUUCAGUGAGAGGAAAAUAAUAGCCUCCAUCCGUUUCCAUGAAGCACGGAUCAGAGUUGAUAUUGGGCGGGGAAGACGGCCGCCAUAGUCUAUGCCUUCGCUUACUAGGAAGACACCGGCUGUGUAACCCAGCGAUGUGAUGGCAGUAGCUUUCGUGGGACCCAAGUGACGGCGGCUUACCUUGAUUUUCUUUCAUCGCUGUCUAAGGUACGGUGACCGCGGGCGUACCAACGUCCGCCGACAUGGCUUCUUUCCCCACCCGCAUGACAUGCUGCCAACAUAGAUCAUGACGGAUUUAAUGAGAGACUUUGUUAUCCAGCCUAGAUGGGGGAGGAGGGGGUGUCAAUGGCGAUGGUGGUGGCCCGAGACCCAAGCCAACCUGAACCGGGCAACACAUGCAGCUGCAAUGAUGGGAAACUCAUUCUAUUCGUCGCAGGGCAUGUGGGGUUUUGUGGAUGGAGGAGAUGGAGAGCGGAGGUGAGGUGUGCUUCUUGACUGACGCCUGGACACGUUUAUAUAGCGGGCGAAUGCAAAAAUUUAGCUGCACAGGUGUUUAAUGCUCGUCGGAACAUGAACAAACAUGUGGUGCUGAGGGCGCCGGAGUAGGUUUCUUGGCACACAUGUCGGUUUAAAGGAGGUAGGCAAGCAGACGGAUCCUGUUUCAGUGCAGAGAGAAGGUGUGAACAUCCGGCGAUCAAUGGGUGGUGCUCUCGAGUGGCGAGCCACAUUCAUGUCGGCUCGAGUGAGUGGCCGCGUCCGCUCUGGGCCAGCAUGAAUGCGAGCAUCUAGCAUUGGGCGGGAGCACGAGAGGGCAUGGGAAAUGUGACUGUGAUGGGCCAGGUUAGUCAGAUGCACGCGUGGUAGUGGUCUAGACGCCUGCACCCCCUUCAAGUUUGUUUCUGGUUGGAUGGCAAAAGAGAGCGUCUGGACUGCCAAACAGGCCAAUGUAGACCCGUGUUGGAUGGCAAAACACAUCUAGACCAUCGAACACAUCAACGUAGACCCGCGUUGGACGGCCAAACACAUCCACACCGCGCGAUCCGGACUGUUAUGGAUGGUUUGAGGGUCAGCGUUAAAGAUGUUUUUACUAGUCAAAGUUACAUCCCACUAUGACCAGGCUGACAAAAAUGUAACGGGGCCUAGUCACUGUGUGUUUAUAUUGUGUUGUUAUGUGGUUUCAUUUUCAUGAUGAAACUGGAGCGAGGCCACCCUCUAUUUUCCUUAAAAUAUAAUGUACUCCCUCCUAAAGAAAUAUAAGAGCGUUUAGAUCACUAGUUUAAUGAUCUAAAUGUUCUUAUAUUCCUUUAUAGAGGGAGUAUAACAUAUGAUGCGGAAAUGCAAGAAAAGUUUGAUGUUUAUUGUGUUGAGCUGCAUCAACUAUUUACGCUGUCUAGAUUGAUCAAAGACCUAGAUCUAAUUUAGCUUGAUCAAUAUGAGUCAACAACAGAUAUGAUUGGAGGGGCCGCAUGAUCUGCUUAAGGAAGCCAUUGGAAGACAACAUGGCAAACAGAGGUAGCCUUCAUAGUCAGGUCUGCAACCAAUGCUAAUGAUCAAACGACAACGAAAGAUGGGGCAAAAAUAUGUUACAAUGGCGACCUACAUGGUUAGGUUUUCUUGUACUCCCACCCACGCUGCCGCCGUUCCUCCCCGACUUCGAUGGUCUUUGGGCCAUGGAUGUGCACCCCUAGAGGGAUGAACCCCUCUCCCAUUCUUGUUAGGUUGAACGUCUUGGUUGGGGCUGUGUGGCAGCGGCGAUGCCCCUUGGUAGGAAUAAUGUUUCCCAUAUGCGAUCCCCGCACUGGUGUUUCUAGCAUCGUCGGAGGGUAUAUGGAGGUGUGUCUCCAUCAGAUCUUGUUGGAUUCGGUUGGUGCUGGUCUUUGUUAGUUCUUUUUCAUACAAUCUUUAUCCGUGUGUUUAUAUGUUUUAUCCUUUUGAUCCACGACUCUCUUCAUCAACGUAUGUUGCCGCUUUGUUGCCCUGGUCCCGUGGGGACUUAACACCAACUUUUCAGUUGUCUAUUACAAUAAGAUUUACCUAACUCUAGUGAGGUGGGGGAGGGAGUGAUGAUGAUGGCAUGCCUUUGGCACGAUAGUCAUCCCUAGGUGGUACGUAUAUGGACCUGAUUAAAUUUUUAGUUACCUCUAGUCUUCUGUGUACUAUCCUGAUUGAUCAUCAAUAGGUUGGCAGUUUGUCCAGUAUAAAAUAAAAUCAAAGACCAAGAAAAAUUUGGGGUAAAACACUUUUCCUUUGUAAACAGUACUCAAUGCAUUUUUCGGAUGGAGUUUGAAAUUGGCUCCUUCUCUCGUGAUGGCACGUGUGACUUUGCAAGCUUGCUCAACCCACUCAGCGCAUAGGCGACAACUGCUGUCCUCGCCUUCACUUCUCCAUCAGAAGGCACAAUCGCCCCUCCUUCACCCCCGACCUCCCUUGCUUUCUGAUGACCCACAAGUAUAGGGGAUCAAUCGUAGUCCUUUCGAUAAGUAAGAUUGUCGAACCCAACGAGGAGCAGAAGGCUCUGAUAAACGGAUUUCAGCAAGGUAAUAACUGCAAGCACUGAAAGUAGCGGUAACAAGUGAUUGUGUAGCGAGGUGAAACAUAGCAAGCAAAGAGUAACAAGUAACAAGUAGUAGCAACGGUGCAGCAAGUGGCCCAAUCCCUUUUGUAGCAAGGGACAAGCCUGAACAAAGUCUUAUAGGAGGAAAAACGCUCCCGAGGACACACGGGAAUUUCUGUCAUGCUAGUUUCAUCAUAUUCAUAUGAUUCGCGUUUGUUACUUUGAUAGUUUGAUAUGUGGGUGGACCGGCGCUUGGGUACUGCUCUUACUUGGACAAGCAUCCCACUUAUGAUUAACCUCUCUCGCAAGCAUCCUCAACUACAAAAUAAGAAUUAAGACAAAGUCUAACCAUAGCAUUAAACUAGUGGAUCCAAAUCAGCCCCUCACGAAGCUACGCAUAGACUGGGGUUUAAGCUUCUGUCACUCCAGCAACCCAUUGUCUACUUACUACUUACCAAUGCCUUCCUCUAGGCCCAAAUAUGGUGAAGUGUUAUGUAGUCGACGUUCACAUAACACCACUAGAGUAAAAACAACAUACAACAUAUCAAAAUACCGAACGAAUAUCAAAUUCACAUGACUAUUAUUAACAUGACUUAUCCCAUGUCCUCAGGAACAAAAGUAACUACUCACAAAACAUAAUCAUAAUCAUGAUCAGAGGUGUAAUGAAUAGCAUCAAGGAUCUGAACAUAAACUCUUCCACCAAGUAAUCCAACUAGCAUCAACUACAAAGAGUAAUCAACACUACUAGCAACCUUACGAGUACCAAUCGGAGUCGCGAGACGAAGAUUGGUUACAAGAGAUGAACUAGGGAUUGGAGAGGAGAUGGUGCUGAUGAAGAUGCUGAUGAUGAUGCCUCCCCUCCGACGAGAGGAGUGUUGGUGAUGACGAUGGCGACGGUUCCCCCCUCCGGGAGGGAAGUUUCCCCGGCAGGAUCGUCCUGCCGGAGCUCUAGAUUGGAUCUGCUCAAGUUCCGCCUCAUGACGGCGGCGAAACCACUAAAAAGCUCCCUAUUGAUUUUUUUCUAGACCAGGACGCUUCAUAUAGCAAAAGAGGGGGGGGGGGCUAGUGGGCCGUCAGGCAGCCCACAAGCCUGCCCUGCGCCACCAGGGGGGUGGUGGCGGUGGGCAAGCUUGUGGAGCCCUGGUGGCCCCCCUCCGGUAGUUCUUCGCCCAGUAUUUUUUAUAUAAUCCAGAAAAAAUCCACGUAACUUUUCNNNNNNNNNNNNNNNNNNNNNNNNNNNNNNNNNNNNNNNNNNNNNNNNNNNNNNNNNNNNNNNNNNNNNNNNNNNNNNNNNNNNNNNNNNNNNNNNNNNNNNNNNNNNNNNNNNNNNNNNNNNNNNNNNNNNNNNNNNNNNNNNNNNNNNNNNNNNNNNNNNNNNNNNNNNNNNNNNNNNNNNNNNNNNNNNNNNNNNNNNNNNNNNNNNNNNNNNNNNNNNNNNNNNNNNNNNNNNNNNNNNNNNNNNNNNNNNNNNNNNNNNNNNNNNNNNNNNNNNNNNNNNNNNNNNNNNNNNNNNNNNNNNNNNNNNNNNNNNNNNNNNNNNNNNNNNNNNNNNNNNNNNNNNNNNNNNNNNNNNNNNNNNNNNNNNNNNNNNNNNNNNNNNNNNNNNNNNNNNNNNNNNNNNAUAACACCACUAGAGUAAAAACAACAUACAACAUAUCAAAAUACCGAACGAAUAUCAAAUUCACAUGACUAUUAUUAACAUGACUUAUCCCAUGUCCUCAGGAACAAAAGUAACUACUCACAAAACAUAAUCAUAAUCAUGAUCAGAGGUGUAAUGAAUAGCAUCAAGGAUCUGAACAUAAACUCUUCCACCAAGUAAUCCAACUAGCAUCAACUACAAAGAGUAAUCAACACUACUAGCAACCUUACGAGUACCAAUCGGAGUCGCGAGACGAAGAUUGGUUACAAGAGAUGAACUAGGGAUUGGAGAGGAGAUGGUGCUGAUGAAGAUGCUGAUGAUGAUGCCUCCCCUCCGACGAGAGGAGUGUUGGUGAUGACGAUGGCGACGGUUCCCCCCUCCGGGAGGGAAGUUUCCCCGGCAGGAUCGUCCUGCCGGAGCUCUAGAUUGGAUCUGCUCAAGUUCCGCCUCAUGACGGCGGCGAAACCACUAAAAAGCUCCCUAUUGAUUUUUUUCUAGACCAGGACGCUUCAUAUAGCAAAAGAGGGGGGGGGGGCUAGUGGGCCGUCAGGCAGCCCACAAGCCUGCCCUGCGCCACCAGGGGGGUGGUGGCGGUGGGCAAGCUUGUGGAGCCCUGGUGGCCCCCCUCCGGUAGUUCUUCGCCCAGUAUUUUUUAUAUAAUCCAGAAAAAAUCCACGUAACUUUUCAGGGUAUUUGGAGAUGUGCAGAAUAGUGGACUAGGAUUUGCUCCUUUUCCAGUCCAGAAUUUCAGCUGCCUGAAUUCUCCUCUUCAAAUAAACCUUGCAAAAUAAGAGAGAAAAGGCAUAAAUAUGGUACCACAAGUAAUAUAACAGCCCCAAAAGCAAUAAAUAUCAACAUGAAAGCAUGAUGCAAAAUGGACGUAUCAACUCCCCCAAGCUUAGACCUCGCUUGUCCUGAAGCGAAAACGAAGAUCCAUAAACAUGUCCACAUGUUGAGGGACAAAGGUGUCGAUAAAACAUAAUACAGACAUGAGGGCAUCAUGAUCGCACAUAGAACAACAAUACAUCAUAAAGAUUCUUAUGGGAAAGUAACAAUUCCUUUACAAAGCAAAGCAUGAAGCAAAAACCUUACCGUGAAGUAACCAACAAUAGUCCAUAGUCAUUGAAACAAUUGCAAUUUAUCACAACAUCACAAAGAGUCAAAUAAGAGCUUGUAAGGCAAACCCACAUACUCAAUCAUCUCUUUCAUUUUCCACAAUUGUUACAACUCACGUGGUACUCAUGGUGUCAAAGUUUCAGCUGGACACAGAGGAAGAUAGGGGCUUAUAGUUUUGCCUCCCAACGGUUUACCUCAAGGAUAAAGUCAACAAUAAUAAAGCAUGAGUACUCAACUCCAAGUUGAUAUAUGAAUAUAGAUCUUUCCCAAGCAUGUGACGGUAGCCAAGACAAAGGCAAAAAGGGAAUUGGUGAAGAUCACCAUGACUCUUCCAAGGGUAAAAAGUAAAGGUACAAGAUAGGCCCUUCGUAGAGGGAAGCAGAGGUUGUCAUGCGCUUUUGAGGUUUGAAUGCGUGUCUUCUUAGUGCGGAGGAACGUCACUUUAUAUUGCCUCCUGUGAUAAAGAACUUUAUUAUACAGUCUGUCGCUUUUAUGUCUUCCUCAUCACAGGUUCGUACAAAGCUUAUUUUCCACACACUAAUAGAUCAUACAUAUUAGAGAGCAAUGUUUAUUGCUUGCACCGAUGACAACUUACUUGAAGGAUCUUAUUCAAUCCAUAGGUAGGUAUGAUGGACUCUCAUGGCAAAACUGGUUGGAGGUUUAUGGAUGCACAAGUAGUAUCUCUACUUGGUGCGGGAGUUUUGGCUAAUAUGAGGUGGAAGCAAUCGUCACAUGCUAAGGGAUCUCUAAUCAUAUAACAUUGUUUGGAACCAAGCAAACACAAUUCAUUAUAUUGUCUUCCUUGUCCAACAUCUACUCCUAGGCAUGUAAUAGUUUGGUGAGUGCCCACAAUUGUAAAAAGUGUCUAAGAUGAUAUAUUUAUAUGUGAACCUCUCUUUCCUUAUUACUUCUUAUUAAUUGCAACAAUGACUGAGGUCUAUGUUGAUUUAUUAUCAACAAGUUUCAAUCAUCAUAUGUGUCAUAAGUGAAGUUAUCACUUUCCAUAAGAUCAUCUCAUGAUCUUUCAUGCUAUCGUUCUUUUCAUAUUUUUUAAUCAUGGCACAAAGCAAAGCCCUUAACUAAGACACUCUUUAUUAUAUAGCUCGUAAGCUCGAAUACAUCGGGGGAGAGACAAAAGCAAAAGACUCAAACUAAAAACUAAAGACUUAUUCCUCUAAAAGAAGAAAUAAAAACUGAAAAGGAAAGAACUAAAACAAAGGUAAAAGCAAAAGAUAUAAAGGUGAUACGAUACCAGGGCAACUCCCCCAAGCUUGGCAGAAGCCAAGGGGAUUGCCCAUAGCAAUGCUUAGUUGUCUUCCUUUGGUGGUGAUGGUGGUGUGGUGUUGUUGGAGCAGUCUUGAGCUUGUCUAAUUUCCACUUGAGCAAAAAGUUCUGCUCCCUUAGAUCGUCAUUUUCCUCCUCAAGUUUCAAAACUCUAUGGCAAAGCUCCUAUUUACUCUCCGAAAUAGAUACAUCUUCGUUUUCAAGGUCUGAAACAGGCUGAUAAACAUCCCUUAUGUACUCCACUGGAGUCAUGACAUUGAUGAUAUGGUCUCAACAUUUAUGGGAGUAACGUAGAUGUAAUGCUUGAUUCUUUGCCCAUUUACCACUCUAGGAAAAUUUCCUUUCGUGUUAUUGAUUUUGAUGGCACCGGAACAAUAUACUUCCCCGACAACAUAGGGACCUUCCCAUUUAGAGAGAAGCUUGCCUGCAAUGAAUCUCAAACGAGAAUUGUAUAGCAAGACAUAAUCACCUACAUUGAACUCUCGUUUCUGUAUUCGUUUGUCGUGCCAUCUCUUAACCUUUUCCUUGAACAACUUGGCAUUCUCAUAUGCCUGGGCUCUCCAUUCAUCUAACGAGCUGAUAUCAAACAACCGCUUCUCACCGACAAGUUUGAAAUCAAAGUUGAGCUCUUUGAUUGCCCAAUAAGCUUUGUGUUCUAGCUCAAGAGGUAAAUGACAGGCCUUACCGUAAACCAUUUUAUACGGUGACAUGCCCAUGGGAUUCUUAUAAGCAGUCCUAUAAGCCCAUAGUGCAUCGUCAAGUUUGCUAGACCAGUUCUUUCGAGAUCUAUUGACGGUCUUUUGUAGGAUCAACUUGAUCUCCCUAUUACUCAACUCCACUUGACCACUAGACUGAGGAUGAUAAGGAGAUGCAACUCUAUGGUUGACAUCAUACUUAGCUAGCAUCUUGCGGAAAACACCAUGAAUGAAGUGUGAACCGCCAUCAGUAAUCAAGUAUCUAGGGACUCCAAAUCUUGGGAAUAUGACUUCUUUAAGCAUCUUAAUACAGGUGUGGUGAUCAACAUUUUUAGUGGGGAUAGCCUCUACCCACUUAGUGUUGGGGAACGUCGCAAGGGAAACAAAAAAUUUCCUACGCGCACGAAGACCUAUCAUGGUGAUGUCCAUCUACGAGAGGGGAUGAGUGAUCUACGUACCCUUGUAGAUCGUACAGCAGAAGCGUUAGUGAACGCGGUUGAUGUAGUGGAACGUCCUCACGUCCCUCGAUCCGCCCGGCGAACAAUCCCGCGAUCAGUCCCACGAUCUAGUACCGAACGGACGGCACCUCCGCGUUCAGCACACGUACAGCUCGACGAUGAUCUCGGCCUUCUUGAUCCAGCAAGAGAGACGGAGAGGUAGAAGAGUUCUCCGGCAGCGUGACCGCUCUCCGGAGGUUGGUGAUGAUCUUGUCUCAGCAGGGCUCCGCCCGAGCUCCGCAGAAACGCGAUCUAGAGGAAAAACUAUGGAGGUAUGUGGUCGGGCAGCCGUGAGAAAGUCGUCUCAAAUCAGCCCUAAAACCUCCGUAUAUAUAGGUGGGAGGGAGGGGAGGAGGCAGCCUCAAAACCUAAAGGUUUGGCCGAAAUUGGAGGUGGAGGAGUCCUACUCCAAUCCUACUUGGAGUAGGAUUCCACCUUCCCACUUGGAAACUCUUUCCACCUUGUGUUUUUUCCUUCUCAAACCUUAUGGGCCUUAGUGGGAACUUAUUCCAGCCCACUAGGGGCUGGUUUAUCUCUUCCCAUAGCCCAUGAGACCCCUUGGGGCGUGACACCCCUCCCGAUGGUCCCCGGCACCCCUCCCGGCACUCCCGGUACACUACCGAUGAGCCCGAAACUUUUCCGGUAAUGCACGAAAACCUUCCGGUAACCAAAUGAGGUCAUCCUAUAUAUCAAUCUUCGUUUCCGGACCAUUCCGGAAACCCUCGUGACGUCCGUGAUCUCAUCCGGGACUCCGAACAACAUUCGGUAACCAACCAUAUAACUCAAAUACGCAUAAAACAACGUCGAACCUUAAGUGUGCAGACCCUGCGGGUUCGAGAACUAUGUAGACAUGACCCGAGAGACUCCUCGGUCAAUAUCCAAUAGCGGGACCUGGAUGCCCAUAUUGGAUCCUACAUAUUCUACGAAGAUCUUAUCGUUUGAACCUCAGUGCCAAGGAUUCAUAUAAUCCCGUAUGUCAUUCCCUUUAUCCUUCGGUAUGUUACUUGCCCGAGAUUCGAUCGUCAGUAUCCGUAUACCUAUUUCAAUCUCGUUUACUGGCAAGUCUCUUUACUCGUUCCGUAAUACAAGAUCCCGCAACUUACACUAAGUUACAUUGCUUGCAAGGCUUGUGUGUGAUGUUGUAUUACCGAGUGGGCCCCGAGAUACCUCUCCGUUCACACGGAGUGACAAAUCCCAGUCUUGAUCCAUACUAACUCAACUAACACCUUCGGAGAUACCUGUAGAGCAUCUUUAUAGUCACCCAGUUACGUUGCGACGUUUGAUACACACAAAGCAUUCCUCCGGUGUCAGUGAGUUAUGUGAUCUCAUGGUCAUAGGAAUAAAUACUUGACACGCAGAAAACAGUAGCAACAAAAUGACACGAUCAACAUGCUACGUCUAUUAGUUUGGGUCUAGUCCAUCACAUGAUUCUCCUAAUGAUGUGAUCCCGUUAUCAAGUGACAACACUUGCCUAUGGCCAGGAAACCUUGACCAUCUUUGAUUAACGAGCUAGUCAACUAGAGGCUUACUAGGGACAGUGUUUUGUCUAUGUAUCCACACAAGUAUUGUGUUUCCAAUCAAUACAAUUAUAGCAUGGAUAAUAAAUUAUUAUCAUGAACUAAGAAAUAUAAUAAUAACUAAUUUAUUAUUGCCUCUAGGGCAUAUUUCCAACAGUCUCCCACUUGCACUAGAGUCAAUAAUCUAGUUCACAUCACCAUGUGAUUCCAACGAAUCCAACACCCAUAUAGUUAUGGGGUCUAUCACGUCUUGCUCGUGAGAGAGGUUUUAGUCAACGGUUCUGAAACUUUCAGAUUCGUGCAUUCUUUACAAAUCUUUAUGUCAUCUUAUAGAUGCUGCUACUACGUGCUAUUCGGAAAUGGUCCAAAUAUCUACUCUACUAUACGAAUCCGUUUCACUACUCAUAGUUAUCCGGAUUAGUGUCAAAGCUUGCAUUGACGUAACCCUUUACGACAAACUCUUUAACCACCUCCAUAAUCGAGAAAAAUUCCUUAGUCCAUUAGUUACUAAGGAUAAAUUUCGACCGCUGCUAGUGAUUCAAUCAUGGAUCACUCUCUGUACCUCUCAACAUACUUUGAGUCAAGGCACACUUCAGGUGCGGUACACAGCAUGGCAUACUUUAGAUUCUAUGGCUAAGGCAUAGAAGACGACCUUCGUCUAUUCUCUUUAUUCUGCCGUGGUCGGGUUUUGAGUCUUACUCAAAUUCACACCUCACAACGCAACCAAGAACUCCUUCUUUGCUGGUCUAUUUUGAACUCUUUCAAAAACUUGUCAAGGCAUGCAUCUUGUUUAAACUUCUAUUAAGCGCUUUCGAUCUAUCUCCAUAGAUCUUUGAUGCUCAACGUUCAAGUAGCGUAAUCCAGGUACUCCUUUGAAAACUUCUUUCAAACAACCUUGUAUGCUUUACAGAAAUUCUACAUUACUUCUGAUCCACAAUAUGUCAACCACAUAUACCUAUCAGAAAUUCUAUAGUGCUCCCACUCACUUCUUUGGAAAUACAAGUUUCUCAUAAACCUUGUACACACCCAAAAUCUUUGAUCAUCUCAUCAAAGUGUAUAUUCCAACUCCGAGAUGCUUGCACCAGUCCAUUGAAGGAUCACUGGAGCUUGCAUACUUGCUAGUAUCUUUAGGAUCGACAAAACCUUCUCGUUGUAUCACAUACAAUGUUUGCUCAAGGAAACCGUCGAGAAAACAAUGUUUUGACAUCCUACGUGCAAUAUUUCAUAAAUAAUGCAUCAACAACUAACAUAAUUCUAACAGACCUUUAGCAUCGCUACGAGUGAGAAAGUCUCAUCAUAGUCAACUGUUUGAUCUUGUCGAAAACAUCUUUGCGACAAGUCGAGCUUUUCUUAAUAGUGACUUGUCACCAUCAUCGUCUGUCUUCUUUUGAAGAUCCAUUUUACCCAAUAGUCCCAUGACCAUCAAGUAGUUCUACCAAAGUCUACACUUUGGUUUCACACAUGGAUCCUCUCUCGCAUUUCAUGGCUUCCAGCCAUUUGUCGGAAUCUGGGCCCACCAUCGCUUUCUCCAUAACUCGUAGGUUCACUGUUGCUCAACAACAUGACCUCCAAGACAGGGUUACCGUACUACUCUGCAGCAGUACGCGACCUUGUCGACCUACGAGGUUUGUAGUAACUUGAUUCGAAGCUCAAUGAUCACCAUCAUCAGCUUCCACUUCAAUUGGUGUAGGCGCCACAGGAACAACUUCCUACGCCCUGCUACACACUGGUUGAAGUGAUGGUUCAAUAACCUCAUAAAGUUCUACUACCCUCCCACUCAAUUCUUUCGAGAGAAACCUUUUCUCGAGAAAGGAUCCGUUUCUAGAAACAAACACUUUGCUUUCGGAUCUGAGAUAGGAGAUGUACCCAACUGUUUUGGAUAUCCUAUGAAGAUGCAUUUAUCCGCUUUGGGUUCGAGCUUAUCAGACUGAAACUUUUUCACAUAAGUGUCGAAGCCCCAAACUUUCAAGAAACGACAGUUUAGAUUUCUCUAAACCUCAGUCUAUACUGUGUCAUCUCAACGGAAAUACGCGGUGCCCUAUUUAAAGUGAAUGCGGUUGUCUCUAAUGCAUAACCCAUAAACGAUAGUGGUAAUUCGAUAAGAGACAUCACAGCAUGCACCAUACUAAAUAGUGCGUGGCUAUGACGUUCAGACACAUCAUCACACUAUGAUGUUCCAGGUGGCAUGAACUGUGAAACAAUUUCCACAUUGUCUUAACUGUGUACCAAAAACUCGUAACUCAGAUAUUCAUUUUUAUGAUCAUAUCGUAGACAGUUCAUCCUCUUGUUACGACGAACUUCACUCUGAAACGGAAUUGAACUUUUCAAUAUUUCAGACUUGUGAUUCAUUAAGUAAAUACUCCUGUAUCUACUCAAGUCGUCAGUGAAGUAAGAACAUAAUGAUAUCCACUGCGUGCCUCAGCACUCAUUGGACUGCAUACAUCAAAAUGUAUCACUUCCAACAAGUUACUAUCUUGUUUGAUCUCAAUGAAAACAAGGCCUUGCUCAUGUGGUAUGAUUUGCAUGUCACUAGUGAUUCGAAAUCAGGUGAGUAAAGAUCCAUCAGCAUGGAGCCUCUUCAUGCAAUUUAUACUAACAUGACUCAAGCGGCAGUGCCACAAGUAAGUGGUACUAUCAUCAUUAACUCGUAUCUUUUGGCACCAAUGUGUAACACUACAAUCGAGAUUCAAUAAACCAUUGAAGGUGAUUAUUCAAGCAAAUAGAGUAACCAUUAUUCUCUUUGAAUGAAUAAUCGUAUUGCAAUAAACACGAUCCAAUCAUGUUCAUGCCUAACGCAAGCACCAAAUAACAAUUAUUUAGGUUCAACACCAAUCCCGAUGGUAGAGGGAGCGUGCGACGUUUGAUCAUAUCAACCUUGGAAACACUUCCAACACUAUGUAUAUCAAAUAUACUUCUUUCGACUUUUGCCAGCCUUCUUAUCUACCAAGUAUCUAGAGUUGCUCCGCCUCAGUGACUGUUCCCCUUAUUACAGAAGCACUUAGUCUCGGGUUUGGGUUUAAUCUUGGGUCUCUUCAUUAGCGCAGCAACUGUUUUGCCGUUUCACGAAGUAUCCCUUCUAGCCCUCGCCUUUCUUGAAACUUAGUGGUUUUCCAAACCAUCAACUAUUGAUGCUCCUUCUUGAUUUCUACUUUCGCAGUGUCAAACGUCGCGAAUCGCUCAAGGAUCAUUGUAUCUAUCCUUGAUAUGUCAUAGUUCAUCACGAAGCUCUCAAAGCUUGGUGGCAGUGACUUUUGGAGAACCAUCACUAUCUCAUCUGGAAGAUUAGCUCCCACUUGAUUCAAGUGAUUGUCGUACUCAGACAAUCUGAGCACAUGCUCAACGAUUGAGCUUUUCUCCUUUACUUUGUGGUCAAAGAAUCUUGUUGGAGGUCUAGUACCUCUUAACAAGGGCACAAGCAUGAAAUCACAAUUGCAUCUCUUCGGAACAUCACUUAUGUUCCGUGACGUUUUACAACGUUUUCGGCGCCUUGCUUCUAAGCCAUCAAGUAUCUUGCACUGAACUAUCGUGUAGUCAUCAGUAAUGUGUAUGUCGGAUGUUCAUAGCAUCCACAGACGACGCUCGAGGUGCAGCACACCGAGUGGUGCAUUAAGGACAUAAGCCUUCUGCGCAGCAACGAGGACAAUCCUCGGUUUUACAGACUCAGUCUGCAAAGUUUGCUACUAUCAACUUUCAACUAAAUUUUCUCUAGGAACAUAUAAAACAGUAGAGCUAUAGCGCAAGCUACAUCGUAAUUCGCAAAGACCAUUAGACUAUGUUCAUGACAAUUAGUUCAGUUAAUCAUAUUACUUAAGAACUCCCACUCAAAAAGUACAUCUCUCUAGUCAUUUGAGUGGUACAUGAUCCAAAUCCACUAUCUCAAGUCCGAUCAUCACGUGAGUCGAGAAUAGUUUCAGUGGUAAGCAUCCCUAUGCUAAUCAUAUCAACUAUACGAUUCAUGCUCGACCUUUCGGUCUCAUGUGUUCCGAGGCCAUGUCUGCACAUGCUAGGCUCGUCAAGCUUAACCCGAGUGUUCUGCGUGUGCAACUGUUUUGCACCCGUUGUAUGUGAACGUUGAGUCUAUCACACCCGAUCAUCACGUGGUGUCUCGAAACGAAGAACUGUCGCAACGGUGCACAGUCGGGGAGAACACAACUUCGUCUUGAAAUUUUAGUGAGAGAUCACCUCAUAAUGCUACCGUCGUUCUAAGCAAAAUAAGGUGCAUAAAAGGAUUAACAUCACAUGCAAUUCAUAAGUGACAUGAUAUGGCCAUCAUCACGUGCUUCUUGAUCUCCAUCACCAAAGCACCGGCACGAUCUUCUUGUCACCGGCGCCACACCAUGAUCAUCCAUCAACGUGUUGCCAUCGUGGUUGUCGUGCUACUUAUGCUAUCACUACUAAAGCUACAGCCUAGCAAAAUAGUAAACGCAUCUGCAAGCACAUAUGUUAGUAUAAAGACAACCCUAUGGCUCCUGCCGGUUGCCGUACCAUCGACGUGCAAGUCGAUAUUUCUAUUACAACAUGAUCAUCUCAUACAUCCAAUAUAUCACAUCACAUCGUUGGCCACAUCAUAUCACAAUCAUACCCUGCAAAAACAAGUUAGACGUCCUCUAAUUUUGUUGUUGCAUGUUUUACGUGGUGACCAAGGGUAUCUAGUAGGAUCGCAUCUUACUUACGCAAACACCACAACGGAGAUAUAUGAGUUGCUAUUUAACCUCAUCCAAGGACCUCCUCGGUCAAAUCCGAUUCAACUAAAGUUGGAGAAACCGACACUUGCCAGUCAUCUUUGAGCAAAGGGGGUUACUCGUAACGAUGAAACCAGUCUCUCGUAAUCGUACGAGUAAUGUCGGUCCAAGCCGCUUCAAUCCAACAAUACCGCGGAAUCAAGAAAAGACUAAGGAGGGCAGCAAAACGCACAUCACCGCCCACAAAACCUUUUGUGUUCUACUGGAGAAGACAUCUACGCAUGAACCUAGCUCAUGAUGCCACUGUUGGGGAACGUCGCAAGGGAAACAAAAAAUUUCCUACGCGCACGAAGACCUAUCAUGGUGAUGUCCAUCUACGAGAGGGGAUGAGUGAUCUACGUACCCUUGUAGAUCGUACAGCAGAAGCGUUAGUGAACGCGGUUGAUGUAGUGGAACGUCCUCACGUCCCUCGAUCCGCCCUGCGAACAAUCCCGCGAUCAGUCCCACGAUCUAGUACCGAACGGACGGCACCUCCGCGUUCAGCACACGUACAGCUCGACGAUGAUCUCGGCCUUCUUGAUCCAGCAAGAGAGACGGAGAGGUAGAAGAGUUCUCCGGCAGCGUGACGGCGCUCCGGAGGUUGGUGAUGAUCUUGUCUCAGCAGGGCUCCGCCCGAGCUCCGCAGAAACGCGAUCUAGAGGAAAAACUAUGGAGGUAUGUGGUCGGGCAGCCGUGAGAAAGUCGUCUCAAAUCAGCCCUAAAACCUCCGUAUAUAUAGGUGGGAGGGAGGGGAGGAGGCAGCCUCAAAACCUAAAGGUUUGGCCGAAAUUGGAGGUGGAGGAGUCCUACUCCAAUCCUACUUGGAGUAGGAUUCCACCUUCCCACUUGGAAACUCUUUCCACCUUGUGUUUUUUCCUUCUCAAACCUUAUGGGCCUUAGUGGGAACUUAUUCCAGCCCACUAGGGGCUGGUUUAUCUCUUCCCAUAGCCCAUGAGACCCCUUGGGGCGUGACACCCCUCCCGAUGGUCCCCGGCACCCCUCCCGGCACUCCCGGUACACUACCGAUGAGCCCGAAACUUUUCCGGUAAUGCACGAAAACCUUCCGGUAACCAAAUGAGGUCAUCCUAUAUAUCAAUCUUCGUUUCCGGACCAUUCCGGAAACCCUCGUGACGUCCGUGAUCUCAUCCGGGACUCCGAACAACAUUCGGUAACCAACCAUAUAACUCAAAUACGCAUAAAACAACGUCGAACCUUAAGUGUGCAGACCCUGCGGGUUCGAGAACUAUGUAGACAUGACCCGAGAGACUCCUCGGUCAAUAUCCAAUAGCGGGACCUGGAUGCCCAUAUUGGAUCCUACAUAUUCUACGAAGAUCUUAUCGUUUGAACCUCAGUGCCAAGGAUUCAUAUAAUCCCGUAUGUCAUUCCCUUUGUCCUUCGGUAUGUUACUUGCCCGAGAUUCGAUCGUCAGUAUCCGUAUACCUAUUUCAAUCUCGUUUACUGGCAAGUCUCUUUACUCGUUCCGUAAUACAAGAUCCCGCAACUUACACUAAGUUACAUUGCUUGCAAGGCUUGUGUGUGAUGUUGUAUUACCGAGUGGGCCCCGAGAUACCUCUCCGUUCACACGGAGUGACAAAUCCCAGUCUUGAUCCAUACUAACUCAACUAACACCUUCGGAGAUACCUGUAGAGCAUCUUUAUAGUCACCGAGUUACGUUGCGACGUUUGAUACACAUAAAGCAUUCCUCCGGUGUCAGUGAGUUAUGUGAUCUCAUGGUCAUAGGAAUAAAUACUUGACACGCAGAAAACAGUAGCAACAAAAUGACACGAUCAACAUGCUACGUCUAUUAGUUUGGGUCUAGUCCAUCACAUGAUUCUCCUAAUGAUGUGAUCCCGUUAUCAAGUGACAACACUUGCCUAUGGCCAGGAAACCUUGACCAUCUUUGAUUAACGAGCUAGUCAACUAGAGGCUUACUAGGGACAGUGUUUUGUCUAUGUAUCCACACAAGUAUUGUGUUUCCAAUCAAUACAAUUAUAGCAUGGAUAAUAAACGAUUAUCAUGAACUAAGAAAUAUAAUAAUAACUAAUUUAUUAUUGCCUCUAGGGCAUAUUUCCAACACUUAGUAACGUAAUCCACAGCAACUAAGAUGUGAGUGUACCCACUGGAACUCGGGAAGGGUCCCAUAUAAUCAAAGCCCCAGACAUCAAAUGGUUCAAUGACAAGUGAAUAGUUCAUAGGCAUUUCCUGACGCUUACUGAUGUUCCCUAUUCUUUGGCAUUCGUCACAAGACAAGACAAACUUACGAGCAUCCUUGAAGAGAGUGGGCCAAUAGAAACCUGAUUGCAAUACCUUAUGGGCAGUUCUAUCUCCAGCGUGGUGUCCUCUGUAGGCUUCGAAAUGACACUUCUGCAAGAUCUGUCCCUGUUCAUGUUCACGCACACAACGUCUAAUAACACCAUCUACUCCUUCCUUAUAAAGGUGAGGAUCAUCCCAAAAGUAGUGUCUCAAAUCAAAGAAGAAUUUCUUCUUUUGCUGAUCGGUGAAACUGGGUGGUAUGUAUUUGGCUACGGUAUAGUUUGCAUAAUCGGCAUACCACGGUGCACUAUGUGAAGUGCGGAUGACAUUUAGUUGCUCAUCAGGAAAGCUGUCAUCAAUUGGUAGUGGGUCAUCAAGGACAUUCUCUAGCCUAGACAAGUUAUCUGCUACAGGGUUAUCAGCACCCUUUCGGUCAACGACGUGCAAAUCAAAUUCCUGUAGCAGGAGAACCCAUCUGAUCAGCCUAGGUUUAGCAUCCUUCUUCUCCAUAAGGUACUUAAUAGCAGCAUGAUCAGAGUGAAUAGUGACUUUGGAUUCAACUAUAUAAGAUCUGAACUUUUCACAUGCAAACACGACUGCUAAAAAUUCCUUCUCCGUAGUGGCAUAGUUUCUUUGGGCACUGUCUAGAGUUUUACUAGUGUAGUGAAUGACAUUCAACUUCUUGUCAACUCUUUGUCCUAGAAAAACACCACCAGCAUAAUCACUAGCGUCACACAUGAUUUCAAAGGGCAAGUUCCAGUCAGGUGGUUGAACAAUAGGCGCGGUUAUCAAAGCCUUCUUAAGUAUUUGAAAGGCUUCCUCACAAUCCUCAUCAAAAACAAAAGGAACAUCCUUCUACAAGAGGUUGUUAAGAGGCCUAGAAAUCUUAGAGAAGUCUUUAAUGAACCUUCUAUAGAAACCAGCAUGACCUAGGAAACUUCGUAUACCUCUGAUAUCUGUGGGGCAAGGCAUUUUCUCAAUUGCAUCAACCUUAGCCUUAUCAACUUCAAUGCCUCUUUCAGAGAUUUUGUGUCCUAAGACGAUACCUUCAUUAACCAUAAAGUGGCACUUCUCCCAAUCCAAGACGAGGUUGGUUUCUUCGCAUCUCUGUAAGACUCGAUCAAGGUUGCUGAGGCAAUCAUCAAAGGAAGACCCGUAAACGGAGAAGUCAUCCAUGAAAACCUCGACGAUCUUUUCACAAAAGUCAAAGAAUAUAGCCAUCAUACAUCAUAACCGUCUAGAAAACAGAAGUGUGUGUGUUUUGAUAGCGUUUCUAGCAUUUGGUCGAUGAACGGCAAAGGGUAAUGAUCUUUCCUAGUUGCCUUGUUCAGUUUCCGGAAGUCUAUCACCAUUCUAUAGCCGAUAAUAAUCCUUUGUGGGAUUAGUUCAUCCUUAUCAUUAGGAACGACGGUGAUACCUCCCUUCUUAGGUACGCAAUGUACUGGACUUACCCAAUCACUAUGAGCAACAGGAUAAAUGAUUCCUUCUUCCAGAAGCUUUAAUAUUUCUUUUCUACCGACCUCUUUCAUCUUAGGAUUUAAUCUCCUUUGAUGAUCAGCAACUGGUUUAAAGUCAGGAUCGGUUUUAAUCUUGUGCUGACAUAGAGUAGGACUAAUACCCUUAAGAUCAUCAAGAGUAUAUCCAAUAGAAGCGCGGUGCUUCCUCAGAGUUUUUAGUAACUUCUUCUCUUCGCGCUCUGAGAGGAGAGCACUAAUAAUGACAGGAUAUAUCUCCUUCUCAUCAAGAUAGGCAUACUUAAGAGUAUCAGGCAACUGUUUAAGCUCGAACACAGGAUCACCCUUUGGUGGGGGAGGAUCCCCAAGCAGUUCAACAAGCAGAUUAUUCUUAAGAAUAGGAUAUUGUUCUAAGACAAUUUUAUCUAUCUCAUCUCUCUCCUCCAUAUGCAUAUCAUUUUCAUGCUCAAGCAGAUAUUGCUCUAAAGGAUCCGUAGGAGGUACGACAAUAGAGGCAAGAGCAAUGAUUUCAUCUCUACCAGACGACUCUCUUUCAUGCGUUUGUCUUCCAAACUUGGAGAAGUUAAAUUCAUGAGACACACCCUCGAAACUUUCUCUGACAGUCUGCUUAAUGCAAUCAAUGUGAGCAUUGACAGUGUUGAGAAAGGGUCUACCAAAUAUGAUGGGACAAAAGCUAUCUUGUGCAGUACCAAGGACGAGGAAAUCAGUAGGAUACUUCGUCUUACCACACAUGACUUCUACGUCUCUCACAAUUCCCAGAGGGCAGAUAGUGUCUCUAUUAGCUAGCGUAAUAGUGACAUCAAUGGAUUCUAACUCAGCAGGUGCAAUCUCAUCUUUGAUUUCAUCAUAUAGAGAACGGGGUAUUGCACUAACACUAGCUCCCGUAUCACAUAAACCAUGGUAACAGUGAUCUCCUAUCUUGACAGAAACAACGGGCAGGCCAACUACAGGUCCGUGUUUGUCUUUCGCGUGAGGUUUAGCAAUUCUAGCGGAGUCCUCACAGAAUUUGAUAACAUGCCCAUCUAUGUCUUUGGCUAAGAGAUCUUUGAUAAUAGCAACACUAGGUUCAACUCUAAUCUCCUCAGGGGGUGCAAGUGAUCUAAUGUAACCCCUACGUAUCACAGUUGGAGCUUUAGAAUAAUCCUUUAUCCUAGCAGGGUAUGGUGGUUUCUCAGUGUAAGCACAAGGAACAACAGGAUCACUAAAAGCAAUGACUUUCUCCUCAACUAGAUUGGUUUUGGCUAUGUUGCUUUCUACAGGAGGAUGAUAUUUAAACCACUUCUCUUUGGGAAGAUCAACAUGAGCAGCAAAAGAUUCACAUAGAGAAGCUACUAUCUCAGAGUCAAGUCCAUACUUAGCGCUAAAAUCUCUAGAAGUGUUUGUCUCAACAAAAGAUUUAACGCAAUCAAACUGGAAAUUCAUACCUGACUCCUUACCUUCCUCCAGCUCCCAAUAUUCAGAGUUGCAUUUGAUUCUCUCCAAUAAAUUCCACUUGUGAUCAAUAUCCUUCUUCAUAAAAGAACCGGCACAAGAAGUGUCAAGCAUGGUACGAUCUUCAUGAGAAAGCCGAGCAUAAAAGUUUUGAGUGAUGAUUUCUCUCGAGAGCUCAUGAUUGGGGCAUGAAUAUAUCAUUGAUUUAAGCCUCCCCCAAGCUUGAGCUAUGCUUUCCCUGUCACGAGGCCAAAAGUUAUAAAUAAAGUUCCGAUCACGAUGUACUAAAUGCAUAGGAUAGAACUUUUGAUGAAAUUCCAAUUUCAACCGAUUGUAGCCCCAUGAUCCAGUAUCAUCACAUAGCCUAUACCAUGUCAACGCCUUAUCCUUCAAAGAUAAAGGAAAUAAUUUCUUCUUUACCUCAUCCUCGGGCAAACCUGCAAGCUUAAAUAAACCACAAACUUCAUCUACAUAGAUUAGAUGCAAGUCUCGAUGUGAAGAUCCAUCUCCUGUAAAAGGAUUAGCCAGCAGUUUCUCAAGCAUACCCAAAGGAAUUUCAUAAAAGAUAUUUUAAGUAGGUACCUUAGGUUGAGGAGAAACUCCUCGUGCUUCCGUUCGUGGUGAAGAUACCCCGAACAAACUCCUCAAAGAAACAGUUUCCAUAGUGACAAGUGACAAUAAAUUUCAGCACAGUAUAUAAAUGUUUCCUUACCAAUUUCCACUUACCAAAGGCGCUUCACUCCGCGGCAACGGCGCCAGAAAAGAGUAUUGAUUACCCACAAGUAUAGGGGAUCAAUCGUAGUCCUUUCGAUAAGUAAGAGUGUUGAACCCAACGAGGAGCGGAAGGCUCUGAUAAAUGGAUUUCAGCAAGGUAAUAACUGCAAGCAUUGAAAGUAGCGGUAACAAGUGAUUGUGUAGCGAGGUGAAACGUAGCAAGCAAAGUGUAGCAAGUAACAAGUAGUAGAAAUGGUGCACCAAGUGGCCCAAUCCCUUUUGUAGCAAGGGACAAGCGUGAACAAAGUCUUAUAGGAGGAAAAACGCUCCGGAGGACAUACGGGAAUUUCUGUCAUGCUAGUUUCAUCAUGUUCAUAUGAUUCGCGUUCGUUACUUUGAUAGUUUGAUAUGUGGGUGGACCGGCGCUUGGAUACUUCCCUUACUUGUACAAGCAUCCCACUUAUGAUUAACCUCUCUCGAAAGCAUCCGCAACUACAAAAGAAGAAUUAAGACAAAGUCUAACCAUAGCAAGUGGAUCCAAAUCAGCCCCUCACGAAGCAACACAUAGACUGGGGUUUAAGCUUCUGUCACUCCAGCAACCCAUCGUCUACUUAAUACUUCCCAAUGCCUUCCUCUAGGCCCAAAUAUGGUGAAGUGUUAUGUAGUCCACGUUCACAUAACACCACUAGAGGAAAAACAACAUACAACAUAUCAAAAUACCGAACGAAUAUCAAAUUCACAUGACUAUUAUUAACAUGACUUAUCCCAUGUCCUCAGGAAAAAAAGUAACUACUCACAAAACAUAAUCAUAAUCAUGAUCAGAGGUGUAAUGAAUAGCAUCAAGGAUCUGAACAUAAACUCUUCCACCAAGUAAUCCAACUAGCAUCAACUACAAAGAGUAAUCAACACUACUAGCAACCUUACGAGUACCAAUCGGAGUCGCGAGACGAAGAUGGGUUACAAGAGAUGAACUAGGGAUUGGAGAGGAGAUGGUGCUGAUGAACAUGUUGAUGAAUAUGCCUCCCCUUCGACGGGAGGAGUGUUGGUGAUGACGAUGGCGACGAUUUCCCCCUCCGGGAGGGAAGUUUCCCCGGCAGGAUCGUCCUGCCGGAGCUCUAGAUUGGAUAUGCUCAAGUUCCGCCUCGUGGCGGUGACGAAACCAUGAAAAAGCUCCCGAUUGAUUUUUUUCUGGACCAGGACACUUCAUAUAGCAAAAGAGGGGGCUAGUGGGCCGUCAGGCAGCCCACAAGCUUGCCGUGCGCCACCAGGGGGUGGUAGCGGUGGGCAAGCUUGUGGAGCCCUGGUGGCCCCCCUCCGGUAGUUCUUUCGCCCAGUAUUUUUUAUAUAAUCCAGAAAAAAUUCACGUAACUUUUCAGGGCAUUUGGAGAUGUGCAGAAUAGUGGAUUAGGAUAUGCUCCUUUUCCGGUCCAGAAUUCCAGCUGCCUGAAUUCUCCCUCUUCAAAUAAACCUUGCAAAAUAAGAGAGAAAAGGCAUAAAUAUGGUACCACAAGUAAUAUAGCAGCCCAAAAAGCAAUAAAUAUCAACAUGAAAGCAUGAUGCAAAAUGGACGUAUCACUUUCCCAGCUCCCAUCUGACUGGCGGCCUGGGCGGACCUCGCAGAGGAGGAUGAUCGAGCUGCGGGACACCUCAUCCUCCAUCA
rnacentral:lncRNA from 1 species